rnacentral:lncRNA from 1 species
CUAUAUACCUAGACAUUGUGCAGCACUCUGAUCUUUCAACAUUAUCAUGGGCUCCGUUAAUGUUCAGGUACCCGUGGAAUGUAGUAUUCGGGAACCUAGGGAAGCAAAACAUCACGGUGGCUGGUGAUGCCAUGCACCCCAUGACACCUGAUUUAGGACAAGGAGGUUGCUUGGCAUUGGAAGAUGCCGUGGUCUUGGGUAGAUACAUAGGGACAUCAUUUGUACAAAAUGGACGACUCGUGCCAAAAGAGAUAGAUAGUGCGAUAGGGAAAUACGUGGAAGAAAGAAGGUGGCGUGUCGCGCUGUUGACUGCAGGAUCAUAUUUAUCCGGAUGGGUGCAGCAUUUAGGGCCUGGAUGGGUGAGGAAGUUCUUGAGGGAUGCCAUAUUUUACAGGUUUAUUUUCACUAAACUUGUUAAACUUUCACAUUAUGAUUGUGGAAAACUUGAUUUCUAGCUAGGGCAUUUCGUUGUCCAAAAGAAAGAAGACAAUCAAGAUUCCCUCCUCUACGGAAUUAAAUUAUUGAUGGCCUUUCAACAAGGAUCAACGAGAGACAGGAAUCUAGGGAGAACAGAGAAGAUUUAUGGAACCUAUUAGCUAUAACAUAAAUUAAUACUUUCACAUAUUGCUGCUUUGUUGUUGAUGUAGUGCAUUUUGAACAGUAGUUGAUAGCAAGGCAUAUUGAUGUAGUCUGAGAUGAAUAGCUAAAUAAGCAGUAUAUACUUUGUGGAGCCUCCAAACGCGUAAUGGAUAAUUUGUUGAUAGAAAAUGUUUGAUUAUACAUCUGAAGAAGAACCUGCUUCUUUACGAUAAAGAAGCCCAGAUUGUUUAGGAUGAUCCAAUGAACCAUUACUUCCCAAGAUUAUAACUACAGACGUGCAUCGACUACAAAGAGAAUGCAACGUAACGCUUACGAUAGAGAACGCAAAUCUCCAAAACCUUUACCAAUCACUUCCAAAGGCCUUCCUUAGUUCCAUACUAGAAAAUACGCAUGCGUGUUGCUGCAGGAACCAACUAUUUCAGGCGUAAUCAGAUGAAUAAAACACAUUUUAAGUUGAAUAAAUUCAACACAAUUUUGAAAAAACAAAGGAAUACAUGAAUAAAUGAGGUCGAUAAGAUAAACAGCUUGGCUUUUAUAUACAUUCAACUGAGCUGACAUGUAAAGACAUUGUAGAAUUAGUAGAACGAAACUUAACGUCCUUGAUCACAAACACGUGGUCGCCAAAAAUGUUCUGUUACCAUAAGAAACAGAAGAAACAAAAGGAACAUGCAGUUCACACAUAAUUUGCCUUUGUAGUUAAAGCUAGCAAAAUAUAUGUCCUGUAAGGCAAGCACCUAUUUUAGCAGUUAAUAAAAAACAUAGAAAGUGGAUACCACCCAAAGCAUCCUUUGAACAAAUUAAGAAAUUCAAAUAAAAUUAAACACCCAAGGAAAUAAUAAACACAGAAAAGAUAUGCUUGAACUGUUAAGCAAAUCAAGAAUACUAACAUAAAUAAAGAUAUGCUUGUACCGUUAAUCAAACCAACAAAAAUAAAAAACAAUUAACAAUGUGAGAAACGACAGCAAGGAUACCAGCAGCAGGCACAACCUUCUCCGAUGAAGCCAUUGGAGCACCUGAAUCGGCAACGAAGAAACAGAGAAAUCAAUCUCCAAUCACCAAACAAAGAUUCAAACCCAAAACUGCAUAAUUUAUCAUAAAAUUCACACAAUUGAUUCGAGUGCUUCCAUUGAACUCUUAGGAGAUCACAACAUCUUUUCAGUAAUCGGGAUAAAAUAAAUUCAAAAUACAAACACAUUGCAAUGAACGAAGACGAAACAACUGUAAGAUCGAAAGCAAAAGUGAAACUGACCAAUUCUUUUUUACUCUCCUCUAAUGUUUCAAGUAUACCCUUCUUUUAAGCUUCUACGUCAUUUUCGGUUUCAACUGUCGUCUUUGGGUCACCAAUGGAUUCAUCUGAUUGACCAGAUCGACUGGCAUCCAAUGCCGUUUGUGCAUUUUCGAGUUCAUAUCUCAAAUUCCUUUCAUUCUCUUCCAUCUCCUGAUAACGUAUGUCGUACCCAGUGCACAAGGCUCCCAUUAACAAAAAAACAAUAUACUCAAGUCUCACCAUUAGCUUCCUCUUCAGCAAAUCUUCUUCUAGAAUUUUCUCUUGUAUUUUAUUUUCAAACGAUAUUGCCCUUCAUAUUCAGCAUUCUCUUCCUGCAAUGUUACCUCCCUCAACUGUGUCUGUCCACAAAUGCAAAUGGGAACUAUUAAGAAAGAUUAAAACAUCGCCUUUUUUAUACUCCAAACUUAAACUACACAACUCCAUAGCCAAAAAUAAACAAUCACAUAAAACCAAGAUAGCAAACAGAGAAAACGCAUUAAAUCAAGUACAUCCUUGAAUUUUUUAGCAUAAAGAACAAAUUUUAGAUACAAAAUAUAUUGCCGCAAAGCGAAUACUAAUAAGCUUUCAGGAGUGCAAGUUGUCCCCUAAGCAAUUCUUAAGCCAAUGUAAUUGGCUUCAGAAUUCUUGGUUCUCUUCACAUAAAUUUUUGGUUAUUGUCAUUCGAUUCUGCCGGCUUCUGAACUAAAGCAUUCUGAAGUAGAAUUGCACCUUAGGAAGCCACUGAGCUAUCCUUCUCCACUUCAGUUGUAUCUGAGCAAUUUAAAAUGCCAUCAGCCAUCUCUAAUUGUGACAAUUCAUUCAACUUAAUUUGGUUAUCAUUUAUAUCCUAAAUCAAACUAAAACUUUAUCCCACGAAAUUAAACUUCUAUCGCAUCCAAUUAAACUACCACAACAACAUACUGACAAAGUGAACAUGGAAAUUCAUAUACCAUUUGACAAUACCAAAUCAAGAAAUUUCUAAAGACCAAAGACAGAUCCUACAAAGCAGAAACCCUAUCUCAUAUGCAUUAAAAUCAUUGACAAAUUCUUGGUGAAUCAUCAUAAAAUUAACCCAAUUUCUCAAUUCCAAAAACAGGAAAGAUUAAGAAAGGGUUCUGAGUUCUCACCAUAACCAAAAUAAACAUAUCGUUUCAGUUUGAACUGAGGUCAAUUUCGGUCAUCUGCAUUAACAGAAACAAUAACUUCUGUCAGUGCAUUCAAACCAAACCCAUAAAUCAAUUCCUAAAAUCAACUGCAAAUCACAAAGUUACCCAAAAAAAUCCCACAAAGAACCAAAAUACAUGAAAAUUACUAUAUUAGCACUCCCUCCACCCCAAAAUCAGAAAAUUUGAAAUUAGAGUUUGAUAACAUUGUACUUAGAAAGCAAGGAAUCGAUAAUUUAGGUGGUUUCCCAGGACAAUAAUGAGCUUGCAGAGAUCAUAUUCAUACAUGGAUGCACAAAUACACACACUACAGAGACCAUUUGAUGAAAAAAUAAAAAAUAGAGAUGCUCAGAGAUUCAACACACACUAUACAUAGAUCCAUGACCUAGAAUUUCUCAGAUCCAGUUGAAAUUAAUAAAAUAAAAUAAAAAAAUUUAGGGACAUGAAUUUAUACCUCUGACAAUCUGAGCUCCAUUCCCCUGAUUCCUUCGCCGGCUUGGUGCAAACCUGAGGAGAUCGGCAAUUAAGGAUAAGAAAGCAGGCGACGGUGGUUUAGUUUUUUUGAGAGAAAAUUCGAGUGAAAAGAAAAAGGAGAAGAAGAAGGGGAUGCCCCUUCCCUUCUCAGAUCGUCAAUAACAUCUGAAGUACUAAACACCCAUACACUAUAUUUACACACAUACGCUAAUCAGCACUCUUAACAUAUCAAUGGUCCAACAAUUAUGGAGCUCGAAAUUUAUAUAAGAAAGGGCCAAUCAAAUCAUAAAUUAAAAUGAAAAUAUGUACGUAAUUAAGAAUUAUUACUUGCUGAGUCAGUUCCUUCUUGUCACUUCAAGAAUUCUUCAAUUCAAACCAAUUCGAUCAAACUGCCUCACCCAACAAAACAAAAAAUAAAUAAAUUAAAAAGAAAAUCAGGGGAACUAAAUUAAAUAUACACUGACCUACUUUCUGGCAAGAAACCAAAAAGAGCGAUUAAAUAGCAGUGCACAAUGACGGAAUUUCUAUGAAAAAAUAUGAAUGAGUUCUUGAGGUUCCUGAUAUCAUUAGAAACUAUUUAUGUGUCAAGAAAAUCCAUUAUUCAAACUGCAGACAGGUUACAAAAAUCUGACAACUUAUGAAUCGUCUCUUGAGCACCUAGGAGUGGGUGGAUCCGGGUCUUGAAAUAUGAUGUUUUAAAGAACUGAUCAACAUGAAAAUCAGAUGUCAAAGCAAAGUAGACAACCAAUCAUGACUAUGCUUAAAAGAAACGAAAAAAGAUAUGGCAGGAGAAAAAAAAAUGUACAAGUAAAGUUUCAGCAGCAACCUCAAAACAUUUAUCAGUUGAAGCAUGCGUUUCUAAUAAAUGGCAUCUCAACAUCCAACAUUUACACAAUUCCAUACCACACAACAAUCCAAAAACAGAUCAAACAGUUAGCAAAUGUCUGAAUUAAUAAUUUGACCAUUAAACUAAACGAAUCCGGUGAUUUAAUGCAAAGAUGGACACAUUUGUAGUACCUUCAUCACGUGAAUAGUUCCAUAUCUGUAACAGAAAAACAAAUUUUGAUGCAUCAGGAUAAUGUUCAAGGAAAUGUAAAUAUUUCCCCAACAAAGCAUAUCAAAGAAAAGGUAACAGAAAAUGUAAACUUUGGCACCUUUAUUGUUCGUAACAGCAGGAUGGCAUUAACUUUCAAUCCUGGCACAAAGCCAACUGUCAAAAGGAUGUCAUAGGUCACAUCACAUCCUUUGCUGGUACAGAGCAAUCUUCAUCACUUCCAUCACCACAAACCUCUCUCCACUUAACCUAAACAAUCACAUUUCAUCCGAAAUCAGUAAAGACUUGAACUUGCUGCAAAUUAAUAAACAAAAACCCGGCAAACACGAAAAACACAACCACAAAACCUCUAUGAAUUCAUGGGUAAGAGCAUCUCUUCCAAAAAUUCCACUUAAAGUAGAAAUGAUGAAUGGAACACUGGACAUUCUAAGGUCAAGUAAAGUACUUCAGAAUAAGAUAAAGAGAAGUAAGAUUCACAAAUCUUGGAAUACAUAAAAAAGGGCGGCAAGACAAAAUUGCACUAUCCCCAUUGAAACCUACACUGACAUUCAAAGGUAACAUUUGGAUUAAAGACAAAAUUUAACACCUUCUCGAGUUUAACUAAUUUAAAGCGGCAAAUAUAUGCAAUUCCUCACGGAUUCCAAGACUACAUUCAAAGUUUAAUCAAAUAUAAUAAUCAUAUUGCUUUGGCAUUUUAUUCCAAUUAAUUUAAGGGAAUGAAAGCCAAUCACUUUGCAAAUGCCACAUGAAACAUACCAUAUGGGUUUAAAUUGCUACUCCAUACACUUCACAUAAAUAAUAGAUUCCAAAUCCAGUCCAAAUUCACCUGUGGCAACUGUGGUUCCUUUGAUCCUGAAAUAACAACUAUGAGGAGUAAGGCCAAGGUUAAUACCAGGACGUAAACAGGGAUACAAACAUAGACCAUAAAAGAGAAUAUAGAGCAUUUUCUCUAUCAUUUCUCUAUCAAGUCGUCGUACCCAGUGCACAAGGCUCCCGCUUUACGCAGGGUUUGGGAGAGGUGAAUGUCGGCUAGCCUUACCCCCAUUUAUGGAGAGGCUGCUCCCAAGUCUCGAACCCAAGACCUACCGCAUUUCUCUAUCAAGUGUAGCAUGUAAUUAUUUAUUACCACAUAGUUGGUGCAAAAUAUUUGAUAAAAAUGAAUAGGCUAAGUAUGGGAAAACUUCACCACCAUUAAUUCAAAACAGUUAUUUAAAAGGAAAUUCAAAAUAAAAUAAAAAAACAAAAGAACUCGCCUGGCAAAUCCUUCUCCAGGAUCUUCCACUCUUCCCGAAUUCUCUUUGCCACAGACACAAUCGUCGGAGUUUGGGAACCGAAUCCUUUGUUUGGAACUGUUGCAGAAGUGACCGACUAUCAGGACCACGGCAUCUUCAAGGGCUGCAGGCAAAGCAAAGUUGAGAUAAACAACAAAGAACUACAAAGAUUUGAUCUUUAUUAAUUUAGUGAAAAAACCAAUUCAUAUAAAACAACAGUUUCCACCACCAUAUUCAUUUCAACAGCAAGAACAGAAACCGCAUAUAAAAGAAAUUUAAAAAAUUGAAGAAACAGAGGUAAUAACAAUACCAAAUCCAGGCCCAUCGGGUCCCGCGCAGUGUAAUCUGCUUCUCUGAGACCAUUUGUUCCAUAAAAUCUGACGCCUUUGAGCUCCAAUCUGUGCGAACACUUCCAGAGCUUGAAGGAGUGCAGUGAAAAAUGGGUUUAGAAAGCAGGGAAGAAAGUGCCAGAAGCUAAAACCCACUAAUCAUUUUUUACUUUAGAUUCUCAGAUUCUGUCACUUUGUCAUCGUUUCUCCCCUUUUUCUUGUCAGCUCACAACAAAACAAAUAUCUUCUGAGUUCUCUUUCUCUCUUUGCAAUUCCCACACCCAGCUCCCUCUCAUCUGUCUCUGACAUCCCCUCUCCCUCACAAUCUCACUGAGUCGAAACCCCUAGCUCCCAUCUCUCUCCAAUCUGUCAGUCCCUCUGUCCUCCUCCCCCAAUGACGCUCUGACCAAAGCAACAGGCACGGUCAUCUCACCAAAUCCCUAUCUCUCUCCCUCCCUCCCUCCCUCUCUCUGCUCGCUCGCUCUCUCUCCCAACGGCAUGGUCUCACCAAGUCCCACUGCAGCUCAGAAUACUUCUCCUCAGUCACUCCAAAUUGCUAAUUGGAUUACACUCCGAAGCCCACAUUUUCUACACAAUCUAAAUGUAACUCUCACUAAGCCACAAACACACAAUUUGACAUCUCAUAAACACUGAAAUAUAACCAUUUCAGGUAAGCAAUGCAAGAUCCAUAAACCAAGACGAAUUACAAUAAAACAAAAUUGAAAAGAAAGCAAGAAUUUACCACCAAUGUAAACAAACCUAAGCAACUAUGUGUAUUAGACAUUUAACCAAAUCUCAUGUAACAAAAUUAGUAACUCCCUGUUCACUGACUCAUAGUCCACUGCACUCAAAUUCAUUGUCUAAAAGAUAUAUCAAAUUUGGUAACAAAAAUGAUGCCUUUCGAUAUAGAGAAUGUUAGGCAACCAAUGAUUUAAGAUCCAAAAAGUUCCCAACUCCAGCACCUUUAUGUGACCAAAAAACUUUACCAAGUGAGCACUGAAGCAGGCCGUUAUAAAUCUACUCAUAGUUGACUGAGUUAUCACUGUUUCAAAUAAAGAAGAAAGGAAGAAGGAUAUUCAGUUGCAGUCGGCCAUUCUCAGAGAAAGACAAAAACUUCUAUGUUUGAUUAUUUCCUGGUUAUUUCUUGUGACCCGAAUCACAAGUUUACCUUGCAUCAAAAUAAAAAUCACGUGACCAUGCAUAUAUAUCACAAUUUAUCUAGAAACCUUCAGCAUUUGAUGAUUCGAAACUUGAAAGGAGCAAUAUCCAGCCCAUGCAUUACUGCAUGGUUUAGGUAUUGAAAAAGUAAGAUGAUAGUGGUACAUCCUUUACACGUUCUGAAAUGUAAUCUUUUUAGUUUGGGAAAAGAUUCUUGCUUGAACAGGUAUUAUAGAUCGUGCAGACAGUGUUUCAUCGUUAGGGUACUGUGAUUUGCAGACAUGGGAUUGGCACCCAAUACUCAACUCAUUUUAACUAAUAUGCGUUAAAAACAAUCAUCCACUAAAUCCCUAUUUCAAUGGAAAAAAACCAAAAAUUACUUAUGACGAAGAUGAAUAAGUUGCAGGAUUUAUUAGAUUAGCACAUAAUAUUGCAGUAUCAGACUCCACCUAAGUAGCUCCUGCCAAUUUUAAUCAACAGAUAAGCACAAUAAAGCACUUGCAAUUGAACCAGAGAAAUUGCAAUACGCAUAAAAUUAAGCUUAAAAAAAGUAUAUUGUGCGUGCAGCUUCUGGAAAGUGUGAAAAUCCAAAUUCCAACUCAUACAAUCAUAACUGCAUAAGAGAUAACGAAAUUGAUUUCACGAAUUCAUCAAACAUUGAGAAUUCAUAACAAAAUUGUGGGAAACAACUUCAACCUCCACUACGCCAUUCAAAUUCCUAGUCCUCAAAUUAAAAACCAUAAGAUUCCAACUUUCGUCCAAAAAAGAAAGAUAAAACAAUAAUGUAAAAGAAAAAGCAUACAUUAGCGAACCCGGCAAAGAAUUCCGCCGGCGAUUCUGCAGAAAAAUUGAAAGCAUGGCUAAUGAAUAUUCAAACUAAAACAUGCGUACAGAAAAAGAAGGCAGAGAGAGAGAGAAACUCUGUUCCAGAACGCUAUCUUUGGGCUUUCUGCGCGUCUUCGAUUGGCGUUUCUUAGGCUCCGUCUGGCUCUUGCUGCUCCCUCGAGCUUCCAUUUCAAACUCCCAAUCAAAUCUUCGCCCCAAAAAAAACCGUCGAUCCUCUUCGAAUUCGAUCAAUUCUAGAGACAGAGAAAGGAGGAGUAAGACGACGGAGGCGAGAGAAGGGAGACGGCGGCGAGAGGAGGAUAGGAUGGAGGCGAGGCCGUCGUUCUCGCGGGGUCUGCGAGACGGAAGAGGCAAGGAGGGUUUGAGAAAUCCCUGGAAAUCAGCCUAACCCUCAAAUCCCGACGGCCACAUGCUUUUCUCUGACUGUACCCCCUCUCCCACUAUGAAAUCGAGGAUCCCCACUCCUCCGUCUCCCUCUGUCUCCCUGAAGCGGCAUGGCCUUCCAUCCCCGAAACCCUCACCGAACGAAGAACAAAGAGGCGGUGGUAAUUUUGUAAAUAAAGCGAAAGUUGGGCUGAAAUCAGUCCGGUGGCAAGCUCGUAAAUAAAGUGAAAUUUCAAUCUGAAACUGAAAAGGCGGUGGUAUUUUUGUAAAUAAGUCAAAAUCCACCCCAAGUCACUGUUGAUUUGAAUAGUGCCAAUUUCAAACCUUACUUUAGACUGAAGUUGUAUAACCAUGCGCGAAUUAUGUCAAAGCUUCUUCAUCAAUUACCAUUUAAUCAGUCUAAUAUAAAACAAGUGUUGAUGUUUACAGACAUUAAUGCUACAUUUUUUUUCAUACAAAGAUAUUCUACUCUAAUGGAGGGGAUAUUCUACUCCAAAAGAAAAUAUUUGUCUUGGCACAUAACGAUCCAUCCAUAACUAGUAUCGAAUUCAUGUUUAGGUACCCGUGGGAUGUAGUAUUCAGGACCUUCCUCCAUGUUCAAGUACCCGUUAAUGUUGUAUAACCAUGCGCGAAUUAUGCCAAGGACCUUCCUCCUAUAUUCAUAGACAUUGUGCAGCACUUGGAUCUUUCCACAUUAUCAUGGGCUCCAUUAAUGUUCAGGUACCCGUGGGAUGUAGUAUUCGGGAACCUAGGGAAGCAAAACAUCACGGUGGCUAGCGAUGCCAAGCACCCCAUGACACCUGAUUUAGGACAAGGAGGUUGCUUGGCAUUGGAAGAUGUCAUGGUCUUGGGUAGAUACAUAGGGACAUCCUUUGUACAAAAUGGACGACUCGUGCCAAAAGAGAUGGAUAAUGCGAUAGGGAAAUACGUGGAAGAAAGAAGAUGGCAUGUCGCGCUGUUGAUUGCAGGAUCAUAUUUAUCCGGAUGGGCACAGCAGGCAGGGUCUAGAUGUGUUAGGAAGUUCUUAAGGGAUGCCAUAUUUUACAGGUUCAUUUUCACUAAACUUGUUAAAACUUUCACAUUAUGAUUGUGGAAAACUUGAUUUCUAGCUAGGGCAUUUCAUUGUCCACAAGAAAGAAAACAAUCAAGAUUCCCUUCUCUACGGAAUUAAAUUAUUGAUGGCCUUUCAACAAGGAUAAAUGAGAGACAGGAAUUAAUCUAAGGAGAAUAGAAAAGAUUUAUGGAACUUAUUAGCUAUAACAUAAAUUUAUACUUCGACAUACCUUUGCUGCUUUGUUGACAAAGCAUAUUUUGAACAGUAGUUGAUAGCAAGGCAUAUGCAUGUAGUCUUAGAUGAAAAGCUAAAUAAGCAGUAUAUACUAUUAGUGUAUAAAUGGCAAUAGGCACAAUUUAAAAAAAAAUGUGCUUUGCCCAGAAUUCAAGUAUGUACGAACCAGUUUACAACGAAUAAAAGCAGUCUUUAUGGAGCCUCCAAAUGCGUAAUGGAUAAUUUGUUGAUAGAAAAUGUUUGAUUAUCUGAAGAUGAACCUGCUUCUUUACGAUACAGAAACCCAGAUUAUUUAGGCUGAUCCCAUGCACCAUUACUUCACAAGAUUAUAACUACAGAUGCCAUGCUCUACAAGAAAAGUACUUGAGCAACAACUACAAAGAGAAUGCAACAUAACACGUACGAUAGAGAACGUGAAUCUCCUAAACAUUGAUCAAUCACUUCCAAAGGCCUUCUUUAUAUUAGUUCUAUAUUUAUCCAUGUAUGAAUUAUGUCAAAGCUCCUUCAUCAAUUACCAUUUAAUCAGUCUAAUAUGUGAAACAGGUGUUGAUGUUUACAGACAUUGCUACAUUUUUUUUUCAUACAAAGAUAUUCUACUUUAAGUGGAGGGGAUAUUCUACUAUAAAAUGAAGGAUUAGACUUGGCACACAACAAUCCAGCCGGUACUAGUAUCGAAUUCAAUGUAAAUAGGCUAAAUAGCCAAAAUGAUCUCUAAGAUUUGUAUAACUCAUCUCUUUGGUCCCUAACAUUUCAAAUUGAUAAAAGUGGUCCCUGAGAUUGUCCACCUUCCAUCAUUUUGGUCCUUUCGUUAAAAACUCCGUUAAGUGUCCCGGAGCUCUUGGCCAGAAGUUUGGGUAACUCAAUCGUUUCUUAACCAAAUUCGACCUAUAACAUAUCAAAAUGAAGAUAGGAAAGUGUAGAAUAAGAUUAUACCUAAUUAGAAGCCCAAUGGCAGCAGGAGAUGGCCGAAAAAUAGCCUCAAAGUUGACUGGUCUGAGGGAAAACUGGAAAACUCGCCGGAAACUAGGUAAACUUUAAACGUUCAUAACUUCUUCAAUACUCAACGAAAUCAAGUGAUUCAAAAACAAAAAUCAUACUUCUCGAUGAGAUGAAGAGAAUGGUACCUUUUUUACGGUUAACUCACCAUGAUUUGGCCGGAAAACGGCUCGAAAGUGGUUGUCUAGGUCUCGAGUUAGCCACUUUCGAGCCAUUUUCCUGCCAAACCACAGAUACUUAGCAGUCUAAAAAGGUACCGUUCUCUUCGUUUCAUCGAGAAGUUUGAUUUUUGUUUUUGAAUCACUUGAUUUCGUUGAGUAUUGAAGAAGUUAUAAACAUUUAAAGUUUACCUAGUUUCCGGCGAGUUUUCCAGUUUUCCCUCGAACCAGUCAACUUUGAGGCUAUUUUCCAGCUAUCUCAGGCAGUCAUUGGGCUUCCAAAUAUGUAUAAUCUUAUUCUACACUUUCCUAUCUUCAUUUUGAUAUAUUAUGGAUCAAAUUUGGUUAAGAAACGAUUGAAUUGCGAAGUUUUAAAAAUUGCCCAAACUUUCGGCCAAGAGCUCUAGGACACUUAACGGAGUUUUUGACGGAAGGACCAAAAUGAUGGAUGGUGGACAAUCUCAAGGACCAUUUUUAUCGAUUUGAAAUGUUAGGGACCAAAGUGAUGAGUUAUGCAAAUCUUAUGAACCAUUUUGGCUAUUUAGCCAUGUAAAUAAUAUACGCCAUUGUUAUCCAUGUGAGCAAGAUGUUGCUACAUUAAUGAAUAUUUAGCAUUUCAACAAACCCAGACAAGAAUAUGUUUUUACAGAUAUUUAAGCAAAAAUCCCAUUGCUUCCGAGCUAGAAUGACUACAGGUCCGCAUGGAACUUCUGAUCAUAAGUGCUCCAUUUAUGACAGACAUUACUUAGCUUUUCAGAGAAGAAAGCUAUAGGUCUCUCUUCUCUUGGGAAAGAACAACACCCACUCCUACUCCACUUUCAUCACAUUCGACCUCGAAUACUUUCUCAAAAUUUUCGGAAGAACGAACACCAAAGUAGUAUAAAGCUUCUCUUUGAUCAAGGCAAAGCUUCGUUCUUGUUCCUCUCCCCAAUAGAACUUGCCGUUCUUCAAACAUGAUGUGAUAGGUGCAGUGAUAUUGCUGAAAUUUCACAUAUAUCUCUGAUAAGAAGUAACCAGACCAUGGAAACUUCUUUUGUCAGAGACAGACUUCGAAGUUGGCCAAUCUCCGAUAGCUUUGGUCUUCUGAUCAUCCACCUGAAUGUCAUUCUCACUUGUAAGUCCCAUAAAUAGCAAUCUAUUUGUACAAAAUAUGCAUUUCUUAAGAUUCAUGUACAAUUUAUUUCUUUCUAAACACUCAAACAUGUCUCAAAUGCAUAAGGUAUUCGAUCUUCUUUGGUCUUGCUAUGGAUUAAAAUGUCGUCAAAGUAAACUGCAACAAAGAAACCAAUAAAAAGAUGAAGAACUUGAUUUAUAAGGCUCAUAAAGGUACUCGACACAUUAAGCAGUCCAAAUGGCAUUACUACUUAACACAUUAAGCAGUCCAAAUGGCAUUAUUAGCCACUCGAACAAUCCAUCCUCACUCUAGGCACCAAAUCAAUUGGAUGAUGAAUGUUUCUCAUGGGGGAAGUUCGUUAGGUAACUCUUCAUAAAUUAGUACGUUCCUGAAACUCCUCUAAUAAUUGUUGCACUUCCAGAGGAAUUCGUUCCCCUUCUCUGCUGUCUGCUAAUAAUCAUUUCAUCACGAUCAGAAAGAAAGAAUCAGCUUCUUGUAUUGCUCUUUCAAUCUCUUGCUCGUUGCUAGUUAGAGUUAGGGAACUAGUAUUACUUGCCUUCGAUACAUCGGAAGGCAAAACAGGAGCCAUUGCAAUCUUUUGAUUGUUCCAAUUGAAUAACAUCACAUUAUCUCGACCUUUCAAUCAAUGUCAAAUUCACAUCAAAUUUCCAAGGUGUCCCUAACAGUAUAUGGUAGGCAUUUGUAUCAAUAACAUCAUAAACUACUUCGUCUCAGUAAUGCUUACUGAUGAAAUGCAAGUUUAUGUGACAUGAACAUAAGGUCAUUUCUUCACCAUCUAAGGGAAUAUAGGGAAAUGAGGCUCUGUUGGUAGUUGCAAAUGCUCCACUACUUUCUUGGCUCCAAAAUUCUCACUACUGUUGUUUACACUAACUUUGCAAACUUUGUCGUUGGUGGAGCAAAGACAACAAAAAAUGCAGUGCCGUUUUUCAACCUCUUUUGGUGCCAAAAGAACUUUGUGUAACACCAAAGUGAGGUGAUCCAUUCCUUCUUCAGUUGCAAAUUCGACGCUUGCAUAAUCAUCAUCACCUCUAACUUCUUCUUCUUUGUAGUUCUUCAUUGUUCCCGUUAGCUUCCAAUACAUUGGCUUGUCUCCAUUCAGGACAAACAUUAGAAUGAUGCCCAGUUUUGUUGCACUGACAACAAAUGUCUCCUAUAGCUUAGGCAUGGGGAUUCUCCCUUGGAGGUUAGUUUCUAUUAUGCCCCUUGUUAAAAGUCAUGAUACUCCUUUCAUUUGAUGUUCGAGAAGGAAAAUUUGAAGGUUUCGACCUUCCAGAAUUUUGUGGCACAAAUUUCCCUUUGUCAGCAGCCAAGCCAACCAGAAUUUCAGAGUUCUCUACCACGUUCUUCUAGAAAGAGGUUUGUCGCUUCUUUUUCUCCAUUAUCUCCACCUUCAAAGCCAUGUUAAUAGGCUCUUGCAUGCUCCAUUGGUUUUGCAUCUUUUCUUGAAUGGAGAGUUUCAAUCCAUUCACAUACCUUGCAACCUUUUAAUUUUCUAGCACUGUCGAAUAGGUUCGCUCCAAAAGUCGAGUGAAAUUAUCUGUAUAAAUUGUCACCUUUAUAUUGCCUUGGACAUAGCUAAUGUUAAUACAAUACAAGAGUUGUUCAUAAUCUGCAAGUAAGAAAUGAUCCAUCAAGAGCUGCUUCAUUUUUCUUCAGUGCGAAUUUGAUUCUUUCCUUGCCUUUGCUAGGUGUUCUGUAAUUAAUCCCAAAAAACAGCAGCAGUUGCUUUGAGGCAGAAGACAACCAUCUUCACCAUCAUUGUCUCAGGGAUCCAUGACGUUGAAAAAUCAUUCUAUAUAUUCCACUAGCCAAUCCAAGAAGUUUUCGAUUUUCAGAUUCCCCACAAAAGUUGGAAUGUCAGCCUUAGGGCUGGUUUGGUAUUGCUGUGCUUUGAAAAAAAGCUGCUGUGAGAAUAAGCGGCUGUGAAAUAAAUCAGCAGAGUGUUUGGUAAACUUUUUUGUAAAAGUGCUUUUGGAAAAAAAAAGCAGUCUGAUAGUGAGUCUUUUCAUUAAAGGAGUACUGUAGUUAUGUGUGCUUUGAAAAAAAGCCAGUUUUCCAAAGCUACAAAUGGCAGCUUCAACUUUUUCCUUUGAUUUCAGCUUAUUCUCACAGCAGCUUCCAAAAUAAGCCCUUUUUUUUUAGUUUACCAAACACCAAAAACACUCCCAGCUUUUUUUCAUAGGAGCUUUUUUUAAAAUCACCUCAACCCCAAAAUGGGGCUUAAUCUGAAAAUCAUCAAAGUUGUUGAUGUUUUGAUGUUUUGGAUUGUUAACUGAGGGAGGUUUUGCAUAUUCUUCAUCGGACUCCGAUUUGUUGUCUUGAACAUGGGGCUUGGGAACUCUUUGAUUAUUGACUACGAUAACUUUUUGGUUAUCUGGACUGAGGAUUUUGAACAACAUCUCACUAAGCUUUCCAAAUUGCAUAGUUAAAUUUGCAAUCUGUUCAACCUGAGCGUCUAGGUCCGUUUGAGUGAUAGAGGCAGAUUCACAAUUACGAUCACCCAUGGAUAGUUAAGACAACGAACGAUGCCAAGAUGGGAGAAACCUGCUACAGUAAUCAAAGGGUUACCUUCUAGAAUCCACCAGAAAACUGAGAGAAAUCUCAAAUGUUGAUUAUUUAAUUGAUAAUUAGAGGAGUAGAUUGAAAUUGUCCAACAACUUUAAAUAGAGUGGUUACAACUCAUUGACCAACUCAAAUGACUCAAGCAACUAAUUGACAUUAUUUCGACAUUAAUCAAACGACAAAUGAAGAGUCUGUUUUUUAUUCUAAAAAUUAAAAUGAUGUUUUGGAGGCGCAAACGACCCCCAAUGGCAAAAUCCAUCAUACAAUUGGACUCGUAGCGUCGUUACUUUUUGAAAAAGUAUCUGGGCCAAAUUUGGAGGUCGAACGCCAAACCUACAAAUUCCCACUGCGCCUUUUUUUCCGACGACCCAUUUCCUCUUCGAUACAUUCUGCCAUUUGUUCUACAUCAAUGAUGGGAAAGUUGAAACUCAUUCUUAUACAACUCCGAAUUAUGAGAUGAGUUUGUAAUAAUUUAAGAUUACAAAUUCUAAAAUGACUGAAAUUAAGGGUUUCUUUGAAAGAACCAGAGUUGGCUAAAGAGCUCGAGCAGGAGUUUUGUCAAACUCAAAUGAGUAUCCAGAAGUAUACUUAUUUGAUCUUAAUGUACUCUUUCUCCCUAUGAUUAGGAGCAUUUUUCCCACUUGGUUUUUGCCACCUAACUAGGUUUUAACGAGGCUCAUAUCCUGGGCUGGUAAGGAUGACAAUUCAAACCGUUAAACUUGAUAACCGUAGAUAACCAUUCGAAUGGAACUGAUUUGGGGAUUAAAAUUCGGUUAUAUUUCGGAUAUGGGGAAACCAGAUAUACUAUUCGGUUAUGGUUUCAGAUAUGAUUAUAGGGGUCCCCGAUCCGUAUCCAUCCCCGAAAUUGACCCGAAUGAUACAUAUAUGUAUAUUCACCGAACUCAUUACUUUGAAAAUUAUAAAAGUUGCAUUUUGUGAGAAAGUUCAAAAGUUUUGGAUCAAAACCAAUAAGAAUUCAAUGAUGCUUAUGGAAGAGAUCAAACAUAAGCCAACAUCAUCAAUGUAUCUAUUAUAUUUGUUGGUAUACCAUGGGUCCAUCCCAAGAUGAAGGACAUUAAAGGUCCAACCCAUUAUGAAGGAUGGAUGCUAGAAAAUUCUAGCAUGCAAAGUAGGAUAACUAGUCUAGAAUUAUCUAAGUUAGAGGUUUGUAGAAUAUACUAGAAACUAGAAACUAGUUCUAGUUUGUAGAAAGAACUAUAAACUAGUAGAAUGCCAAGUCCUCACCUAUAAAUAUGGGUGUGAUGUUGUAGUGAUGUAACCAAUCAAGAAAGAAGUGAGUAGAAAAUGAUCAAGUCUAAAGCUAGAGUUCCAUUCCAAGAGUGAGAGUGAGAGUGUUCCACUACACAUUGUGCGAGUGAAGUUUAGAGUGAUAGAAAGUGUGUGUUAUACUUUCUUGUAUCCAUCAAGCCUUGUCUUUUGCUUGGUAAGACUACUCUUGUUGUACUCAUCAUUUUCAUAUAGUGAAGAUUGAUCAUUGUUCCGUGGACGUAGGCAUAAAUUGCCGAACCAUGUAAAUUCUUGGUGUCCAUUUUCUACUUUACUUUGUGCAUUCUUUAUCUUGUAGCACCGACAUUCCUAACAAGUGGUAUCAGAGCCCGGUUGGCUCGUACUACGAGAUGGAAGGAAAUGGCAUUAUGAUCAAACUCACCAACUCCAAUUGGGUAACAUGGAAGCCAAUGAUGGAUGACAUUCUCUAUUGCAAGGAUCUGCAUAAGCCAAUUGAAGGAUAUGCCACUAAGCCCGAAAGCAUGUCCGAUGCCGAGUGGAAGAAGAUGAAUUGCAAGGCAAUUGACAUAAUUACACAAUGGGUGGACGAUAGUGUUUUUCACCAUAUGUCUAAUGAAACCAAUGCCCGCAAGUUUUGGACGAAGCUUGAGUCCUUGUUCGAUAAGAAAACCCCAACCAAGAAAGCCUUCUUGAUCAAAGAGCUCAUCAAUGUGAAGUAUAAUGAUGGUUUAAGUGUAGCAGAACACUUGAACAAUUUCCAUAAUAUCAUCAACCAGUUUGUUACUAUGAACAUGACGAUUGAGGAUGAGCUGCAAUCGCUCUUGUUACUUGGAUCCUUGCCAGACAGUUGGGAGAUUUUUGUGGUGAGUGUAAGUAACUCUGCUUCUAAUAGUGUUCUUACUCGUGAUAAUGUUAAAAAUAACAUGCUCAAUGAAGAAAGAAGGAGAAAGACUUAUGGCACAGAUAGCAGCCAAGUAUUUGUCACAGAGAAUCACGGAAGAAGCAAGAGUAGAUGGCCUAGAGGUCAUGGUAGAAGUCCUAGCCGAUCCAAGUCAAGGUUCAGGGGUGCAUGCCACCAUUGUGGCAAACAAGGCCAUAUGAAGAAAAAUUGUCGAGUUUGGAAGAGAGAGCAAAGAGAAGGAAACAAUCAGAAGAAAAAUGAUACCGGCAAUACCACUGCUGUCAUAUGUGGUGAUGUACUAGAAAUAUUGUAUUGGUGAAUGUCUGUAUAUAGGUGAUUCUGACAAAGACAUUGAAUGGAUCUUUGACAAUGGAACUUCCUUCCAUGCUACAUCCAAAUGGGAGUUCUUCAGUACAUACAAACAAGGUGACUUUAGCAUAGUGAAGAUGGGAAAUGAAAGUUAUUCCAAAAUUCUUGGAAUUGGUGAUAUUUGCCUAAGAACUAAUUUCGGUUGCUAGUUGAUGUUGAAAGAUGUGAGACAUAUUCCUGAUAUACGUCUCAAUAUGAUAUCCAUCGGUACCCUUGAUCGACAAGGUUAUUAUCACCAUAUUGGCGAAGGAAAAUUAGGCUUAAUAGUGGUAGCAAGAGCAUGACUUUGUUGUACGUUGUAUUGGUCAAAUGCCAAGGUUUUGAAAGGUGAGUUGAAUGUUGUGGAUGACUCAUCUCUAGACUUAUGGCGUAAGAGGCUAGGCCACAUGAGCGAGAAAGGUCUACAAGUUUUGGCAAAUAAGUCACACAUUCCCUUUGCCAAAGGUACAUCAUUAAACUCUUGUGAGCAUUGUUUAUUCAUAAAACAAAGAAGAGUUAGUUUUUAUGUUCCAUCUACAAAGAAAGGAAAUUUGUUAGAUCUUGUUUAUUCAGAUGUUUAUGGUCCUAUGGAAGUCGAGUCACUUGGAAGAAAUAAAUAUUUUGUUACUUAUAUUGAUGAUGCUUCAUAAAGGGUAUAAGUGUUUUUGUUGAAAUCUAAAGACCAAGUGUUUCAAACAUUCUAGGAGUUCAAUGCCAUAGUGGAGAGGAAAACUAGGAAACCUCUCAAGUGCCUUCGUAGCGAUAACGGUGACGAGUACACAUCUCACCAGUUUAGAGAGUAUUGUGACAUACGUCAUGAGAAGGCAGUUCCUGGAACUCCACAACAUAACGGUGUUGCUGAAAGAAUGAACCAAACCAUCAUGGAGAAAGUCAGGUGCAUGUUGAGGACUGCAAAGUUAUCUAAGGAGUUCUGGGGUGAAGCUGUAAAGACAGCCUGCCAUUUGAUCAACCGAUCUUCAUUAGUACUAUUAGGUCUUGAUGUUCUAGAGAGAGUAUGGACUAGUAGUGAUGUGUCUUACUCUCAUCUGAAGAUGUUUGGUUGCAAAGCUUUUAUGCAUGUGCCCAAAAAGUAGAGAUCGAAGUUAUACUACAAAGCUACACCAUGCAUCUUUCUUAGUUAUGGCAAUGAAGAUUUUGGUUACAGAUUAUGGGACCCAUACUAGAAGAAGUGUAUCAGAAGCUGAGAUGUAAUCUUUUAUAAAGAUCAAACAAUUGGGGAUUCAAAUAAAGAGGCACAACCAGAUGGCGCAACCAGAAGAGUUGAUCCAUUAGCUUCAGAUGAAGAAAGUCACGGUGACAUCCCUGAAGCAGCUGCCAAUGAAAUGCCUGUAGAACUAGAUAAUGCUGAUCAGGGGGAGCCUAAUCAAGAUGAGCCAGACCAUGAAAUUGCUGAUCAGGGAGAGCCUGAAGAGCAGAUUCAAAGGGAACUCAAUCAGGGGGAGCCUCCAGCCCCACAAGAGAAUGAAGACCAAGUCAGAAGAUCCAGCAGAAGUCGAAGACCGUCUAUCAAGUAUUCUUCAUCAAAGUAUAUCAUGUUGACUAAUUAUGGAGUGCCCGAAACUUAUGAGAAGGUCAGAACUCAUAACGAUUGUGACAGAUGGAUGAAGGCAAUUGAGUCAAAUAUGGAUUCCUUAUUAAAGACUGAUACCUAUAAGCUGGUGGAGCUUCCAAAUGGUAGAAAAGCAUUGAAAAACAAGUGGGUGCUUAAAUUGAAAAGAGACGACAACAUGACAAGGUACAAGGCUCGUUUGGUUGUCAAAGGUUUUGGUUAAAAGAAAUGAGUUUACUUUGAUGAGAUUUUUUCACUGGUGGUGAAGAUGACUUCUAUUCAAGUUAUCCUUGGUAUGUCAGCAAGCAUGGAUCUUAAGCUCGAGCAGUUAGACGUUAAAACUGCAUUUCUCCACGACAAUUUAGAAGAUGAGACAUUCAUGGAGCAACCCAAAGGCUUUGAAGUCAAAGGUAAAGAAAAUUUGGUAUGCAAGCUGAAGAAAAGCUUAUAUGGUCUUAAGUAGGCUCCGAGACAGUGGAAUAAGAAGUUCAACUCAUUCAUGGUGAGUAAUGGGUACAAGAGAACUCAUGCUGACUCUUGUGUCUAUAUCGAACAAUUUUCUGGAGGUAAAUUCAUCAUUUUAUUACUUUAUGUUGAUGACAUGUUGAUUGUUGGUCAAGAUGCUUCUAUGAUUAAAAAGCUCAAAGAAGAGUUAUUUAAGUCCUUUGACAUGAAGGACUUAGGGCCAGCCAAGCAGAUUUUGGGCAUGAAGAUAAUUUGUGACAGAAAAUCUAAGAAGUUGUGGCCGUCACAAGAAAAGUAUGUUGAAUGGGUGCUUGAAAGAUUCAACAUGAAAGCAACCAAAUCGGUAAGCUCACCUUUAGCCAAUCAUAUCAAGUUGAGCAAAUAGUCGUGUCAAAAAACAUAUGAAGAAAAGGAGAAAAUGGCAGUUGUUCUUUACUCUUCAACAGUAAGAAGUAUCAUGUAUGCAAUGGUGUGCACACGGCCAGAUAUUGCUCAUGCAGUAGGUGUGGUGAGCAAGAUUCUCUCUAAUCCAGGGAAAGACCACUGAGAAGCUGUUUUGUGGAUUCUCAGAUAUUUGAAGGGGACUUCUAUGAUGUGUUUGUGCUUUGGCGGUUCCAAACCAAUCUUGGAAGGAUUUACAGAUACUGACAUAAGAGGUGACCUGGAUGGUAGAAAAUCUACGUCUCGAUACUUGUUUACUUUUGCAGGGGGAGCCGUCUCAUGGCAAUCCAAGCUGCAAAAGUGUGUUGCUUUGUCCACAACCGAUGAUGAAUAUAUAGCCGCUACAAAAACAUGCAAGGAGUUGUUGUGGCUGAAGCAGUUUCUCCAAGAGUUGGGUUUGAAACAAAGUGAUUAUGGCAUUUAUUGUGAUAGUCAGAGUGCUCUGGAUUUGAGCAAGAACACUGCAUAUCAUUCACACAUCAAGCACAUUGAUAUUUGUUAUCACUGGAUUAGAGAUGCUAUUGAGAACAAGUUGCAACGGCUGAAGAAAAUUCAUACCGAUAAUAAUUCCUUAGACAUGUUGACAAAGGUAGUCACAAAAUCAAAGGGGAAUUAUGCAUUAAGGCUGCUGGGAUGGACUCCAAGUAACUUAGAGUCAUGAUCAGAAUUCCUCCCUCAUGGACUGGAAGGGGAGAUUGUUGGUAUACCAUGGGUCCAGCCCAUGAUGAAGGACAUUAAAGGUCCAGCCUAUGAUGAAGGACAUUAAAGGUCCAGCCCAUUAUGAAGGAUGAAUGCUAGAAAAUUCUAGAAUGCAAAGUAGGAUAGCUAGUCUAGAAUUAUCUAAGCUAGAGGUUUGUAGAAUAUACUAGAAACUAGAAAUGAGUUCUAGUUUGUAGAAAGAACUAGAAACUAGUAGAAUGUCAAGUCCAAAGCUUGAGUUCCACUCCAAGAGUGAGAGUGAGAGUGUUCCACUACACAUUGUGUGAGUGAAGUUUAGAGUGAUGUGUGUGUUAUACUUUUUUGUAUCCAUCAAGCCUUGUCUUUUGUUUGGCAAGGCUACUCUUGUUGUACUCAUCAUUUUCAUAUAGUGAAGAUUGAUCGUUGUUCCAUGGACGUAGGCAUAAAUUGCCAAAUCACGUAACUUCUUGGUGUCCAUUUUCUACUUUACUUUGUGCACUCUCUAUCUUGUAGUACCGACAUUCCUAACAAUAUUAUGUUGAUGAAAUUGGUAUCUAUUAUAUUAUAAUGCGUCAAUUAAAUGAAUAUAUUUUUGGUAUUGACGAAGAUGAAUAUAACUGUUAACUGAUGAGAAAUUCGUUACCCGGUGGGUAUGGUUAUGGAUAAUCCCCGAUGGUUAAUUUACGGUUAUGGAUAUGGUUAAUUCUGAUGAUUAUGGGGAUGAAUAUAGCAUUUCCGUCCCCAAACCGAACCGUUGCCAUCCCUAUGGGCUGGUUAUAUCCUUGUAAGGUUUUCCACUUUCUCCCCGUAGGCGUUUAGUUUUGACAUUAUGCAUACUUCUCACAUUUCUACUUUGUCUAUGAGUUUUUCUCCCAUAGUGGGUUUUAUCAUAAUGAUGUUUUGUGAGUUUUACUAUCAAUGUAUACUUCUGUUAAUUUGAGAUUCGUAUUCGCCCAUUAUGCCGACGACUUCACCAACUGAACUUACUUCACCACUGAAGACUUUAUGCAACAUUUUGUUUGAGUAUUUACCUACUCAAGAGGGAGUGUUGCAGUCCUAAUCAAAUUAGGAAUGUAAUUAUGUAAAUCCUAUUGUAAUUCUAUGAUAUCUUUUAGGUAGUGUCCUAAUUUGUUGUAAUACCUAAGGGUAAGAGAUUUACCUUCCCUACUACUAUAAAUAAAAACACAAUGAGUUGAGAUAAUAUACACCUUAGAAUUCACCAAAUUCUUUCUCUCCUUGCCGUCACACCCUUCUUUCCCUCCAACAGGGAUGGGGUUUGACGAGUUAAAUUGUCAUCCCUCCCACACCCAUCAAGGGUUGACCUCCCAAUUUUAAGCAUUAACAAUGUUAUUCUCCAUGUUACCAAUUGGUUUUAUAGUAGUGAAAUAUCAACUUUAUUUAGUAUUUUUCUUUUUGUUAUUUUCUAUUAAUUUUUCAGGAUGAAAAUUCAGUGCCAAAUUCACUUGUACAAAACUUGAACACAUGGAAAAUAUUGAGUUAAGUACAUACGUGGUCAUACCAUAUCACACAAUAUUUUGUAAGAGAUUUGGAAUCCAAAUUUAGUUAAAAUAAAGAGUGUUUUUUAGAGAAAUAGUACAAGGUUGAACACUGCCCCAACAUUUGAAAAGAAUUUUCAUAACACUACAUAAUUGUAUUUCGUUUAACGCGGACAAAACUAAGGCAUGGAAUAUAAAACUAUAUAUAUAUGUAUGUAUGUGUGUGUAUAUGUUUUUUUUAAUAGACGAUAUUAUUUACACUAAAGGAAUAAGGUGAGCUUAGUUUCAUAAUGAGUUAGUAAUAAUGUGUUUCAAAUUCGUCUUUAGCAAGAAUUGAAUCUAAGACAUCUCACUUACAAGUGAAGAGAAAUAUCAUUAGACUCAUGUGGUGUAUUAACUGCACAAGAAAACGAGAGCAAGGGAAAUUCCUUUUUUGAAGUGCUAAGCUAUCAUAUCUGUCAUCUAAAGUAUUGAUAAUUCAAAGGAUGUUCUCUAGACUGUCAAUCAUCUUAAAUUUGUCUAUUUAAACACGACAUUACACAAGCACUUCUUGUGUCGUCAAUGCAUGAAAAGAGACAUUUCGUUAAGAAAGAAAUUUAAAAAUAAUAAUAAUAAUAAAAAAAAGGUUAAAAAUAGACAUUUCAAAAGAAAUUAAUUUCAACGACGUCUUUUUGGUGGAAGGUUCAGUGGGUGGGACAAGGAUUGUCUGCCCUCCUUGUUUCCAUGCCCUUCCAUGCCCUCCUGAUUUAUGUGGUCAUGGUUAAGUCAUGUCAACAUUUUAUAUUGUAUUUUUAUAGAGAUAAUAAGACAAAAAUGAAUAGUAUGGAAGGGCACAGGAACAAGAGGGCAGACAAUCCUUGUCCUAGUGGGUGAUUCCCAAAAUGUAAAAUAUACAAUUCCAAGUGGCGAACACCAAGUUCGCCUUCGCCUAACAUGUUAGUUACUCUUGUCUUUGGUAUCUUUGAAGACACGGAUGAACUGAGAAAAACAAAUUCAACUAAUUAAAUUUGUUCAGACCGCGGAAUUGAAGUAUAGUUUCAAUCCUACGACCUAGCAGAAAAAUAAAUCAAUUAAAUAACGAGACGAGAAUACUAAAUUUUUUUACAAGAGAAACCUUCCACAUAUGAAGCAAAGAAAACCUUGGGCACACAGUCACGUGAUAAUAUAUCUAACAAGAGACAACUUACUUAACUGAGUUAACUAGAUGCUCAACUCAAAGCUUCCAUCAUUUGAAAUCGAAGGUCGUGCCAUUACCGAUGAUAGACUGGUUUGGUUGGGAGCAGUGCAGUCAGCUGCGAAGGAAGCUGUGAAUAACAGGAAGAGCAAUUUAGUUGUGAUCAUAAACGAAAAUGAAAAACAAAGAUAACCCAUGGAGCUUUUGUUCUUGAGCAAUGGUGGAGCUAGAAAUUUUUCACCAAGUAAGCUAGCUUAAAAAUUUAAAUCUUUAUAAAUAAAGAAACUUGAUACUAUAUUUUUUACAGUACUAGCUAGUUUAAGAAAAUUUUCACAAGGUGAGCCAAGAACUUUCGUUAUUCAAACAAAUGCAAACUUCUACAUGUACAAAAAGCAAUGAGAAAAAAGAUGUGAGAAAAAAAAAAUGGUUUGUAAACUGUAUUAUAUAAUUAAACUGAGAGAAUUUGAAUCAGGAACUAAAUAUAUGGUGAGCUACAUUCGAAAAUCAAGAAAAAUUACAUGUAAAAUUUUAUUUUCUACCGAAAGUUACCUGGGCUACACUCCAGGGAAGCCUUUAAUGUGGCUCCGCCGGUGUUCUUAAGCCUCUUGCCUACUGGUUUAUGUCAAGUUUAAGGAAGAGUAGCCUUUUGAUAUUAAGACAAAUUCUUUGCGGAUUUAAUGCUUUGUUGAAGGAAACAUGGCACCGGCAUUGACUAGUAAUGCAUGUUGGAGCAAUAUUAGAAAAUAUGAAGACUCCCAAUGUUGUUUAAAGAGGGAAGUUAAGGAACAAUCGAUUCGUCUGCCAUUGUUCACUAUUACAAAUUUUUAAUACAUGACGCAAUUUAUUGGUCAUGUUAAAAGUUUUAUGACGCAAGGGUUUAGCAUCAUCUCUGUGAGUGUUGUUGAUGCAUAAAAUUAACGAGGACUUUGAUACAACAGAAAGUGUUAAGUUUGUGACCUUCGCUAGAUUGCUCCGGUCACUAGUGUGGACAAGUAAGUAAAUGGAUAAGGACAGGGAAGCAAACACAAGAUGUACGUGGUUCACCCAGAUUGGCUACGUCCACGGAGUAUAGGAGUUCUCAUUAAUUGUGAAGGGUUUACACAAGUACAUAGGUUCAAGCUCUCCUUUAGUGAGUACUAGUAAAUGAUUUAGUACAAAUGAUAUUAGGAAAUAUUGUGAGAGAAUGAUCUCUAUUUAUAGAAGAGAGUUUCUAGUUUCAUUCUGACAUUGACACGUGUCGUGUUGUGAUUGGCUUUUGAUGUUAAUAUGUGUCGCGCUAUGAUUGGCUUCUGAUGUCGACACGUGUCGCGCUGUGAUUGGCCUCCUAGUUGGAGGGAAACUCUUCUGGGUCCUUGAUGGUAUAAUGUUGAUCGGUGCUCAGUUGUUUCCGGAUUGGUCAAGUAUGGUACUAACAAGUGUCAUUAAAGAUAUUUUUUAUGACGUUGAAGAGUGUCAUGUAUUACUUUUAAGAACGCCUAACAAGCGUUAUUGAAUUAAGAACUUGUGUCAACUAUUACCAUUUAAGACGCGUAAUAAGUGUCAUAAACAGAGUAAUGAGCGUCACAGUAUACUAAAUAUGACAUACGCACAAUGUCAUAUAUAGCUUCUAAAAGAACCUGACAAGUGUCAUUAAAUUAAAAUAACAUGUCAUCUAUUUCAAUUUGAGACGUAGAAUAUGUAUCAUAAACAAAGGAAUGAGCGUCAUGUAACCGACAUUGAAAUAAGAAUUUGUGUCAUCUAUUAUCAUUUAAGACGCCGAAUAAGUGUUAUAAAUAGAGGGAUGAGUGUCACAAUAUACUAAACAUGACAUACGCACAGUGUCAUGCAUAACUUAAAGACACCUACCAAGCGUUAUUGAAUUAAAAAAAACGUGUCAAUCAGGCAAACUGUGUUAGACCAAUUACAUAUAUUUACUGGAAAACUUAACUAAGAUCUAGGGUCAUUAGCUUUGAAAUCAAAGUUCAUCUCCAAGUAAAUGACUCAUCCGCAUGCACAAAUCAAUAAAAUAAAAACAUGAGCUAUAUGAUCAUUUAAAAAAACAGAGAAACAAGAUAAUCAAUGAAUAAUCAAUUUUACUCAGCAGUUAGCAGUAAGGGCGUCAACGGAGUGAUUUUAAAAGUAUGAAAGUUUACUAUGACCUCUAAUCAAACCUAUGAAUCCAACAAUUAAUAAUGGAUUUAUACAAGAAAACAAAUACAAAUGACAUAAAACAACAAACAAAUUGAAUGGUUCUCAGUGUGAAGAGAAGAUGAGGGAUGUAUGGACUGAAAAUAGCAAACAAAUACAAAAGACAGGAAACAGCAAAUAAAUGGAAUGUGCUUCAGUUCAUACUAAUAAGAUAGUAGCGAAUACACCCGCUUAAGUACUUUUUGUAAUAGUAGUACCAACCUUGGUAAUAAUUGAGCAAUUAAGAUCAUCAAUGAUUUUUUUCAUGUAUUUCAUCACAUAAUAUUCACAUUCUACAAUUCAUUCUUGCAAAAGGCACUACAUAUACAAAUAAAAAAGGACUUAGACUUGGCCACACAAUUAAACAGUCUCAAAUUUAAUACAAAUAUUAUAUAGUCUUCGUUAUUUAUGUUGGCAAAACAUUACUACAUUUAGGAGUAGAGACUUUUCAACAAACACAUACACGUUAUAUGAUUGUGAAUGGUCGUUAUCAACAUAAAAGUUAAUUCAUGGUCAAGGGGCCCUACUGCCGGCCAGUCAGUCAUCUAUUCAAAAACGAACGGAUCCUGGCGUGUUUACCAAAAUAAAAAGGAAAAAACUCCUUCUGGCUUCACCAAACAAAUUUUUUGUGACACUUAAUUUAGUUUACGUAUUUAGUCUACAUAUUUAAUUUAUCUAGCAUUACUUUUUUUUGUAAUGCAUGAAUUUCUACAAAAGUCCUUUUUAUAAGUUCUAAUUGAGUGUAAGAGGAGAGAGAUAGGAAAGUAUGAGUUAGAAAUUAAUUUAUUUUUUUAUUAUGAAAAAUAUGUUGCAGUCUUAGUUAGGAAUGUGAUUGUAUAAGCACUACGAAAUCUUUUUAGGAUUCUAUCAUAUUUUUUUAGACAGUAUCCUGUUUAAGUUGUAAUACUUAUUAGAUAAGAAAUUUACCUUUAUACUACUAUAAAAGAGAGGCAUAAUGGUAUGAGAUAAUACACAUCUCAGAAUCCACCAAAUUCUCUAUCUUGCUUGCCGCACCUCUCUCUCUACUGUAUAAUUUUUAGUUAAAUAGGUUUAUAACAAAAUAAAAAAUAUUUUCAUGUCCAAAAAAAUACAGUGAUUAGGAUUCUUUUCAUAUAAUUAUUGUAUUCUCUAUUGUAUUUGCACUAGGUUUUUUUGGUGUUGUAAUUUCUAUAUAUAAAUAAAUCCAAUGAGUCAUAAUUCCAUCCUCACAUUUCCCUACUAUUCAUUCUUUUUAAGUUUAAAUGGUUUCAUUGACCUAAAAAAGUUCAAAUGGUUUCGGUUGGUGGAAAGUUGAGUUUGUGAUUCCAACCUAGAAUCGGAAAUAUACAAUUCCAAGUGACAAACACCAAAUUCGCUUUUGGUAUGAAGAAUUUUCAAUCUUCCAUGGAUAUCUUCAUAUUAUGUAAAUACAAAUGUCCAUUACUUUUCAACAAUUUCGUUCUCUUACUUGGCGGCUGCUUCUCAUUGGGUCUAAUAUAAAGCAUCAUAUUGGCUUUUGGCAUUUUUACCAACAAGUUCAUACAUUCUUCCGAGAGAGAGAGAGAGAGAGAAGAGGAGAGAGAGAAAAGAUCGAUGAUGGCAAGAGUGGAGGAUGUGGUGAUAGUAGGGGCAGGAAUAGCAGGGCUGGCGACUGCCGUGGCGCUCAAGAAAGCUGGACUUAAAGCGUUGGUGUUGGAGAAAUCAGACAGCCUCAGAGUCACCGGUGCAGCUUUAACCCUCUUUCCCAACGCUUGGUGUGCCCUUGACGCCUUGGGUGUUUCCCACCACCUCACUUCUCUUUAUGCUACAAUAAAAAAGUGAGUGCUCGAAUCUCCUUCAUGUAUUAGACUAGUUUAAAAUAUCUCUGUCUGAAAAGAAACAUAGAAAACUAAUGUUUGGAUGCAAAGUCAGGAAGACUAAUACAUAUGUAGACACGCAUGAAGCUGAUCGCUGUUAUAAUUACAACCUGAAAGUCAAUGAGACUACUACAAUUACUGUCAGGAAUUUCUAACAAAGUCAAUCUUAACCACAUGAACCAUGUUUAAACUCAUAAUUCAACUUAUUUAUGCGUUGGGAAUGGUUGUCUGACAGGGGAUAUAUAACUAACAUUGAUACCGGAGAAAUCCAAGAAGUUUCUUUAGCCGCAUCCAAUGGGUAAGCGAACCAUAGUAUUGUUUAUUUGUUCAGUUUUACAGCUGGCAUGUACUGCUUUAGGAAUUUAGGACCUGAAUGUUGUCAAUCUUUUACAUGAAAUUUAGAAAUGACCUAGUUGGACCAAGAUCAGUACACCGAAAAGCUUUACUCAAGGCUUUGGCAGAUGAGUUACCACCAAAUUCCAUCCGUUUCGCUUCCAAACUUACUGCUAUCGAGGCCCAAGAACAUGAAGGCUCGUCCAUUUCAGUUAUUCACUUGGGAGAUGGGACAAUAAUCAAAGCAAAGGUAUAGUAACCAAAAUACACUGUUUAUAAGUAGUACAAUGAGAGAGUCACUCGUGGAAUUGUUAAAAACGGUGAUAUUUUUGUCUAGUUGAAUGAAUUCAAAGAAGGAGGAGUGAAAAAUACACAGUGAAAAGAAGAUUGGAAAAAUGGCAGCUUCUCUCUCUCUGCAAGUCACAGAGGAGCGAUUGGAAUUCUCACUCUACUUCUGAUAUGCACUCACACACUUACACAAAAAAAACUGUGUGGAGGGAAAAUUAUAGUUAGAAACAAUUGGAUCCUUUCUCUCACAGUACUUAGAUCACAACCGCUCAUCUAACAUGUAAUGACAUAAUAAAGAAAGACCAAAUAACCAAUGGCACUCAUGGCCUUUUACACAUAGGAACUUCACACUUGGCAUUCUUAGCACAAGUGAAUACACAUUUAAUCUCAACUUAUUGCUAAUACUCAAUCAGCUAGAGACUUAUAAUUCAACAGGAAUGCAGUACUUUAAGUUAUCUUUUUCUUUCCAUUAUAUUUUGUUUUAAUUGGAUGAUCAUCCGCUACAGGUUCUGAUAGGCUGUGAUGGGAUUCACUCAGUGGUUGGCCGCUCGUUAGGACUUGCCGAACCAGUGUAUGCAGGUCGAUCAGGAGUUCGUGGCUUGGCUGUGUUUCCUCAAGGCCACGGAUUGGACAAUAACGUGCAGCAAUAUGUAGGACUUAACAGAAGGGCUGGUUUUGUUCCCCUCAAUGACAAAGAGAUCUAUUGGUUCUUUGUCACAUAUCUGGCUAAAGGUUCAAAAUAAACCAUUCCCUUCGUUUUAAUUCGUGACAGACAACAAACUGAACACCUAACAAAACACCACACUUGUUUCUAUCGUUAUUGUAGGGGCGGAUCUUGCCAAUGAGCCGGAAGUUAUAAAACGAGAAGUGAUUGAGAAUUAUGCCAAGGAUCUUCCUCCUAUUUACCUAGACGUUGUACGGCACUCAGAUCUUUCAACAUUGUCAUGGGCUCCACUAAUGUUCAGGUACCCGUGGCAUGUAGUAUUCGGGAACCUAGGCAAGCAAAACAUCACGGUGGCUGGUGAUGCCAUGCAUCCCAUGACACCUGAUUUAGGACAAGGAGGUUGCUUGGCAUUGGAAGAUGCAGUGGUCUUGGGCAGAUACAUAGGGACAUCCUUUGUACAAAAUGGACAAAUCGUGCCGAAAGAGAUGGUUAGCGCGAUUGGGAAAUACGUGGAAGAAAGAAGGUGGCGUGUCGCGCUGUUGAUUGCAGGAUCAUAUUUAUCAGGAUGGAUACAGCAGCCGGGGUCUGGUGGGGUUAUGAAGUUCUUGAGGGAAACCAUAUUUUACAGGUUCAUUUUCAAUCAGCUUGUUAAACUUUCACGUUAUGAUUGUGGAAAACUUGAUUUCUAGCUAGUGCAUUUCAUUGUCCACAAGAAAGAAGAUGAUCAAGCUUCCCUCCUCCACGGCAUUAAAUUAUUGAUGAUCUUUCAACAAGGAUCGACCAGAGACAGGAAUCUAAGAAGAACAGGAAAGAUUUAUGGAACCUAGUAGCUAUUACAUAAAUUUAUAUUUUCACAUACCUCUGCUGCUUUGUUGACAAAAGGGUAUUUUGCAUUGUAGUCUGAGAUCAAUAGCUAAAUAAGCAGUAUAUGCUAGUUGUGUAUAAAUGCCAAAGGCCACAAUUUACAAAAACAGUGUGCUUUGCCCAGAAUUCUAGUACUGUAUGAACUAAUUUACAACAAAUAAAACGAUCCUUAUCGAGCCUCCAAACGAGUAAUGGAUAAUUUGUUGGUACAAAAUGUUUGAUUAUCUGAAGAUGAACCUGCUUCAUAUUAUUCCCUUUCGAUAAAGAAACCAGAUUAAUUAGGCUAAUCCAAUGCACCAUUAGUUCCCAACUACAAAGGGUAGUAGCCAUUUGGUUAUUAUUGUUGGGUUAACAAUGAUAUUACCAAUGAGAAUGUAAUGUAAGACGUACGAUAGAGAAGGCGAAUCUCCUAUACCUUUAUCAAUCACUUCCAAUGGGCUUCCUUCGUUCUAUAAUCGCCAUGCCUGAAAUAUGUCAAAGCUCCUUCAUCAUCCACCAUGUCAUCAGUUUAAUAUGUAAAAAUAAGAGUUGAUGUUUACAGUUAUUGCUACAUUUUUUUCAUACGAAGGUUCUACUCUAAGCGGGGUAGAUAUUUUACGCUAAGGGGAAGGAUUAGACUUAGCCACACAACAAUUCAACCAUAACUAGCAUCGAAUUCCACACAAGUAUUAUGUGCCAUCGUUAUCCAUGUGAGCUAGAUGUUGCUACAUUAAAGAAUACUAAGCGUUUCAACAAAGCUAGACAAGAAUGUCUUUACAGAUAUUUGAGCAAAAAUUAUGUACUUCUCUUAAUAGUUGUAGGAGGGCGCUGACAAAGCGAGACAAGAAUGCUUAAUACUUGAUCACUGUAGGGGCAAUUGUCAGAGUUCCCACCAGAUGUGUGGUGACUUUUGGAAGUUGUUUUUCGUACCUCCAGCGGCUCUAUUAUUGCGGGCGCAUCCAAACCUUGUUUGUCUUCUUUUGCUCUCCAAACUGAAGCUAAGGCAGCUCUGCUUGCUGUCCGUUCAGCGAUCGGUAACAAUUUCCAAGAUGUGGCCUGUGAAUCGGAUUCGCAGGAGCUCAUUAGAGGCAUCAAGGGUGACUUCAAGAAGGGACAUUGGACCAUCUUUCCCCUAUUAAUCGAAAUUCGGAAUCUCACUCAUCGCUUUCAUUGGAUUAGCUGGUGGUGGAUUCCUCGUCAAGCGAAUUUUGCAACCGAUUGGGUUGCUUGGCAUUGUAAAAGAGGGAUGCGUUCAGAUGUUUGGAUCAUAACGCCCCCAUCCUCUCUAUUCCCAAAGAUGGUCUCCCCUGCCCCUCUUAAACUAUGUGUACUUGAGAUGGGUGAGGAUAGCAGAUUGGACCAUAGCCCCGCUUUCGUGUUGUGCUCUGCUUUUUCUCCCCCGUCUUGGCUUCUGGGCGAGACCCAUUUUCCCACGUUUUUCUAAUUUUUGUAUGCUGCUCUGUUUUGUUUCUUUGGUAUUUUCCAUUUCCGGAUGGUUGUUUUCUCUCCUCGGCUUUGUCCCUAAUGAAGAUUCCCCAUUGGCCUAAAAAAAAGAAGGUAAAAGUUGAAUUCAUUAGUCUGAUACGUGAGCUUUUAUCGAUAUUCAAUAUAUCUAUCUAUAUUUUUACAAAUUUACAUAUAUAUAUUUUGACCGAUAUUGAUAUUUUAAACAUUUAUUAAAUCCAUUAAUGACCCAGAGGCCCUACUACACGUCAGUUAACAAAAACACUUUUCAUAAUGAAAGAAUUUCCAUUGAUUCUUUUAGACGAAAUUUCCAUUGAUUUCCAAGUCAUGUCUUUAUCAAUUAUAACUGGAUGACAUUCAACUCAAAUAUUGUCAAAUAAAAAAAAAAGAAAUUUGAUCUUUUUAUCUAUAAAUAAAUUUCAAAGUAGACUAAAACGUAGAAAUUUUGGAUUUUGGGUCAAGCGAUCACAUAAUUUACAUUUAUUAUGAUCAACAACAAUGUGGUUUAAUAUCUUAGUAAAUAGAGCACUAAGUUUCUACUCAUAUGUGACAAUUUAUAUUUUAAACAAAUAUAUUAAUUUAUUAAGCUAAGAACUUAAUUUGAACUUUCCAUUUUAACCGUUUUAGUCAGUUUUUUUUUAAGAAGGGAUUUUAUUUUUCACUGUUAAUUUAGUGUUUUUACUUUUUAUUCGUGCAACAGGCAUGUGGUUUAUUUUUUCACCGACUCUGGUUUCGAAGGUGAGAAAUCCUAUACAACUGAAGGUUGCAUGAUGGGCAAGUUGAAUCUCAUUUCUAUACAGCUUUAGGUUAUGUGAUGAGUUUGUAAUAAUUUAAGAUUACUAAAGAAUUCUAAAAUACAUAAAUCAAGAUUUUCUUGGAAAGAAUUAGAGUUGGCCGUGGAGCUCAAGCAGGAGUUUAUUAAAAGAGAAAUAACAGAAGGGAGCGACAAUAUGAGAAUAGUGAGUGGGCUCACGCUUUGUUGAGUGUUCACAAAAAUAUCUGAACUAUACUAUAGCUCAGCUAACGUGGAAUAACAUGGCUGUCGGUAAAUGAAACGAAAUCUACUUUUAUCAAUAUGUGAAACAUGAGCUAAAGAAACCUCCCAAAUCCACGGCCAAGUGAUCAAGUAUAGUCAGAAUUAGUUUUAUUUGGCUAACCCAGCAUAAGAAGAAAAUUCAAAUACGAAAAAUUUAAUGUGCUUCUAGAUCAUUAAUAUAUGAAUGAGAGAUGGUGGUUAGCAAACGUGCUACCAGUGAUGGAGAUAGGUGGGGGUGGUUGCGGCAUCGUGGUGAUGAUGGUGGCAGUGACAAACUAACAAUGGUGCCACUCAUGGUUAAGUUAAUUUUUAUCUUUUGCUAUUAAACUCUCACUCACAAAAAUUUGGAAAUGACAACUGUUUACAUGAAAUUUAAACUAGAAGAUUGGAGGCGCUGAAUUCCAAGUUUUUUGUUCCGCAUGGAAAUUCUAUUUUUAUCUUUAUGAAUCCAAAUACACUUUGCUUGGACGAGAAAAUUUUUAAGAUUACUAAGGAAUUUUAAAACCACGAAAAUUGAAAAUGAUGGAAUUUUAUUUUCUAAAAUUUGUGAAUUUUCUUGUUUGGGUAACGUAAAGGAACAAUAGAAUUUGUAAUUUUGUAAACUCUUACUCAUAUAAAUUUGAAAAUGACACCUAUUAUUGGAGCUCCCAAAUUCCAAGUUUUUAUCUACACGGAAAUUCUAAAUUUUUAUGUUUAUGAAUCCAAACAAGAGAAUUUGAGCAUGUUAAUUUAUAAAUUCAAACUUUUGUCAAAAUUCUAAGUUUAUUUCCCUCAUCCAAAUAUAAGAAAUUGGAAAUGACACCUAUUUACAUGGUUGGGAAUUUGAGGUCCCAAAUUUCAAGUUUUUUUCCACACAGAAAUUCUAAUUUCUAUGUUUAUGAAUCCAAACAAGAGAGUUAAUGCAUAUCAAUUUAUAAGUUAUGACUUUUUGUCAAAAUUCCAAGUUUAUUAUCCAAACAUAAGGAAUUGGUGUAUGUCAAUUUGUAAAUUUUGAUUUUUGUCCAAAUUUCAAAUUUAUUUACUUCAUCCGAACAUAGGGUUAGUGUAUUUAUAAAUUUAUAUAGGACACUUGUUUCUUGUUACUUGGUGUUGGUUCUUGAGCAGGAGAUUAAUUCAAAUUGAGAAAUUUGGGGGACGAUGUACUCUUUUAUGUUUAUGUGACAAUAAAGUUAACUAAUUUUCUAUGACAUAAUUUCUCACUUACCACUCCAAUUAAGUAGUAUUUACAUUUGUAGGUGAGAGAUUUUAAGUUUGAAUUUCAAGAAUAACGAGUUUGCAACCAAUUUAUUUCUCCACUCUCUUAAUGUAAAUAUAUUUUUGUAUAAAAAAGUAAGAAGUAUUAUGACAAUUUCUCAUAUGACGACGGGGUUUCCAAGGAAAGGUCUUAUCAAUGAUGUUCUAGUUGAGGAUAGCUCUACUUGAGUUAUAUUGUUUAAUGAUGUAUCUUUGUGGAGGAUAGUUAACUUUCCAAAGUUGUUUGUACGGGAUGCUCGUUUUAUUUUUGACUGGAUUGAAAUCUUCAGCAAGGUUUUUAGCGAAGCCCACUUAUGCACUCUAUCUUCCUUUUCUACAUCUUUUCUCUUAAUCGAUGAAUAUCGUACUUGCUUCUAAAAAAAUUCCAAUGGUAUACUGCAACAAUUGAACCGAAAUUAUAUAAUAGAUUAUGUAUAAUUAAUUUAAAUAACAAUUUCAUUAUACUCAUUUUAAAAAAGUGUAUAUUUAAGGUGUAGGAAGUAGGUAUAUUAAGGAAUGCUUAUAGACCCACCUUAUUGUCUUAUUGUCUUAUUUCCACACCUAGAUGUGCCCUGACAGUCAAUCUUUGGAAGAAACCUUUUAGGACAAUGUCUUAAUGUAUGGUUAAGUCUAAUACAUCAAAAAAAGGGCAAAGUCACUUAUUAGGACUAUCUCAAUGAACGAUAUACAUCCAAAAUUAGUGAGUCCAUGGACAAUGGAUCGAUGGAAGAAGUAAUCUAAAUAUGUUAGACUACAGAGACCUUCUUCACAUAACUAUAAUGUCCAAAAAGUUUAUAGUCAUAGGAUUGUUAGAGGGAUGCUGACAAUCCGAAUAGACUAAUACGUACUAUGUCUGCUUCAAUUGGAAGGAUGGAAAGUCUCAAGCCAUUUGUGUAGGGACACUAAGACAAAUAUGUAGGUGCUCGUUAAGGGAAUGAGUCCACUGAACACAAUCAAACAAGAGUACUUGCAUGAAGGUCUACUCACAUGUCAAGCAAGUAACUCUACUGGUUGGAAUAAUGUAAGUAGUCAUUUGACCUGAGACAUUAUAAUUGUCCAGUGGUUAGGUCCUUGAUCUUUAAUGGUGUCAAAAGGCAUUCCAUUCGAGAGUGUCCACGACAUUGUUGGGGUUAGGUUGCCUAAUCAUGUAGACAUGUGAAUGCUCAACAAGGAAUCUCUAAUCUUCAGUACAAGAGGAAGAAUACUCUAAGUUAUGAUUCGGGAAUCUUCGGCCAAAGUAUCGAGUGUAAUGAUGGAAGGCAUUCCUAUACGACUCAAUUAAACCAAUGAUAUAGUUUAAUCACAUUAGGGUUUUAACAUAAAGUAUCCAUACCCUAGUAAUGUGAUUGAGAGUAUUGAUUUAGAGAAGGAUCGAAUUACAUUGUAAUUCCAAUUGAAUAGGUUCUCCGACCAAAUUCUAUGUUAGCUUGGGUAGCCAUGAUAUAUGGUUAGAUGUCACUCAUGAAUUAUGGGUCCUUCUUGAUGAUUGAAAAAGUAGUCAUCAAAGAAGAAGGAAAAUUAAAAGUAAGUUUUAAUUCACUAAGUGAUUGGAUAAAUAUUAUUCAUUUGGAUUGGUAUCAAUCACUUCACUGCCUCACUAAUUAGAACCUAAAACGAUUGUACACCGAUACACUCUUGUGGUGAGACAACUAAAGGAUGAUGGAAUUAAUUAAUUGGAUUAAUUAGGUGCUAUGAUUAAUUAGAAAGUCUAAAGAAAUCAUAGAAGCAAUGAAAGAUCGUUUCGGGCUUAAAGAAAAGUUCGGGUUCAUUCGGGCCCAUUGGACCCAAACCCAUUGGGAUUUUUAUUCAAGCAUAGGAUGACUUGAAAUGAUAAAAACCCAAAGUCCAAACCAACACUAAGUGGUCGGCCAAGGAUGAGGAAAGAUGAGAGAGAAAGAGUCAAUUAGUUGACUUACUUCUUUUACCUUUGUAAAUGGAGUUUACUGAACAAAGUUUCAUUAGGGCUUUUGUGUGUUCUUUUCAACAAGAGAAAAAUAAGUCUCUCUCUCUCUCACUCUACACACACAUAGCCAGCCACCAAGAGGAGAAAAUAGCUAAUCAUCUCUUCUUCUUUUGGUUAUUCCAACAUCUAUCUCACUACACUAGUGGGUGUGGAUCUUUAGAGGUCUUUUAUACUUGGAGGCUUAAGGAGAACUAAGGAGCCCUAAAUCUUUAAGGUGAAGGAAGCAAGGAGGGAGGCUAGACUCAAGGAGUUCAAAGAACAAAGAGCUUGGAGGUGGUCUAUCAUUGGUCUAAAGUCUAGAUCAAGAGGUAACCUUCACUUUGUUCUUCAAUAUUUUGUUUGAUGCAUCAUAUAUGAAUCUAUCCUUCUUGAAAGGGAUUUGCAUAACUAUAGCUUUGAUAAUAUGUGAUAAUAUGCUUCCAUUGCUUAUGUAUAUAAAUUUGAAAUUGUAUAUGCGUGCUGGUCACUAGAACUCCCAUAGAAAUCUCAAAAUUUCCCUUCAAGUGGUAUCAGAGCCAAAGGUUUAUAUUUGAUGUCUCCUUUUAGAUUUUAUGCAUAUGUGUUUUGAUUUUAUGUUUGACAUAUUAUUUCUUCAUUCUAGAUAUGUUUAUCUUUUGUUUUUCAAGUGUUGAAAAAUGUGUUUCAAGAGUUGAAAAGGUUAUGUAUGCAAAAAGUGUUUUCGAUACAUGAAUGAAGAGUGAGUUUUUGAACAAAAAUUUGGGGCUUUUGUACCAUUGGGGAGGGCACUGUUUUUGUGAGGGGGGGUUGGCUUGUUCUUGUGUUUCUUUUUGAGUCACACACGCACACACACACUUUUAAGCUAGAAAGCCAAGGCCUUGUCACUUUUGUUUUUGGUUUGAAAAACCACAAAAAAAGUGCAAAUCUUGAAAUUGUAUUUAUGGUUUUGUUCUUGGUGUUCAUAUCUUUGUUCUUGAAGUUCAUACUUUGAUUUUGUAUUUGGGUAUUAAACUUUCUAUUAAGAACUUUCCUUGUUUUUCUCCAUCCUAGACUAGACUAGGAGACCAUACCCAAACCAUACCUUAAGGUAUCAUUUGGUAUGUAGAUGGGACAGGACGAAACAGAAUGGGACGAGACGGGACGGGACAGGACGGGACGGAACAGAGAGGGAGCAAAGAUGCCCUCGGAUGGAAACAAGGAGGAAGAAGAAGGAGACGGAGAGGUUAUAAUUUUGUGUUCCAUGGAUGUGGAAUGAGUCGUUCUAAGGGGUGAGGCGGAACGAAAAUUCACCCAAAAUUCGUCCCGUGGAAUAGCGCAUUCCACCCAUUUUAGGCGCACCAAACGUGGGACAGAACGCCUUGUCCCACUUCGUUCCGUCCUGUCCCACGUACCAAACGGUACCUUAAGGUCAACAAGUACAAAAGGUGAUAAGGAAAAGUAUGGGCUCUUAUUUUCUUUUGAAAUAAAGGGAAAAAGUUUGACAUUCUCCCUCUCCCCAUCACCAUAACCGGCCAUACCAAAUGAUGAGCCCUUUGUGGGCUCUUUUGAAAUUUUAAAAGGUUGUUUAUACUUUCUAGUAUUUGCGGUUUGACCCAUAACUUUUAAUAUUUGCAUUUUGGGCCCCACCUCACUAGAGAACAAAAAUAUAUUGAUAUUUUAUUUUUGUUUGUAGUUUAAACUCAUCAUAAAAUUAUACCCAUAUGUACUAAAUCUAAUUGAUUAUGUUGCAUUCCAAUUUAAUUUUUUAAUGUGAUUAAGUAGUUAGAAAAAUGGUUGACUAUGGACUUGUGCCUUAAAUGAUAAUUGAGCUAUGAGAAAAGCCGGUAAAUUCAAAUGGUUUGAACCUUGGAAAUGUGUUUUAAUUACUAAUUCAAUUGGACCACAACACGUUAGACGUUAAUCUUUUUCUCCCUCUUAGUAUAUGUAAUUUGUAGGAAUUUGUACAAAUUGGUUUGUAAUUCUUAUGACUUCUUUAUCUCUUUCAAUUAGUUGAUUCCCACUAGUACUGGACUAGAGUUUCUUUAACUAUUGGUAAGGAGACAUAUUAAAAGGAUUUUUCAUGAGAUUAAAGAUUUGUUGGGUCCAACACCCUAAUUAGCAAUGAAUGAUUAUCUUUCGUUUCUAAAGGCUCAAUGAAAAAAUCUUUUAAUUGGAUUGAAAGAGCGUAAUUAAAACAACACUACCUUCCUUAGAUCUUAUUCAGCAAUGUUGGCUCGUUGUUAAAUCAACCUUAAAAGUCCAUAGUCAUCCAAAGAGCCUAAGAUAACUAUAAAGUCCAAAUUAAAAAGGAAUGUAAACUUCUGUUAGUAGUAGUAUAUACUUCCAAUAUUUUGAAAAAUUGUUUUAAUAUUGAUUUGUUUUGCGAAAACGAAUAGUGGGAGUAUCAUACGCUACUAAACUAAAAUGAACUUAAUUAGUAGUUAUACAUAUCUCCAAUAUUUUGAAAAAUUGUUUUGAUAUUGAUUUGUUUUGUGAAACGAAUAGUGGGGAUAUCAUAUACUACUAAUCUCAUUUGCUUUGGACUAGUAGCUGUAAUAGGACACAAUUUAUUUCAAUAUGAUUAAAUAAAUAAAAUGAUGAGACCUUAAAAUCCCUCAAUCAACAUCCAAUAUUAAGUUGAAAGCGAAGAGGUGCUUUGAAUACUUCUUUGUGGCCUUCCACUAUAGUAGGCUCCAAUCAUUUAUGACUCAUACACCGUCUUCACCCUAUCAAGGGGGAGUUCAAAGUAUGUGCUUAUACUCAAGAAGAGUCUAUUUCAACAUUUGAUGUGGUGAAGGAAUGUGACGAGUAUGGCCAACAUCAUAUCAUUGUGAGGUCAUACUUGGACCCCUAUCGGAACCGUCAUGGUGGGUCAAAACUUAACUAAGAGAAAUGGUGCCAACUUCAUAUCAUUGUGAGACAUUGCUCUCUAGAGGCCAAUUAGAUGGGUAUUCAUAAGAGGUUGUUGUGAAUGGGUAACUUUACCCUCUAAUUAUUAUUUUUGCUAACGAACAUCAUAUCAUUAUGAGGUGGGCUUGGUAAUAGUGAGCCUCCCAUAACCCACUGGGAGCUUUCUUUGAAAUAUCCCAGAUUCCAUCUUGAGGGAUAUGAGAUUUGCCAAAAAUAGUGGGUGGUGUCAUUCGAUUUAAAGACUCGAAUCGUUUGACUUAAUCAACAAUCAAACUAAUUUAUUUUAUUGUUAUGUAUUUAGAUAUGGUUGGAAAUGCACUAUCAAAGAUACUCAACAAGCAUUACCUUGAGGGGCACAAUUUCCCAUCUUGGUACCGUAAUGUCAAAAUUCUCCUAACCUUGGAGAAAAUUGUUUACGUACAAGACAAGACUCUACCUCACAUACCUCCUGGCCCUGAGGCCACUGAGGAUGAGCGUGCUAAGUAUGACAAGCACGUUGAGGAUGAUACAUAAGCCAAUUGCUAUCUGUUGGUUUCCAUGAAUGAUGAGCUGCAGAGACAACACGAGGGUAUGGACAAUGCAUCCUCCAUUAUACUCUAUCUUAUGGAGUUAUAUGGUGAAGGGACUCGCAACCGUUGCUUCAGCACUAUCAAUGAACUUGUGAAGACCAAAAUGGUCAAUAGAGCUCAAGUGCAUCAGCAUGUAUUGAAGAUGAUUGGAUUCAUUGAACAAUUGGAGAACUUAGGUACUCCACUUGACGGGGAAUUGGCCUAAGACUUCAUCUUGGCUUUUCUUUCUGAUUCGUUCUUGCAGUUCAUAAUGAACUACAAUAUGAACAUGAUGGAUAUCACUCUUUCUAAGUUACUAAAUAUGUUAAUAACCGCUGAGAGGACUAUGAAGAAAGAGAGCGUUGUAGGGAUUGCAGCUAUCAUCCACAACAAGCCAUCCACUUCUAAGGCCAAGUCGAAAGGCAAAGGCAAGGGGAAGGAGAAGAAGUCAUCCAUUCCUAAGGCCCAAGGAGAAGUGAAGAAGAAGAAGGAAAAAGAGCCCAAGGGACCUUGUUUCCACUAUGGAAAUGACGGGCAUUGGAAGAGGAAUUGCAGGUCUUACCUCGCAUCUCUUAAGGACAAACCACAAGGUAUGAGUUUGUUCUUACGUUGAAUUCUAAUUGUUAGAUCUUCUAAUUUUAUAUGAGAUAUAAAAGGCUAAUCACUUAUGCAAUUGUAUGUAGGUGAAGCAGCCAAGUAGAAGAUGGACAAGUAAGGAAGAAGGAUGGAGAAGAAGAGUUCAAUCCAUUAUUUUUUGCUACUACUUAGGAGGACAUUAGGCAUUUAAAGACAGUCUUUAACUUGCUCUUCAAUUUGUUAAGAACUUAUUAUGUGGCUUCAUGUGAUGGAAGAUCCAUUUUGGUGCCUAUGUGAAGGCACAUAAUUAGUCUCUAAUGUUAGAGCUAAUACUUUCGUAUUAAACUUUAUGAAUGUUUAACUUAUUGUAUUAAUGUAAUAUGGUGAAUGCCUUCUACUAUAUUUGUUCCUUAAAGUAGUGUUAUGAAUUGAAUAUUGUCUAGUUAUAUUUAAGAUGAAAUACAAAAUAAUCUAUCACUUACAUAAUGUGAUAACCAAACUUUAGAUCUAUCAAUUAAAGAUAGGUCUCACAUGUUGGCCUUAGAUGGAUACAAUGAAUCUUUAGAUUUGGUUCCAAUUGCCUUCAUAUGAGUUCUAUAUGUAUUGAGAAAGUCUAGAGAUUCCUUUCUAGUAGAAAAGGAAGAUCACAUUAUAAUGAAGUGAAUAGGACAUAAGAAAACAUUUCUUAUAUGGUUAUAACUUACUUGAGCACAAUCACCAAGAUCACUCUUGGUUCAACUAGUAGUUUUGAACAACUAAUUGGACACUCUUAAAUUGUCUUAAGAAAUGUCAAAUGUGUCAGUAGUAACCAAACCAAGAAUAAGUGUCUAAAAUCUAUAAAAGGUUUAAAGACCUUAGUCACUUAAUAACAAGACAUCAACUUAAUGGAGUUAAAAUGAUAAGCUUGAAAGGUUUGAAGCUUCUCCACUAUGUCCUCUACCCGUGUAUUCAUAAUUGUACAUUUUGAAUGUAUAAUGCAAUUUCUCAUUAAGGUCAUGAGAAACAGUGGGAGGUGAAAAUGGAUAUAAACUUAAAUAUGAUAUGUCUUAUCUCAUUAAGGUCAAGUGUUAAAGAUUCUACGUUGUGUAACAUCCUAAGGGUGACUUAUGGAUGUUGGUUUCGCCAACCUAGCAUAUAAUGGGUAUGUUGGGAGUUGUCCGUCAUUCUCUUUUAUGAGAACAUGCUAAUAUCAAAGAAAAUGGACAAGUUGAUGAAACAAAAGGGAAUAGUUUCAAAUUGAGUCACAACAUAGUGUUUAAUGACAAGACAACCCAGUUUCGGCACCUCAUGUAACUAAUAUGCUCUAUGUAGUUUUGAUGAAGAAUUAAAUCAACCACCUAGAUGGUAUGGUUGAAUUCCUAUAUCCUUAGUAGGAGCCAUGCUUCCACUAAUGAUUUGGAUAAUUCUUAUAUGACUACUUUAAAGAUCUUAGUAUGACUAAAACUUGAAGUAUGGUGUUUGACACCAUACAAUUUAAAUGAAUGGACUUGAUAAAAUAAGUCACACAUAUCAAAUGGGAUUACUUGAGAAGGAAUUCUUUUGAGUAUGUUCAUUUAAAUAACUUGUGUUAGCUAGAGUUGUUGAUUGUCCCAAAACUGUUGAGACAUCAUCAAUAAGCUAAUGCAUCUUAAAGAUUAUCAAUAAGCUAAUGACUUGAAAUGAUAAAAACCCAAAGUCCAAACCAACACUAAGUGGCCGGCCAAGGAUGAGGAAAGAAGAGAGAGAAAGAGUCAAGUAGUUGACUUACUUCUUUUACCUUUAUAAAGGGAGUUUAAUGAAAAAAGUUUCAUUAGGGCUUUUGUGUGUCCUUUUCAACAAGAGAAAAAUAAGUCUCUCUCUCUCUACACACACAUAGCCGGUCACUAAGAGGAGAAAAUAGCUAAUCAUCUCUUCUCCUUUUGAUUAUUCCAACAUCCAUCUCACUACACUAGUGGGUGUGGAUAUGUAGAGGUCUUCUAUAUACUUGGAGGCUUAAGGGAGCCCUAAAUCUUUAAGGUGGAGGAAGCAAGGAGGGAGGCUAGACUCAAGGAGUUCAAAGAACAAAGAGCCUGGAGGUGGUCCAUCAUUGGUCUAAAGUCUAGAUCAAGAGGUAUAAAACUCAACCUUAACUUUGUUCUUCAAUAUUUUGUUUGAUGCAUCGUAUAUGAACAUAUGCUUCUUGAAGGGGAUUUGCAUGAUUAUAGCUUUGAUAAUAUGUGAUAAUAUGCUUCCGUUGCUUAUGUAUAGAAAUUUAGAAUUGUAUAUGCAUGCAAGUCACUAGAAAUCCCAUAGAAAUCUCAAAAUUUCCCUUCAUGCUAAUAUGCCUAUCUCUAUGUCUUAUUUCCCACCUAAUGCCUAUCUCUAUGUUUUAUUUCCCACCUACUUAAUAAAAUUGUAUUCACAAGUUUUUCCAUUGACAAAAUGAGGUAUAAGGACAUAGAAACCUGGCCAAGUGCAACAUUGCGAUUUUUAUUGUUCCAAGGAACUAUUUUGCUCUCUCUGGCUCCUUUUUUUUUCUAAAUUUUUUUUUACCGGAAUUGAAAGAUAGCGUGGGCUGGUGUUUGUCACUAGGAAGGGUGAUGGAUGAUAGGGGACUUGAUAGUUGUCGGCGCAUCGUGGAUGAUUUGGGAGAGUGAUGGAUUUAUUUUUAUUUUUGUUAGUUUUAGUUUUUCUUUAUUUUGGUUUAAUUUAUUUUGUAAGAUUGUGAGUAUAAAAUGUGAGGUAGAACCGGUUAUAGUGUUUGAGAUUGAUAUGGAAAAGUCUUGAUUAAAGCUAUUUGGUUAUCCUCAAUGUUUUAGGAUAACAGAAUUGUGUGAAGUUCAAUGGUUUGGGAAAAGAACUUAGUGUUGGAACUCUAUUUGGUUUCAUAGUUCUUUAUGGUUUGUAUAGUUUGAAUCCUAGACUAAUUCUGAUAGGGAAUAAGUUAGAGGACUACUAUAUAUAUAUAUAUAUCUGUAUCUAUACACUCAAACAACUGCUCUUGCAAUUUGGUAGCUUAUUUUGUCCAAGACCUAUUGACUAAAAGAGCUAUUAUUUUGCCAAAGAGGAGAAGGUUUUGAGCAAGCUGCAAUGGCUUCAUCAUUAGGAUCGAAUAAUGCAGGUAUGUUUUAAAGAUUUUGUUCUUGAGUGUGUUUAAUAAAAAGGCUUAUAUAAAUCGCAUAAUGGUGUCGUUUUUGUAAAAUGUUUAAUAACUAAAAUUUGACCAUUGGGAAAUAUGGGAUUUUGUCUUUUCAUUCUAUUCUUUGAAGAGGGUUCUCCCUCAUCGUCUUUGAUGGACCUUUCUCUUCCUUGUUACUUGUCUAAAAUAUAGUUUUGAGUCAAGAUAGAUGCUAAAGUAGACAAAGACUUCUUGUUGGUUCGUGUGUGUGUGUGUGUGUGUGUGUGUAUGUAUGUAUGUUGUCAAAGACUUCUUGUUGGUUCAUGUGUGUGUGUGUGUGUGUAUAUAUGUAUGUAUGUUGUACAAUCUGUGUUGAUCAAUUUUGCAGAAGUUUACUAAAUCUCAUUGAGUUGUUUACUCUAUAUAUGUCUUUGAAAAUAAGAUCAUAUGUAUGAGUAAGUUGAUUCAACAAACAAUUUUUGGGUAGUGAAAAGAUAGAAAUCAAGAAUCUUCAAGAUUCAUAGUGCUAAUUUCAUUGAUGUCUAAUGCAGUUUCACUAAAGUCACUCAAUUUAGCACCAGUGCCAAUACUCACUAGUGGAAGCAAUUACAAAAAAUGGAGAAAAGAGAUUGAAUUACUUAUGACACUAAAUGAGUAUGACAUCGCCCUUGAUAAUCCACAACCUAAGGCCAUGACUAAUAGAAGCACCAAGGUUAAGAAGACUGACUUUGAGAGAUGGACUAGAGCCAACAAAGUGGCUCUAUCCAUAUUGGAAGGUGACAUGACUGACACUGUGCGUGGUGGUAUCAAAAAGUCAACUUUUACCAAAGAUUACCUCCAAGCCAUUGAGAAUAAAUUUAAAGAACCAAAGAAGGCUGAGAUUGCUCAAUAUAUGUCUCUUUUAACUUCUUACAAGUUUGAAGGAGGAGGCUCAAUCAAAGACCACAUUAUGAAAAUGACUGAUGCAGCUGAGAAGCUGACUUCCAUGUAUGUUAACAUUGGGGAAAAACAACUUGUUUUCAUGAUACUGCAAGCAUUACCACAGAAAUUUAGUCAACUUAAAGUGUCCUAUAAUACUCAAGACAAGACUUAUACUGUGGAUGAACUCAUUGCUCAAUGUGUGCAAGAAGAGAACUAACAAAAGCAAUAGAAGGGCAAGGAAUCUGAGACUGUCAAUUUUGGGAAAGCUACCAAAGGGAAUAAGGAGGCAAAUUUUGGUAAAACUUCUAAAUCUCAGACUUUUGAUAAAACUGUUAUGCCUGCUAAAAGUUCUAGUUCCUCUAAGUCUAACAAAUUUAAAGUGAAAACUAAAAACAUUGAAAAAGUAAAAUGUCAUCAUUGCAAAACUAAGGGUCAUUAUAGAAAAGACUAGGAAAUAUUCAAGGAUUGGCUGAGAUCUAAGGGUAGAACUGAUAUCUAUGUCUGUGAGGAGCAAAUCUUAUAGAUACUCCCACAAACUCUUGGUGGUUUGAUAUUGGAGCAUUUGUGCAUAUCACUAAUUCUUUGCAAGGUUUUAAGGAACAAAAGAAAACAAGUAGUUUUAAUGUUUUCGUGGGGGAAGGAACCAAAGUGUCUAUGGAGGCCAUUGGUACUGUCAAGUUGAAAUUAGAUACUGGUUUAACAAUGCAGUUGAAAGAUGUGUUAUAUGUGCCUAAUGAGGAAAAAUUUGGUUUCUGCAUCAAAACUAGUUAAACAAGGCUAUGUAUUUAUGGGAGAUGCUGAAUGUGUCAAGUUUUUUAAAAAAGGAUCUUUGCAGGGAAAAACAUUUUUAUAUGAUCAUCUUUGGAAAUUACAGUGCAAUGUAGAUUUUGAAAACUUGCAUGUUUUAAAUACUGCCACUAAAAGGAUGCAUGCUUUUGAUCAAUCCUUUAUGCUUUGGCACAAAAGAUUAAGACAUACUUCAAAAGAAAGAGUUUUUCAAUUAUGUAAAUUGAACUUAAUCCCUGCAAUUGAUAUUAAAACUGUUACUGUAUGUGUUGACUGCAUAAAAGGCAAGAUGACUAAUGAUAGAAAGUUAGAUGCCAAAAGAAGUCAUGGCUAGCUCAAAAUCAUUCACACAGAUAUCUAUGGACCUUUUCCUAUCAAAAUCAUUUGUGAGAACACUUAUUUUGUGAACUUUAUAGAUGACUUCUCCAGAUUCACUUACAUUUACCUUAUUAGUGAGAAAUCUGCAGUCCUUGAAUGUUUCAAAGUUUUUAAAAGUGAAGUUGAAAAACAGUUAAAUCAUGUGAUUAAAAUUGUUAGAUUAGAUAGGGAAGAGGAAUACUUUGGUAGGCAUACAGAGGCAAGGCAACAAAGGGGUCCAUUUGCUCAUUUUCUUGAAAGUCAAGGGAUUGUGGCACAAUAUACCACUCCUGGUACCCAUAAUAGAAUGGAGUGGCAGAAAGGAGAAAUAGAACUCUUAUGGAAAUGGUGAGAAGCAAGAUUUCAAGAUCAAAGCUUCCAAAUUUUCUUUGGGGAAAGACAUUAAAGUCUGGAAAUUAUAUUCUCAAUUGAAUGCCAUCAAAAUCUGUACCCAAGACACCUUUUGAACUAUGGCAAGGGAUAAUACCAAGUUUCAAUCACUUCCAUGUCUGGGGCUGCAAAGCAAAGGCAAAAUUCUACAAUCCAAGUAAAAAGAAGCUAAACUCUAGAACAACUACAUGUUUUUUCAUUGGUUACUCAGAUAAGUCAAAGAGUUUCAAGUUCUAUUGCACACAAGCAUAUACAAGGGUUCAAGAAACUCACAAUGCCAUUUUUUUGGAGGAUGAAGAUGUAUCAAACAUGACUAAAGAUAAAUUUGGUUUUGAGGAAAUAGUGCAGUCAGAUAAUUCUUCUUCACAACUAAACUACAAUCAAGUACCUAUAUUUCAAAGGUCUCACUCAGAAAUUGCCGACUUUGAUGAAGGCAUGGCAGAGCUUGAGAAUACAAAUGCUAAGAAUACAAGUAUUGAGGAUUAAGUAGGAAUUUAGGAUCAAAAUCUCAAUGUUCAAACUACAGAGAAUUUGAUUGAUCAACCACAACUAAGGAAAUCUAAUAAAGUAAAGAAACAUGUGAUCUCAAAAGACUAUGUGUACCUCCAAGAGAUAGAAUUUGAUUAUGGUGAAUUGAUGACCCUGUGACUUAUAAGCAAGCUAUGAAGAGUCCUCAGGUAGUUCUAUGGCAGCAAGCAAUGGCAUAAGAACUUGAUUCAAUGUCUAAAAAUAGUGUUUGGUCUAUAGUGAAGUCGCCAGCUAACAAUAAAUCAAUUGGACGUAAGUGGGUGUUUAAGACCAAAAGAGAUGCCGAGGGAAGAGUUGAGAGAUUCAAAGCUCGAUUAGUUGUAAAGGGAUUCACAUAAAGAGAUGGUAUUGAUUACAAUGACACCUUAUCACCUAUUUCUUCCAAGGAUUCUAUGAGAGUGAUAAUGGCAUCGAUAGCACAUUUUGACUUGGAACUGCACUAGAUGGAUGUAAAAACUGCAUUCUUGAAUGGUGAACUUGAUGAGGAGAUUUUUAUGUCUCAACCUCCUGGAUUUGUUGAAAAGGGGAAAAAAGAUAUGGUCUGCAAGUUGAACAAAAUUUGAUCAAGUUGAUCAAGUUGAUCAAGACAAUGGUUUCCAAAAUUUGAUCAAGUUGAGGGUUUGUUGAAAACAAGAUGGAUGAUUGCAUCUAUAUCACGUCCAAGGGAUCUAAAUUCAUAUUUCUUGUCUUAUAUGUUGAUCAUAUCUUGCUUGCAAGCUUGGAUAUGCAACUAUUGAAAGAAACCAAAAGCAUGUUGAGCACAAAUUUUGAAAUGAUGGACCUUGGAGAAGCUCACUAUGUUCUGGGAAUUGAAAUUGUGAGAGAGAGAAAACAAAAGCUUCUUGAUUUAUCUUAGAAGGGCUACAUAGAGAGAGUACUUAAUAUGUUUAACAUGGAUAGUUGUAACAAGGCUAAUGCUCAUGUGAAUAAGGGUGAUAAAUUCUCUCGAGAUCAAUGUCCCAAGAAUGAACUUGAGACUAAGUUAAUAAAUAUGAAACCGUAUGCUUCAUUAGUUGUCAGUGUUAUGUAUGUUAAUAUCUGCACAAUACCUGAUUUGGCUUUCACUGUUGGACUUUUGGGAAGAUUUCAAUGAAAUCCUGGAAAAGCUCACUGAGUGGCAGUUAAGAAGGAGUUAGAUAUUUGUAGAGAACUAAAGGGUUUAUGCUAGUUUAUGGGCACAAUGAUUCAUUGGAGUUGAUUGGAUUUACUGAUUUAGAUCUUAUUGGGGAUGUGGAUGAAAGGAAAUCAACUGUUGGAUAUAUUUUAAGCUAAGUGGAAGUGCUAUGUCAUGGAAGAGUGCUAAGCAGACUAUAGUGUCAACUUCAACUAUGGAAGCUGAAUUUGUAGCAUGUUUUGAAGGAAUGAAGCAAGCUGUUUGGCUCAUAAACUUAAUUGUUGAUAUGAAGCUUGUAGAUUUAGUUAAAAGGCCUAUAAAGAUGUUAUGUGAUAACAAUGUUGCUGUAUUUUUCUCAAAGAAUAACAAGAGGACUUCAGCUUCAAGGUUAAUGGAUAUGAAUUUCCCGAAAGUUAGAGAAAUGGUCAAGAAAUGAGAGAUUGAUAUUCAGUACUUAUCUACUAGUGCAAUGAUUGCAAAUACUCUUACUAAAGCCUAGCCAAACAAUGUAUUCAAAGAGCAUGUUACAAAGCUGGGGGUUGUGGAGUCUUUUGAAUAGUGGGAGUCAACUACUUCGAAAUUGGAAGACUAUUGUGAUGUUUCAUUAGUGUAUCAUUGAGGCAACAUGUCUUCACAAUUAGGUAGUUUAUUUUGAUUUUGAUUAAAUAUGGUAGUAUCUGUUUAGCUAGUUUUACAGCUUAUUUUGGUUUUCAAUAAGUGUUCAAUUCUUCCAGUAAUGUGAUCAAUUGUUCCAGAAAAUAAGCUGACAGUGAGCUUGGGCAAAAUUUUUUAUGAGAACAAGAGAAAGGGAAUUUUUCGUGCACCAGCACCGAUUUGAGCGCUGCUAGGGAAGUGAGACAUGAACAAGAUGUGUGUUCUUCAUAAUGACUUUGGUCAUACUAUCAAUGAUUGUCGAAGCCUCAGGAACCAAAUGGAUGCUAUGCUGAAGAAGAGGAUGCUGUCAUAGUACUGCAUGGAAUCAAGAGAUGAAUGUAAGAAUGACGGAGGACUUAAAGUAAUAAUAGGAAACAUUGGGGCCGAUGAGAGACUAUUGGAUAUCAAUGUCAUACAUGGUGGACCCUAACUCCUUGAUGACGAGAAACACGCUCUCAGUCGCAAGGACGAGAAGUCUAGACGAGUACACAACAUAACAUCAGCCCUUGAAGCAUCCAAAGCAUUAGAGAAUCUCGGAGUUAUCUCCUUUAACGAAAAAGACCUCUUAGGAAUUCAAUUCCCUCAUAAUGAUGCACUAGUCAUCAAGAGUGAAAAGGAUAAUGAUUGAUAAGGGAGCAGCAUAAACGUUCUAUUCUGGAGCACAUUUAUAAUGAUGAAAUUAGACGAGAAAAAGAUAAGGCAAAAUCCAACUCCCAUUGAUGCGUUUGAAGGAACGAAAGGCCGACUCAUUAAAGAUGUGACUAUUCCCGUCACUGCAGCAGGUAAGACCUUUUUUCAUCAUUUUUGUCAUUAUCAAUGCACCAAGUGCGUAUAACGCUAUCAUGGAAAAGGACUAGAUCCAUCAAAUGGAUGGAGAAGAGUCAACCAGAUGUCAAGUGAUGAGGUGUUUGUCGACGAAUGGUCAAACAACAAUCAACAUCAAAGGGGAUCAACUGAAGGCCAGAAAGUGCUACAGCAUGGCUACAAACAUCAAGACAGUCAGGAAAGUGCAACAGAGCUCGGACUUGUAUAAGAAUAAACCAUUAUAACAAUUAAUGGAUGACCAAUCAUAACAUGAUCAGAAAAGUGACGAUUAGGAACCUCCGACUAUAGAACCACUAGGGGAAGAGGUUUUGGAUCCAACUGAUCUUGAGAAACAAAUUUGGGUAGGCUUAUUCCUAUCUAAUAUGGAAUUCGAAGAGUUGCUAAAAUUUCUAAGAAACAACAUGGAUGUUUUUGCAUAGUCCUAUAGAGACAUGCCGAGGAUUGACCCAGAUGGGGCAUGUCACCAGCUAAACGUUGAUCCGAGUUGUCCUUCACACUGACAAAAGCAUAGGAGAUUUGCACCAAAGUGAAAUCAUAUUAUCAGGGCAGAAGUCAAUAAACUCCUCGAAGUUGGAUUCAUUCUUGAUGUCUGGUGCCCAACUUGAGUUUCAAAUGUUAUAGUGGUAGGAAAGAAAGAGAAAGAAAAAUGGCGCGUAUGUUUGGAUUAUAGCAACCUAAAUAGGACAUGUCGGAAAGACUACUUUCCAAUUCCAAAAAUUGACCAGGCGGUGGAUGCUACGGUCGGGUACGUACUAUUGUCUUUCUUAGAUGCUUAUUUCAGUUAUAACCAAAUUCUUAUGGCUGUUGAAGAUCAAGAAAAAAAAUUACUUUUAUCAUUAAGCGUGGGUUGUAUUGUUACACCGUAAUGCCUUUCGGACUCAAGAAUGCCGGCUUGACUUAUCAAAGGUUAGCGAACAGGAUAUUUAAAAAUCAAAUUGGAAAUACAAUGGAGGUUUACAUUGAUGAUAUGGUCGUCAAAAGCCAAAAAUGGUGCCAACAUAUCGAUCAUCUACACAAAACUUUUGACGUAUUGAGAAGAUAUCGCAUGCGCCUAAACCUAGCAAAAUGUGCAUUCAGUGUAUAAUUUGGGCAGUUCUUAUGGCACAUAAUGAACAAACAAGGCAUUGAACCAAAUCCAGCAAAAGUUGAAGCCUUGUGUAACAUGCUGGAUCUAAUAACACUUAGAGACAUUCAAGUGUUAAUUAGGCGAAUUGCAGCCUUUAGCCGUUUCAUUUCAUGACAUUCGAUUGAUGCAAACCUUUUUUUCAAGCCAUACAAUACAGGGGAUGAAGUGUGUGGAGGCAUGAGCAAAAGGAAGCUUUCGAAUAACUGAAGAAGUAUCUCACAAGCCCAUUGUUGUUGAUUAUCCCCAAACAAGGGGAGUCGUUAUGCAUGUACUUGGCCGUAAGUGAAGAAGCAAUAAGUGUUGCGUUAUUCAGAGAGGAAGGAAUGGUUCAUCAACCCUUAUUUUAUGUGAGCAAAAGUUUAAUUGAUGCAGAGAAGAGGUAUUUGCCCACUGAGAAGUUGGUGUUGGGCUUAGUAACCGCAAAGAAGAAGCUUCGUCAAUACUUUGAGGCACAUACCAUUGUGGUGUUAACUAAUCGAUCGAUUAGGGCUAUCUUAUCUAAACCAGACUUAUCGGGAAGAAUUACGAAGUGGGCCAUCAAACUUAGUUCAUUUGACAUAAAGUAUCGGCCUCAAAGCGCAGCCAAAGGACAGGUAAUUGCUGACUUUCUUGUAGAGUGUUAUCCACGUGAAAGUUUGUUGGGUGAAUGCGAGGAAAUUAUGGAAGUCGACCCUAGUGAAACCAAGUGGGAGCUGUAUGUGGAUGAGUCACCCAAUUAAGCAGGAACUGGGGCAUGGGAUGAUUUUAAUUUCUCCUGAGGGUCUAGAGUGUUUAGUUCGGUUGGAUUUACCUAUAUCAAACAAUGUGGUAGAAUACGAAGCCCUGAUACUAGGCCUCGAACUUGCGAAACAAUUGAAGAUAAGCCAUCUUACCGUGCAUAGUGAUUCACAAAAUGCGAGGAUUGAGGCAUAUCAAUAGCUGGUUAAAGGGCUAGCGGAUGGAUUCAAGUAUUUUGAACUGAAGUAAAUACCUAAAGAGAUAAACGAAAGAGCGUACCAGCUAGUGUGCACAGCGUCAGCUGCACAAGAGAACCUACGGGUAACCGAAGUAGAAUGUCUGUACUCUUUGAGUAUUAGAGUAGAGAAAUCAGAUAUGAUGCAAAUAGACAGGCGAUGGGCGAAACUUGAUAACCCAUUACUAGAGCAGGCUUAAGCUAAAGAUGAUGACAGUUGGGUAACGCCAAUGGUAAACUACCUAAUUAAAAGGAUCCAGCCAAAAGAUUAUGAAGAAGCGAGAAAACUCUGAAUGAAAGUAGUGAGGCAUGCAAUCUUCAAAGACAUGCUUUAUAGGAGGUCAUUCUUAGGACCUUACUCCAGGUGAUUAAAUCUAGGGCAAUCUGAAUGGGUCAUAAGAGAAUUACAUGAAGGAAUAUGUGGGAAUCACUCUGGAUGAAGAAGCUUAGCGCAUAAAGCAUUAACUGAAGGCUACUUAUGGCUAUACAUGGCUCGGGAUGCAGAGUAAUAUGUAAGAAGGUGCAACAAAUGCCAGAAAUAUGCCCCGGUUAUUAUACAAUCCGCCAAAGAACUCAAUCCAAUCGUAGGACCCUGACUAUUCUUAAAAUAGGGCAUGAACAUCGUAUGCUCGUUCCGAGGGUGCUCGGAAGAUUGUAGUUUUUGUUACACAAAAGUGGGUAGAAACAGAAAUGUAUGUUUUUGUUACACAAGAUAACGUUGUAAGAUUCGUAUGGAGGAACAUUUUAUGCCAGUUUGGCAUACCAAGGGCGAUUGUGACGAAUAAUGGGACAUAGUUCGAUAAUCGAAGAUUUAGAAGUUAUUGCACAGAGAAAAGGAUCACAUUACAAUUCUCUUCCAGAAGUUAUCCCCAAGGCAAUAGCCAAGUGGAAGCCAACAAGUGAAAGGCCAUUCUAUCUCGCUUAUGGCAUUGAAACGGUUAUCCCCACAUAAGUAAUUCUACCUAUGAUCAGAACAUUAGUUAUGGCAAAUGGCAAGAACAAUCAGCAGCUAGCCCAUAACCUCGACUUAGUCGAGGAACAAAGGGAAAUUACUGCACUAUGACUUGCAAACUACCAAAACCAAGUUGCCACUUACUUUAACAAACGGGUCAAGUUGAAAAGGUUCAAGGUAGGUGAAUGGGUGUUGAGAAUAGUCAUGGAAAACACAAAAGAUUUGAAUAUAGGAAAGCUUGGAUGCAUAUGGGAAGGACCAUAUGAGGUGACUAAAGCCUUCAGAAAAUGAGCUUAUAAACUCAGGCACGUUGAAACAGGUUGGUAUGUGCCAUACCCUUAGAAUGCAAUUCAUUUGAGAAAGUAAUACAUUUAGUUUUUCAUGUCUGUGUUUUCCGUAUUUAAAUUUCUGUUUCUAGUAAUAUUGAAGGGUAAAUCCCUUCUUGUCUUCCUUGCAUGUCAAAUGGUGUAUCCUUAGAUAUCUGCUGACAUCUCCUUAUUGUAUGAUAAAUAAAGUUGCACUUUAUUCGAAUCUUCAACUAAAGUCUAAGGCUAAAGAGCAUAAACCAUAGAUUGAGGAUCGAAUCAAGAUCAAAAAUGUAAAAUCGAGUGGGAAAAUAAAACCCAAGAUCGGACGUACAGAGACCCAAUCAAGAUAAAAAAUUCUAAGAUCGAGUGGGAAAAGAAAACCCAAGAUCGAAUGGGCAAAGACCAAAUCAAGAUCGAAAAUCUAAGAUCAAGUAGGAAAAGAAAGCCUAAGAUCAAAUGGGCAAAGACCCAAUCAAGAUCGAAAAUCUAAGAUCGAGUAGGAAAAGAAAACCCAAGAUCGAAUGAGUAAAGAUCGACCAAGAUCAAAUAGGUAAAAACCUGAUUAAGAGAAGAAUUCAAGGUCGGUUUAAGAAUGAUAAAGAAGGGCGAAUUAAAUAAAUCUUUGCAAAGAACAAUUUUCCUCCCCAAACACGUCGUGUGUUUGCAGUGGAAAAUAAAGUAUUACGUGUGCAAAAGUAAAAGCUUAAGCAGUGGGACAUUGUUUUUCCUGCUCGUAAAAGGGAAUAUCUUUUAUUUAAAAGAGGAAAACCUCUUGGAUGAUGGAUUCAUAGUGCGAUAAAAGAUCAAAAUGAAAGAAGAAAUAAACCUACUAGUAGAAGGUGAAAACAAGGACAAUAUCACUAUUAGAUAUCCUAAUAGUGGUUGGACCUAAGGGCCUAACUUAUUACAAGCAAGAUGACAUCUAGUCUAACGGGAUAAGGAUACUAUCCCAGUUUAUGGAAGGAAAUGUCGCGUUAGCCUUGGAGCGAAAAUAGUGAAUGCCUUGCUUAAAACCAUCAUGUAUGUCAUCUGAGUAGUUGCAUAAUUCAUCAUCAGAGAGAUCUUUCCACCAACAACAUAAUUUAGAGCCCGUUUUCCACCCGACCUUGUUCGAGAUCGAUACGCGGAUUCACGAAAAGUGUUAGGAACUUCAGAAGAGUGAGAAGCCCUCAUUGUCGAACGAGAAAAGGAACUAGAACAUAGCUCGAUAAUAUUCUUAGAGCCCCUGGAACCCCUCUGAAAGCUUCCCUUUUUGGGGACAUUAGCACAGAGCUGGAAGUUGAGUUUCACUCUCCGAUUGUUAGCCAUAAGACUUAGGUACUACCUACUUACUCUCAAACACCUUUUUAUAUAAAGACAUUUCGAGGUUGCUAGAAACACUGAUUCAAAAUCUAAGAUGAUCGUAUCUUAUUGGGAUAAGUUAAUUUCUCGUUCAAAAACUCAAAUUUAAUGAUAAAGGAUAUUGUUUUCAUUUAAUUAAAAAUGAAAAUCGAAAGGAAUAGCUGGGAAGGGUUGGGCAAUGGAAGGGCGAAGGCCCAACUUGCGAACGAAAAUUACGCUAAGAUACAAUCAGGUAUAAUAAGUAAAAGUGCGAUGACAUAAAUACAAACACAAAUGGGGUUUUAGCCCAUGAGAACAUAUCUCACGAUUUCAUGGGCUACUAAGCACCAAAAUGAGGGUCGGACUGAAAGCCUUCAAAGCCUAAAAUCAAAAUGGGUCUAGAAUUAGUAAUAAAUCCGUUGCCUGGGAUAGGAUCAGAAUAAGCAUGUUCGUCUAAGGAUCUUCAAUCCUUAGGAUCCAUCCCCUCGUACCGCUCAUAUCCACUAGGCUCAAUCCCCCUAUGAUGAUCAUACAUGUCAGGAGCAAUUACAAAACGAUGUUCCGGACAUUGUUAGCUCUGUACCCAACCAAAUUUGAAGCUGAAGGCCAUCUCCUUGCGUAUCUAUUACAUGUUUAUCUCGUGCUCAAUGGUCCUCGCUUGCUUGACCUAGGCCAACUCUUCCUUUGUACGAGUUCCCUUCAAAUUUGUGAUCUCUUCCUCAUAUCCAUGAAGUCUAGCUUAGAACUCUCUGAUAUGCUGCUCAUUAAGGCUGAGGGAUUCCAACCUGGCAGCUAGUGUAUCUGAUUUUUUUCUUUUAGAGUAGAGCCAUUUGAAAAAUAACGGUAGGGUUAAAGCUUACAUAAAUGAUGAGAUAUGCAGAGGAUGAGAGAAUACCUUUAUAAGACAAUGAGAUUCAUAGAAGUUGAGAUCGUUAUUGAGCAUUGCCUCAAAGCGACCAGCGUCAUUAGUAUGAGUCAAGCCUCUCGCCACAGCAGUAGCAGUGCUUACAUUGCCUUAUAGAUUAUCACCAAGGGUGACGAAACUCCCAUCUCUUUUUGUGACUUCAAGUCUCCAAGCUUGAGAUGAAUUACUGGAACUAUAGCCACUAACUGAGCCGAAAAUGGGAGAAGCUAACUGCCAUUGCAUAUGUUUAGGGGUUGUGCCGAAGAUAGUCAGCAAACCACGCCUAAACUUUUUGGGCCUAUCUGCAAAAGGAUGUUUAUUAGACUUGCCUGCAAUUCUGGACACUGGAAGAUCACGAAGAGGCAAUGCAACACAGCUAGGCGGGGGAAGGUUAAAAGGUGGUAAAGUUAUAGUAGAAAAAUAAUUCGAGUUGAAGUCCGUGUCUGUUUACCAUGUCUCUUUGUUUUCUUAUCUUUCAUCUCCUUCUUCUGAGCCCUCUAUUCAGGAGUUAGUCACAAGUACAGAAGAGUCUACAUUGAACUGAAACUCAAUAUCAAGAGCGAAGAAGAUUUAAGCAAGGGGUUUGAGGGCAACGACCAGUCGUCCUAACAAUAUGGGAAGUAAAUGAUAGAGUUGCGGAGAGAGAUGAUUUAAGUAAGAGUGUUAGCAACUUCUCUAGAGCUCCAUAUCUUCCUUGUCAUAAACCUAUUUAGCCAACACUUUCAGCCUUUAGAGAUUAUCUGUUCUGGACCAUCCGAUAAAGCUGCGAAAGAAGGUCAUGGUAAGUUAUGUUUACAUAUUUAUGGAAAAAAUGAUAGCAAAAGUAAAUUUAUAUACUAGGGUUAGGACAAAAAGUAGAAGGGAUAGAUAGUUUAGAUAGCUCGGGAGCCUUCAAAUUCCCCGAAAUCAGAAUAAGGCGAUUUUUCCAAUCUAUGGCUCUCAAGAUAGGAAUUUCUUGCAAUAUCUAGAUUUAAAAUUAAAGAAACUAGUUUCACCCUUAAUGGUAAUCAAGUCGAAGAGAUAAAGGAAAUCUCUAAAGCCUAAGGAUACACCUAGCUUCAUACCCAAUGCCAGGAAGGUCGACAUAACUAAGUAAGAGUUCGGGUUCAGUUGCAAUGGGUGAGUAUUUGUGAAGAAUAAGAUGAGAUGAAUCAUGGGAUGAAGUGGGAAACUAAUGGCCUCUAAGUGGUCUGGAGACAAAAAGGUAGACCCAACUGGGAUACCAGAACCUAAAUACAUGUCGGCUCCGGCAGGAAGUGGACUAAGGUGCACGUCAUCUGGAAUGUGACAUUGGUCAUGAGCCUUGACGAUUUCAAAGUGUGGUGGAGUACCACCAUAUUUAGACCAAUGUGUACAUCUCGACAUAAGGAACAUGAUGGGAGACUUGCCGGUCAAAAUUGAUUCGAGAAGAUAAGAAAAGGAAUUUGGACCUGUAAACGUAAGUGAAAUGUUUGAAAUAUUUCCAUAGGAAGAGUUCAAAAUGGAAAGAUUACUUGUUAGCCAAGAUACCACUCUAAAACGAGAAGUCACAAGCUUGGUGGAGAACUGAGUGGAAGAAGUGAAGAAAAGCGGGGAUAGGAGAAACUCAAUUUAUAAAAAGAGAAAUGAGUGUAUGAGGAGUUUGAACUUAAAUCUUUAUCCCUAUGGAGGAUGGAUGAAACUCUAAUUGAGGGGACGUGGGCUAUAAACAACCUAGUGGAUAGGACAAGACAUGUAAGGAAAGUAUCAUUUUCUCAUGUGUAUUUCAGUGUGUAGUCACAAUCUAGGUGACGAGAGACAAUGAUUUGAGAAGAAGAGCAAAAUAAGAGAGCUUGUUCCGGAGCACAUUUUCAAAGGUGGAAAAGCGCACGUGAGGACAAAAUUUAACUGGGCAUGAAAUUAUGAAACAGAUUGAAGCCAAGGUAAUGAAACAUAAAUAUGUAUAUAUGUGUGUGCAUAGGGAUAUAUAUAAAUAUAUGAAAAGUGCGUGUAGAGAUUCGCAUGUCUAUACGCAGAGAUAUGCACAUAUAUGUUGUGUUUGCCUAUGUAUACCUAUAUAUCCACACACACUCAUACACACACACACACACACACAUAUAUAUAAAGAGAGAAAGAAAAGCAGGUGUGCAAGUGUCAGUGUGUAAGAAUGUGCAUAUAUAUAUGUAUGUAUGUAUGUGCGUCUAGAUAUACAGUAAAACUCAAACUCCCCUGAUACUGGUUCAGAGCAAUAAAAUGGCAAGAAUGCCUCUAAUUUUUUUCCUUCCUCUUCAUUUUAGUGUUGAGUUUCUACAGUAAUAUGAUCGUUUUGCCCUUAUGGUUCUAUGUGUCUUUCAUCGCUGAGUGCUUUGGCUUCGGUUGUUCCAGAUAUUUCUUUCUGCUUUCCUCUCUUGCAUACCUCGAGGCUCGAGUUCGUUCGUUUUUCUCUGCCUGUUUCUCUUCGCCUGGGAUUUUAUUUUCUGUCGUUUUGCUGCUUCGUUGGUUUUUUUGUUCAAAAUGUUGAGCCUUUUGUUUUGUUGUUCUUCGAUUACUUAUCAGAAUUGUUAAUUUCUGCCCCUUUUUGGUUCGAUUGGAAUUAUUUUGGCUGAUUUGAUCACUGUUUGCAAGUAAGUUUUGUAUGUUUCUCACCGAACAAGGUUUCGAUUUUCUAUGUUUUCUUAGAUGGUUUUUGAGAAUAUCUGAUGUGGUUUGGUUUUUGGUUUCAGAAAUUUGUACGAAUUUGGUUUCGAUUGGAAUUUCUGGGCUCAUCUAAUCCAACAUUUCCAAGUGAGAAAGUUGCUUAAAUUUUGAUUUUUAUUGAACUCAGGUAAGCUUCUUCAGUAUUUCAGAUUGAUUUGAAGGAAUUUUUUGCUUAAAAAGCUAGGGUUUUCUGGUAAGUUUUUUGAGUCAUCUUGGGGGUUUUGUUUUGUUCAAAUAUGGGGUUUUGUGAUUUUGGAUUUACAAAUGGAUUGAAAUUUCCUUUUUUUUUAUUUCACCUCCCACUCAGAACCUGAUACUUGGUGACCUUUAGAGCAGCUUCAUUCUCUCUUCUUCUCCGACCAUGGUUACUGAUCCACAGGGCAUCAAGGUGAGUUUGAUAUUGGCCAUAUUUUUUAGUUUUGUCAGUGCAUCUAAUUUAUUUUUUUGGAUUGGUGGUUUUCAAUUUAGGGAUGAAUAUUGUGUUUAAAACACAGGUCGUUCUGGCCUUUUCGUUUAUAAAGAACAAACAAGCUUGCUUAUUUAAGAGCCAAACUCUUUAAGUUGUUGAAAGUGUUGACCAAGUGGUGUUAAAAAGGUCUUCCAUUAUAAUUCCCGCCUGAUUAAUCUUAUUCCAUAUUGAGAUUGGAUGUCCUGUGUGUUAGUGUUUGAUUUAUGGAUUGAGAUUUCUUUUUAACAAUGAGAAUAGAAAUGUACAGAGAGGAAGAAUUUAGAGAGCCAUGGAAGCUUCAAAGGUAUAUUGUAUUCCACUCUCUUUUUUAAGCAAAGAACUCGGAGAGCAUAUAACCGUUAGAGGAGUGAGUAACGCACUCACUUUCUCACAUCAUUACAAAUCAAUCAGAACCAUUCAUUUUUUUAAGUCAUCAUGUAACAUGCUUACACUUGUCAUGAGCUAUGACUCAUUACAAUCUAAUCUAGAUGCCAUAUGGAAUAUGAUCCAAAGGCUCACAUUCAAUCUUACAACUUGCAUAUAAUAAACCAACACAUCAAAUACAUUUAUACACCAAUAAGCCAUUCUAAAUGUUUUGCUGAUUUUACUCCAAGUACAGCUCUCAAGUACUCAAACCGAUAGGAAGAGCCUUGCUAAAAAUGUCUGCCAAUUGCUCAUCUGUUCUGCAGUAGUUCAAUUCAAUGGUGCCAUCUUGAAUAGCAUCCCUUAUGAAAUGAUACUUCCUGUUGAUAUGCCUUGUUUUCUGAUGGAACAUUGGAUUCUUGGACAUGGCUAUUGCAUAAGUGUUGUCACACAGUAGAGAUGUAGCCUCAACUUGUUCUUCUCCAAAAUCAGAUAACAUAAACCUUAGCCACAUUGCUUGUGUUGUAGCUUCUGCAGCACUUAUAUAUUCAGCUUCUGCAGUGGAUAGAGCCACACUGCAUUGCUUGACAGAAGACCAAGAAAAUAUCCCUGAGCCAAAGCUGAAUGCAUAGCCCAAGGUACUUUUUAUAUCCCUGAGCCAAAGCUGAAUGCAUAACCUAUUAACACAACUUCGUUACCCUUCACAUACUCAAUUCCGAAAUCCAAUGUUCCUUGUACAUAUCUCAAGACUCUUUUAGCUGUCCCCAUGUGCUUCCUAGUGGGCUUAUGCAUAAAUUUUGCCAGUAAACAUGAUGCAUACAUUAAAUCUGGUCUAGUAGCUGGUAGGUAUAACAAACUACCAACCAUUUUUCUAUACAAGUCUUCAUCAGCAUCUUCACUUCCAUCAACCUUAGAUAGCUUCUCAUUAAUUGCAAGUGGAGUCUUCACAGCUUUACAGUAUUUUAAACCAAACUUCUCAAGUAAUGACUUGGCAUAUUUCUUUUAAUGGAUAAAUAUGCCCUUAUCAGUUUGAAUUAUGCCUAAACCAAGGAAAUAGUGCCAAAUCUGACAUCUCAUACUGUUUCAUCAUAUCCAUCUUAAACUCUCGAAUCAUUUCAUCAGAGCUCUCUGUGUAGAUAAUAUCAUCUACAUUCAGAGACACAAUAAGCACAUCUGCAUUACCGAAUUUUGUAUACAAAGUAGCUUCACUUUGACUUUUCUUGAAGCCAAACUUGUUGAAGUAUGCAUCUAUCUCAUCAUACCAAGCUCUGGGAGUUUGUUUCAGACCAUAUAAGGCCUUUUUCAGUCUGUAAACUUUGUCUUCUUGCCCUUGGACCUCAAAUCCUUGUGGUUGAUCAACAUAUACUUCCUCAUGUAGUGUGCCAUUUAGAAAUGCCGAUUUGACAUCUAAUUGAAACAAUUUCCAUUCCUUUUGAGCUGUCAAUGCAAUCAAGGUUCUAAUUGUAUCAAGCCUUGCCACAGUGCAAAGGUCUCAUUGAAAUCAACCCCAGGGUUCUGAGAGCAGCCAUUUGCCACUAACCUUGCCUUGUUCUUCUGCACUGAGCAAUCUAGAUUAAGCUUUGUCUUAUAGACCCAUUUGACACCAAUUACUGGUUUAUCAAAUGGUCUAUUAACUGACUCUUAUGUGUCAUUCUUUUCUAUCAUUUCAAUUUCUGUGGACAUAGCUUUUCUCCAAGCUUUGUCUCCUGAUGCUUCUUCAAAACACUCAGGUUUUAUUACAUAGAAAUUGCACCUCUCAUGCAUUUCACUCAAGCUUCUGAACCUGAGAGGUGUGUGAUGAUACUCUUGUGGUCCAGUGUGACUCACUUGUUCCCAUUGACUUGGAGGCAAAGCAAUAACUAGUUCUUGUUGCUUCUGUAAUGAUUCUAUGCAUUCCAAUUCUUCAUCAUUCCUUGCACUUUCAACAUCACUCCCUUCAUCUUCAUAUACUUCAUUUGACACUGAACUGGACAAAUUCUUCUUAGCACAAGAAUCCUCAUCAAAUAUUACAUCUCUAGAGAUGACAAUCUUAUUAGUUUUAGGAUUAAAUAACCUGUAACCCUUCUUACAGGUUCCAUAACCAAGAAAAAUGCAUUGGACACUUGUUGCAUCCAGUUUAUGUCUCAACUGUGAUGGAACUUGUGCAUAGCAUAUAGGUCUAAACACUCUUAAGUGGUUCACUCCAGGCUUCCUUCCAUUAUAAGCUUCAAAUGGAGUAUUCUUAUUCAGAGCUUUGGUAGGACAUCUAUUGAGAAAAUAGACUGCAGUGUUAAUUGCUUCUGCCCAAAACUCAAAUGGAAUACCCUUUUCCAACAUCAUGCAUUUAGCCAUUUCUACAAUGGUCCUAUUUCUCCUUUCUGAUACACCAUUAUGUUGAGGAGAAUAGGCCAUUGUGAGCUGUCUUUCCAAACCAAGAUCUUCACAAAACUGAGAAAAUUCAGGGGAAGUGUACUCUCCUCCCCUAUCAUUUCUUAAUUUUUUCAGUUUGUACCCACUUUGUAGUUCAACAAUUGCUUUGAAUUUCUUGAACACACCAAAUGCUUCAGAUUUAUUCCUUAGAAGAUAGACCCAUUCCAUUCUGGUACAAUCAUUUGUGAAGGUGAUAAAGUAUUUGUUUCCAACUUUAGUAGGUGUUUGCAUUGGUCCACACAUGUCAGUGUGAAUCAAUUCCAGAGGUAAGGCAGCUCUCCACUUUGUUUCUUUAAGAAAAACAUCUCUAGAAUGCUUACCAAGUGCACAUCCCUCACACACUGUGGUGUUCACUUUUAGCUCAGGCAAACCGGUUACCAUCUCAUGCUCUUGUAGCUGUAUUAGAGCAUUCAUGUUCAAGUGUCCUAGUCUUCUAACCAUAUCUCAGCAGAUUAUCCAAACUAGCUUUCAUGGCAACUUGGAUUCCUGGUUGCAACUUCAAGGGAAAGCUUCGAUUUCCUUUCAUUGGAACCUUAACAACUAGAUUUGAGCAUGUGGAAUCAUCAUAGAUUCUGACAUCAAUUCUUCCAAAUACAAGAUAGUACCCAUGCUCCAUCAUAUGUCCUACACUUAACAAAUUUUCAUUCAAGCCAUGUACUAACAUUAUUUCCUUUAUGUACCUUUUACCUUGCUUAGUUUCAACCAGUAAUUCACCCUUUCCAACCACAUCAGCCAAUUGCCUUGUGCCCAUCUGAACUUUGGUAGUGACACUCUUAUCUAUAUUCACUAGUAGAUCUUCUCUCCAUGUCAUGUGGUUACUACAACCAUUGUCAAUAUACUAAGUGUCUUCAUUCUUCUUCACAGCGGCUACCAUACACACAUAGAACAUAAUUGGAGUAUUCUCCACUUGACCAGCAUAAUUUGCCUAUUGAGUUGUUUUCUUAGCUCUGCAAUCCUUGGCAAAAUGCCCUGACUUAUCACAAUUAUGGCACCGUGGUUUCCCUUUGAACCAACACUCCCCAAAAUGUAAUUUGUCACAGUAUUUACAGGGAUUCUUAGCUCUAUCAGAAGGCGCAACAAGUUUCCUUUGUUGAUGCACAAGUUUGUUAUCCCACUUCUUACCCUUUUGUCUUCCAAUUCUUUGUGGGUUUGAAGUUUUGAUUUACAUUAUAAUUGUUCCUCCUGGGAGUUAUACUUAAGGUAGCAAAAGCUUUCUCAGUACUGCUUUCAGAAUGCCUCUCAAUUCUUUGUUCAUACCUUUUAGAGUAGCAACUACAUCCUGCACAUCAACUGUCUCCAAAUCCCUAGUAUUUUCUAUCACAGCUACGAUACUAUCAUAGGAUCUAGGAAGACUAAUCAAUAAGUUCUGCACAAUUCUCUGAUUUCUAAUAUCUUCACCAUAACUUUUCAUUUGUGUAAUAAGAUCAAAUAAUCGCACAAGGUACACAAAGAAUGCUUUAUGCUCACCCAUUCGAGUAUAUUCAAAAUCACGCCUUAAACUUUGAAGUUUCACAAACCUUACCUGUUUGUCUCCAAUAAACUCUUGCUUCAGUAUAUCCCAGGCCUCCUUUUCCAUCUCCAGUAUGGCGAUCCUUGGGAAAAUCUCAUCUGACACAACUCCUUGAAUAAUCCCUAGAGCCUUAGCAUCCUUGACUAUGUUCUCCUUCAAAUGCUUAAGCACAGUUGCAGUGAGCUUUUCUUCUCUCUUCGUCGGAGGACUAUACCCUUUCUCAACCAUAUCCAACAGAUCGUGAGAUCUGAAUAUAGUCUUCAUCUUUAUCUGCCAGAAAUCAAAGUUUUCACCAUUGAAAACUGGUGCUCGAAGGUCAGCACUACUCUCGAUCUAACCAUAUUAGACUUGUUAUCGAGUAACCCAGAAUUUUUCAGAACUUUCUUCAGUCGCAGCAAGACCCGAUUCUCCGCCGAGUUCCGUCGCUGUCAACCACGUCACAGUUUCACGCCCAGAUGAAGAUCCAACCUGGCUCUGAGGCCAUGUUAGUGUUUGAUUUCUGGAUUGAGAUUUCUUUUUAACAAUGAGAAUAGAAAUGUACAAAGAGGAAGAAUUUAAAGAGCCAUGGAAGCUUCAAAGGUAUAUUGUAUUCCACUCUUUUUUUUAAGCAAAGAACUCGGAGAGCAUAUAACCGUUAGGGGAGUGAGUAACGCACUCACUCUCACAUCACUGCAAAUCAAUCACAACCAUUCAUUUUUUUUAAGUCAUCAUGUAAGAUUGAUGUGAAAAUUAUGUUGACACACAAAUUAAACCCUAUUUGUGACAAUUGUAGUAAUAAUGUAAGUAGGGAUCAUUCUAACCGGGGAUUAACUAGGGGUACUAAUCACUUGAAAACUGAAUUAGAAACGUAAAAACAAAGUUUAAAACACUAGAUUAGACUCAAGGAAUGCAAAACUAACGUUUAAAAUACUAAAACAAACCAAAAACUCAAAACAGCAACCAAAAGACUCAAAACUGCCUUAAAAACACUUUCUGGGCAGUUUUGAACACAAAGCACCAAAUUGGACGAAUUUGGGUUUUAACUUGUACCAAAACACUUAAAAACAUAAACCAACACACUUUCUAGCUAAUCUAGGACUUCAAAACAAAUGGGGAUUUGAUUUGGACGAAAAUAACUAAAUGGGCAGAUUGUGAAACAAAAACAGAUUGUAAGAUAAAAUUGUAAUGAAUCAAUGGAUGAUGGAAUAACUAAGGGGUUCUUCUCCACACAUGAAAUACAUGCAACCUAAAUUGAUUUCCAGUUAUCAAAUUAAUAAGUUAUGAAUCUCGACACUCCAAGUUAAUUAGGUCCGCUUAGAUUAACCUUCAGAUUUCCCUAGAAUCAUUGAAUUGGAUGAAUAUGCAUCGCAAACAAAUUAUUCCUAACAAGUUCUCUAUAUGAACAACAUGAUAAAGAUACAAGUUAGAAUCAUUACGUUCUUUGGAAAUCAUAAGCAUCGACAAGGCAUUCGUAACUAUGAAAAACAUGAUACUCUUGCUAGGAAUCUACUUAACACGAUCGUGACUAGCGACCUUUACUACUUGCGAAUAUAAAUUCAUAACGAUUAGGUGAAACAAACUCAUAUCCUAGCAUCAAAUUCAAGCAUGCAAAUUAAGCGUGCACUCUCAAUCAACAUACAAGAAUAAGUUCUAAAUCAAACGGUUAAGCGAAUUGUAUUCACGACUUAUGCAACGAUAACUGGAAGUAAUCAACUUAUUUCACAUAUAUAAUCAUGGUUUUGAAUCCACCCUUAGCCAAAACGAAUUUAACCAAUCAUACUUAAAGAAAAACAAAGAUUACAUGAAUUUGACAUUGAAAUAUAAGAUAGAAAACACCUAAAAUCGUUCAACAACUCAUAUUGAAAAGCCAAACAAUUGUAGAGAAUCUGUCCCCUUUGUUGCUUGCGGCAGAUUGUAUGGUGAUGCUUCUUGGAUUGUUUUGAUGACGUAGAAUGGAAUUUGGGGGGUGUAGAGGCACGGCAAGGGUUGUAGGAUGAGUGUGGAUGAGUGGUGGAUGGAUGGAAGAUGGUGGAAAGCUCGGCAAGAAUGGUGGGAAGGUGCGGCAGAUUAUAGAACUAGGGUUUCUGGAAAUUUUGAAUGAAUGUAGCAGGUUGUAGUUCGGCCUAGGGGUUAAAACACAUAUAUAUAAGCACUACAAACCCUAGGGCAAACAGAUUAGGGCCUCUAAAACCCAAAUCCAUCAGAAAUUAGGUUAAAACAAUUAGAAUUUAAGUGGGAAAAGGGCCUAGGGUGCGGCUGGUUACUAGGGUAAAUGAAUGGGCCUUCUAGAAUGCCUUGCAAGGCAAGGAAAUCAGAUUUCUAAAGCCCUAGGUGCGGCAAGGGUUAGGGGGGGAAAGGCUAGGUCAUCUAAAAGCCUAAAGCCAAGAAUAGAAACUCUCGAAAAUGGAAACCUCCAAGAAUAGAAACUUCCAACUUUAGAAACUUUGGUUUCCAAUUCCGAAUUCUUUGUUCUUCACUUCAUUUCUUCCUUUCUUAAGCUCCUUUGACCUUCAAACUCGUCCAUUCCUUGUGCUCCAUAAGCAUACACAACAUUCCAGCUCAAUUUUGCUCUAAAAUGCUCCAUUUCGCACUUAUUUGCAUCCUUUGUCUUUAAACCUGAAAUUGCAUGAAACUGACUUUAAACAUUGAAAUAACUCAAGAAAAACAAUAUAAAUGCAUGAGAACAAGCCCACUAAGUCGCAUAAAUAUGCUCCUAUCAAAUUCCCCCACACUUAGCUUUUGCUAGUCCUCGAGCAAAACAAACAAAAGAAAGAAAACAAAACGAAACAAACUAACCAAAACAAAACCUAAACCUUCCAACGUUUGCCUCAGGGAUUUCCAAUGCACAUGACGUAUUAGAGAUUGUUAUCCCCACAGAUUUGAGUCAUCUUUACACAUGAGCACAUACUUAAUUAAAGCCACAACUUACUAGUUCACAAGUAAUCAAUUAAAACAAUGCUUUGAAUGUAGUACAUGCCUUAGAGAAUUCCCUCAAUUCCUUACAAGAUAUACACUCUAUUUUCACUCAGAUUUUAUAACUACACACCUUAUACUAGUCAUAUGUGAGAAGAUUGAUGUAGAUAUGAAAACGAAUGCUCACAUAUAUGUUUCACAAAGAACGUACUUUCUAGAGUUAAGAAGCAUGUUUAGAUAUAAUCUCAUGAAUGGAAUGCUACUACUUAGAUGCGAGAACCAGUGACACCAUAUGCUCAUACCAAAUUCAAACUCCACAAAUUGAAACACAUAACACUCAAGAUAGAGGUUAAGGGUUGUAAUGGGGCUUGGGGUAUUGGCUAACAAGGAAAGGAGAGGGAAAACAACCGUUCUUCAAGUGAUAGUAAGCAAAGUAAUGAACUUGAGACUUAGAAUUCACUUAGAUUGCAGAAAUUAACUUUAACACACAAGGGGGAGACUUAAACAACUCCUUAGGGUCAAAUUCAUUGUUUUGGACCCUUACUUCAACAAACAAUACUUUGGAACUCUUUUUCUCAACUUUUCAACUCUUUUUUCAAACUUUUCAUAUUUUUUUUUUCAUUUUUUUUUCUUUUUCCACGAAUUUUUUUCUUUUCUUUUCUUUGCCGUUCCUAUGGCACACAAUUCCUCACGAAAAAAUACUUCCCCCACACUUGUUUUCUGCUAACAUAGAUCAAAAGGAAUUCAAUUCGAAUCAUGUUUUACUAUGCUUUAAGAACAAGGGUAUGGAUGGUCCUAAACUAGGCUAGGUAAGGAUAUUGUGGGUUAACAAACAACAUAGGUUAAACAAGGCUCAACGGGGUUAAACUUAAACAUAAAAUGAUAUGGGAUACACGGUAGUUUGGCUAAGGUGGUGGUAACUACACAACUUCAUCUUGAAUAUGUGUUAUGCAAAUCAAUAACAUGCUUUGAAUGAAAUGGGCAUGAGUUCUAGCAUUUGGAACUAAAUGAUGAAACGCCUUCUAAGUAGUAACCAAGCAAGGAAAUAUGAGAUCAUGCAACGACUUAGAAAACAAUAAUGCACAGAUUUUAACUCUCCAAAUAAACGUUUAGGCUCAAGUCUCACAAGGUUGUAGCGUUAGUUUGAGUUCCUUCCUUCAAGCAUGUUACAAAAACUAAUUUUUUCUUUAUGAUUACCUGUGAAUUCAUAAGUUAUAACCACAACCAAGCAUAAACAAAGAGUAAAUCAAACUUUCAUCCAUGUUAAUCAUUCUCUUUAACAGUCAUGCAAUUACAAACCGAAUCCUCAUCAUUGUGUUGGAAGGUACCCUAAGACACGAACAAACACACAAAAAUAACUCAAACACAACUCUUUUUGUUUUUUUUUUUUCAAAACAAUUUUUCAAUUUUUUUCUGGGAUUUUCGGAUUUUUAGAACAACAUAUACUAAAACACACCAAAACAACCUAAAAACACCUAAAAACAGCAAGGAACAACAUUUGAAAUUAUGGGUGAUAAAACCCUACGAAUUUGUAUCAAAACACUUUGGUUACCCCCCCCACACUUAAAUCAAACAUUGUCCUCAAUGUUUCAAGCAUAAACUAACACAAAUAACCAACAAGCAAAGAAAACAGCAACUAAACAAUCUAAAUGGCAGAAAUGAAAUAACAACAAAGAGAAGGGUUUAGGAAUGCAAAUCUGGAAUUGGAGUGCUCUCUAGGUCUUCCUUUGUCGAAUGCAUGGGUUGCCUCCCAAGUAGCGCUUUCUUUAACGUCUUACAGCCGGACGAUGCCACAUUGAUCAACCUUCAUGGGAAGCCACGGCAUAGUGGGUUGUCUCCUCCAUAUCAUGUUCUACAAAGCUCUCAUAGUAUGGCUUCAAGCGAUGCCCAUUCACCUUGAACUCUUGACCUGUUUUGAAACUACGAACCUGGACUGCACCAUGAGGAAAAACAUCAGUAAUAACAAAGGGUCCAAUCCAACGUGAACGUAACUUACCCAGAAAAAGACGAAGACGAGAAUUAAACAACAACAUUUUUUGUCCAACAGCGAAGGACUUGGUGCGAAUCAUCUUGUCAUGAAAGGCCUUCGUUUUUUCCUUGUAAAGGCGAGCAUUCUCGUAAGCUUCAUUCCAGAUUUCCUCAAGAUCAUUCAAUUGUAGCUUACGAUGAAGUCCCGCCUCAUCUAUAUCCAUGUUGAAUUUCCUCACGGCCCAAUGAGCCUUGUGCUCCAACUCCACAGGUAAGUGACAUGGUUUCCCAUACACGAGCCGAAAGGGAGACAUUCCGAUGGGUGUUUUGUAGGCGGUCCUAUAAGCCCACAAUGCAUCUUUUAACCUCAAGCUCCAAUCUUUUCGUGUUGGCCCAACUGUCUUCUCAAGAAUCUGCUUUAUCUCCCGAUUCGACACCUCGGCUUGCCCGCUUGUUUGAGGAUGAUAGGGUGUGGAAACCCUAUGUGUAACGUUACUUCUUGAGCAGUGCCUCGAUUGUGCGAUUACAAAAAUGUGAACCUCCAUCACUGAUAAGGACUCGAGGCAUUCCAAACCUGGCAAAAAUGUUAGACUUCACAAAAUCUGCAACCACUUUAGAAUCGUUAGUCCGGGUGGCUUUUGCUUCCACCCAUUUGGAAACAUAAUCCACUGCCAACAAGAUAUAGAGAAAACCAUGCGAUGAAGGAAAAGGACCCAUAAAAUCAAUGCCCCACACAUUAAAUAUUUCAACAGAAAGUAUAGGGUUUUGUGGCAUUUGAUCCUUAGCACUUAUAUUACCCAUUCGUUGACAACGAUCACAUGUAAGGCAAAAUGUCCUAGCAUCCCUAAAAAUGGUUGGCCAAUAAAACCCACAUUCUAAGACUUUAAGGGCAGUGCGUUGGGUGCCGAAAUGUCCCCCACAUGCAUAUGAAUGACAGAAUGUUAAAAUAGAUUGAAACUCAGAUUCAUUCACACAACGGCGUACAAUCUGAUCGGGACAAAAUUUCCAAAGGUAUGGAUCAUCCCAAACAUAAAACCUAGCAUCCUUUUUAAGCUUAUCACUUUGAUUCCUAUUAAGUGUGCUAGGGAUAUGUUUAGACACCAAAAAGUUCACUAAAUCUGCAUACCAAGGCUCACUUACCUGGAUCGACAGUAGUUGCUCAUCGGGGAAGGUUUCAGAAAUUGGCGAUGCUUCCUCAUGCACCAUUCGACUUAGGUGGUCAGCCACCACAUUCUCCACGCCCUUCUUAUCCCGAAUCUCAAUGUCAAACUCUUGUAGAAGCAACAUCCAACGAAUUAGUCUAGGCUUGGCCUCCUUUUUCGUGAGCAAAUACUUGAGAGCUGCAUGAUCAGUAAAGAUAAUAACUUUAGUACCAAGUAAGUAUGAUCGGAACUUAUCUAAUGCAAAUACCUCAGCAAGUAAUUCUUUUUCAGUGGUUGAGUAAUUUAAUUGAGCAUCAUUUAGUGUCCUAGAUGCAUAAUAAAUAACAUGAGGUUGUUUGUUCUUUCGCUGCCCCAAAACAGCACCAAUCGCAUAGUCCGAAGCAUCGCACAUCAACUCGAAUGGAAGGCUUCAAUCUGGAGGUGUGAUAAUGGGAGCCGAAGUGAGAGCUUCCUUUAAGUGCUUGAAAGUCGUGGAGCAUGCCUCAUCAAACUCGAAAGCCACCUCUUUUUGAAGUAACCGGCAUAGUGGCUGUGCAAUCUUGGAGAAAUCCUUUAUGAAACGCCUAUAAAAACCUGCGUGACCAAGAAACGAACGAACCUCUCUAACCGAAGUUGGAGAGGGUAAGUGACGAACAAGGUCUACCUUAGAUUUAUCCACUUGAAUGCCUUUUUCAGAAAUAAUAUGUCCUAGAACAAUACCUUGCUUAACCAUGAAGUGACAUUUUUCCCAAUUAAGCACAAGAUUCGUUUCAACACAACGUUUCAGAAUUAAGGUCAGAUUAUUCAAGUAAUGAUCAAAUGAAUUACCAAACACGCUAAAAUCAUCCAUGAAUAUCUCAAUAAUCUUUUCCACAUAAUCAGAAAAUAUACUUACCAUGCAACGUUGAAAUGUCGCAGGGGCAUUGCACAAACCAAAUGGCAUGCGCCUAUAUGCAAAGGUGCCAAAUGGGCACGUGAAGGUUGUCUUUUCCUGGUCCUCCGGAGCUAUCACAAUUUGGUUAUAUCCAGAAUAUCCAUCAAGAAAGCAAUAAAAUUGAUAACCGGCUAACCUUUCUAACAUUUGGUCCAAGAAUGGCAAAGGAAAGUGAUCCUUCCUUGUCAUGGCAUUUAACUUCCUGUAAUCAAUACAAACACGCCAACCGAUCACAACACGAGUGGGUACAAGCUCUUGUUCUUCAUUCUUCACCACCGUGACUCCGGACUUCUUUGGAACAACCUGCACAGGUGACACCCAACGACUAUCAGAAAUAGGAUAUAUGACACCACAAUCAAGCAAUUUUAUAACCUCCUUUUUGACUACUUCCAACAUAGGCGGAUUAAGGCGACGUUGAGCCUCCCGAGAUGGCUUGGCUCCCUCCUCCAAAAGGAUGAGAUGCAUGCACGUGGUGGGACUAAUGCCUUUAAUAUCCGCCAAGGUCCAUCCAAUGGCAGGUUUGUGCUCCUUUAACACCCUUAUCAACUUGUCUUCUUCUUGGGCCGUGAGUGAGCUAGAUAUGAUGACGGGUAGUGUUUGAUCUUCUCCCAAGAAGACAUGCUUCAAGUGACUAGGUAAUGGCUUCAACUCAAGUGUAGGUGGCUGCACAAUGGAUGGAAGUAACUUGUUAGCCAAAACCGAAUCUAAAAUUGGGAGUGGAGACUUACCAGAAUGUGAUGGCAAUGACUCGAGGGACGCGACCAUUUCAACCACUUCACCACAAUGGGGCACGGCAAUAGGGUUCAAGUCCAUGCCGUGGGUUGCAUGGAUUCCCCCACACUUGUUUCUUGCUCCUAUGACGUGCACUAAGGCUAUUUCAAGUGCAUCAUCGUUCAUUCGAUCCAAGUGUACCUGUGCCAAAGAAUCAACAAUGUCAAUAGCGAAACAAGAAUGGUCCUCCAUUGGGUAUUUAAUGGUUUCAGAAAGAUUAAAACGAAUAAUGUCCCCAUCAAACUCCAUGGUUAAUGUUCCCAUAAACACGUCUAUCUUUGUUCUCGCUGUUUUCAUGAAUGGUCGGCCUAGCAAGAUUGGCAAUGAUGGAGCAUGGCUCGAGUCCUCCAUUUCUAAAACAUAAAAAUCUGCAGGAAAGAUAAGAUGAUUUACCUGCACUAAAACAUCCUCAAGGACUCCCUUGGGAUAAGCGUUAGAACGAUCGGCCAAUUGAAUUAUAACGCCAUCUUGUUUUAACUCACCAAGGUUCAUUGAUGCAUAAAUGGAAUAUGGCAUAACAUUAAUAGAAGCACCUAAAUCUAACAUGCAUUGUUCAAAUCUAGUGUUUCCAAUUACGCAUGGGAUAGUAAAGCUCCCUGGAUCCUUACACUUUGGAGGUAACUUUCGUUGCAAAACUGUGGAUACAUUUUCACUUACUUUCACAACUUCUUUGUUUGAAAUUCUUUUCCUAGUUGUGCAUAACUCUUUUAAAAACUUUGCGUACCUGGGUACUUGUUUAAUAGCAUCAAGUAAAGGAAUGUUUACUUGGACUUUUCGAAAGGUAUCCAAAAUGUCCUUUUCGCUUUCUUCCUUAUUCGAUUGUGCAAAUCUGCGAGGGAAAUGAACAUUGGGCAUAUUAGUGUUCGAAAUCACAACAUUUGGGACAUUCUUACCUGAAGUGGACGGAUGGGAUGUCUUAGGUGGCUGCGGCAUGGGUGAUGCUACCCUUGCCGUGGGGUAGGUGUGCUCCUCUUCUUCGAGUUGUAUCUUCUCAUCUUCCUUGUUUCUCACCUCUUUUCCACUUCGUAGUGUGAUAGCCUUCGCAGAUUCGAAACCACCCUUUGGAUUGACCACCGUAGUACUCGGCAACUUACCAUUUUCACGGAAUUGUCCCAAAAACUCGGCCAUUUGGCCCAUUUGCUUAUUUAGCUCAUUAACCUCCUUUGCUUGGUUCUGCAUUCCCUGCGCCAUUGUGGUUAGUAACUGAUAUGUUUUAUCAUCAUUCAUAGACGUACCUGGGUUGGUUUGAGAUGAUUGUGCUUGAGGAGGUGGUUGUGGUGCCAUUGGCCUUGGAAAGAAACCCGGGGUUUGUCGGAAUCCACUUUGUUGGCCAUAUUGUGGUGCAUCUCUCCAUCUGAAAUUGGGGUGGUCACGCCAUCCCUGAUUGUAUGUAUUGGAAAACGGAUCACCCCUUGGUUGGUUUUGAUUUCCAUAUCCCACAGCAUUGGCAGAUUCCCACCCUCUAUUCUCAAUUAAUUGAAGGCAUUGAUCAGAUUGGUGUCCUUGAAUGGAGCAUACACCAUAGACUGUAGUUCCUUGCGUUUUGGGGCCUUCAACCAACUGCGAUAACAUAGACGUAAGGUUAGCCAUUUAGGAUUGUAACUCAGAAAUAGAACUUACCUCAUUUACAUGAUGUGGCCGUGGGGUGUCUCGUUGCCCAACGCUUUCAUAUUGCUGUGCAUUGAGUGCUCGAUUCGCAAUGAGAGUUUUGGCAUCCCUGGGUGUCUUGUCCACUAGAGCUCCUCCCGCGGACGCAUCCAACAUUUGCCGUUCAAGUGGUAAAAGACCUUCGUAAAAAUAUUGAAGAAGUAGCUCCUCCUUCAUCUGAUGCUGUGGACAAGAAGCAACAAGUGAUUUAAAUCGUUCAUAAUAAGAUGGAAAAGAUUCACCUGGGCUUUGCUGAAUUCCACUAAUCUUCUUUCGAAGAAGAAUGACUCGUGAUGUCGGGAAGAACUUCUCUAAGAAAGCUCGCUGCAUGCUCUCCCAUGAUGUGACAGUGCCGGGAGCCAACUCAUACGACCAAUCCUUGGCCUUCUCCAACAAAGAAAAGGGGAAAGCCUUCAUCUUCAAUGUUGCCGUCCACGUUCACCGGUGUCAUACUCGAGCAUACUACUUCGAACUCCUUUAAAUGCUUAUUGGGGUCCUCCAUUGAUAACCCAUGGAACUUGGGUAUAUGAUGUAACAAACUUGACUUCAACUCAAAUUCAUCGGUCUUCUCAGGGGCUGCCCUAGGGUAUUGGAUGCAAAGAGGGGCUGCAUUGGCCAAACCCGAGGCAGAAAGCUCCUUAAUGGUUCGAUUGUCGACUGCCAUGGUUGGUACUUCUUCUUCAACUCUUGCUGUGGCCUCCUCUUCAACCUCAACUUCUUGCUCUUCUAAUUCAGGUUCGGGACUAAGAGGAUUAGACUUGUGCAAUUUCUUUUUCCUUCUCAACGUCCUCUCAAAAUCACCGUCAAAGUCGAAGAUAUGCCCACGAACAGGUUGUGAGCUACGGGUCAUAAACUAGUACCUGCACACAAGAGCAACAAGGUUAGUAACCAACUCACUAGACUCGGCACAAGUAAGAAAUUAAGGUGCCUAUGCACGGCACAAAAACAAACACACACACACGGUGCAAAAUUCAAAAACAAAACAGAAAACGAAACAAUUUAAACAAGACUCAAGACAAGGGAUUAGCAACUUUGCUAAUCCCCGGCAACGGCGCCAAAAUUUGAUGUGAAAAUUUUGUUGACACCCAAAUUAAACCCUAUUUGUGACAAUUGUAGUAAUGAUGUAAGUAGGGAUCGUUCUAACCGGGGAUUAACUAGGGGUACUAAUCACUUGAAACUGAAUUAGAAACGUAAAAACAAAGUUUAAAACACUAGAUUAGACUCAAGGAAUGCAAAACUAACGUUUAAAAUACUAAAACAAACCAAAAACUCAAAACAGCAACCAAAAGACUUAAAACUGCCUUAAAAACACUUUCUGGGCAGUUUUGAACACAAAGCACCAAAUUGGAUGAAUUUGGGUUUUAACUUGUACCAAAACACUUAAAAACAUAAACCAACACACUUUCUAGCUAAUCUAGGACUUCAAAACAAAUGGGGAUUUGAUUUGGACGAAAAUAACUAAAUGGGCAGAUUGUGAAACAAAAACAUAUUGUAAGAUAAAAUUGUAAUGAAUCAAUGGAUGAUGGAAUAGCUAAGGGGUUCUUCUCCACACAUGAAAUAUAUGCAACCUAAAUCGAUUUCCAGUUAUCAAAUUAAUAAGUUAUGAAUCUCGACACUCCAAGUUAAUUAGGUCCGCUUAGAUUAACCUUCAGAUUUCCCUAGAAUCAUUGAAUUGGAUGAAUAUGCAUCGCAAACAAAUUAUUCCUAACAAGUUCUCUAUAUGAACAGCAUGAUAAAGAUACAAGUUAGAAUCAUUACGUUCUUUGGAAAUCAUAAGCAUCGACAAGGCAUUCAUAACUAUGAAAAGCAUGAUACUCUUGCUAGGAAUCUACUUAACACGAUCGUGACUAGCGACCUUUACUACUUGCGAAUAUAAAUUCAUAACAAUUAGGUGAAACAAACUCAUAUCCUAGCAUCAAAUUCAAGCAUGCAAAUUAAGCGUGCACUCUCAAUCAACAUACAAGAAUAAGUUCUAAAUCAAACGGUUAAGCGAAUUGUAUUCACGACUUAUGCAACGAUAACUGGAAGUAAUCAACUUAUUUCACAUAUAUAAUCAUGGUUUUGAAUCCACCCUUAGCCAAAACGAAUUUAGCCAAUCAUACUUAAAGAAAAACAAGAUUACAUGAAUUAGACAUUGAAAUAUAAGAUAGAAAACACCUAAAAUCGUUCAACAACUCAGAUUGAAAAGCCAAACAAUUGUAGAGAAUCUGUCCCCUUUGUUGCUUGCGGCAGAUUGUAUGGUGAUGCUUCUUGGAUUGUUUUGAUGACGUAGAAUGGAAUUUGGGGGGUGUAGAGGCACGGCAAGGGUUGUAGGAUGAGUGUGGAUGAGUGGUGGAUGGAUGGAAAAUGGUGGAAAGCUCGGCAAGAAUGGUGGGAAGGUGCGGCAGAUUAUAGAACUAGGGUUUCUGGAAUUUUGAAUGAAUGUAGCAGGUUGUAGUUCGGCCUAGGGGUUAAAACACAUAUAUAUAAGCACUACAAACCCUAGGGCAAAUAGAUUAGGGCCUCUAAAACCUAAAUCCAUCAGAAAUUACGUUAAAACAAUUAGAAUUUAAGUGGGAAAAGGGCCUAGGGUGCGGCUGGUUACUAGGGUAAAUGAAUGGGCCUUCUAGAAUGCCUUGCAAGGCAAGGAAAUCAGAUUUCUAAAGCCCUAGGUGCGGCAAGGGUUAGGGGGGGGAAAGGCUAGGUCAUCUAAAAGCCCAAAGCCAAGAAUAGAAACUCUCGAAAAUGGAAACCUCCAAGAAUAGAAACUUCCAACUUUAGAAACUUUGGUUUCCAAUUCCGAAUUCUUUGUUCUUCACUUUCAUUUCUUCCUUUCUUAAGCUCCUUUGACCUUCAAACUCGUCCAUUCCUUGUGCUCCAUAAGCUUACACAACAUUCCAGCUCAAUUUUGCUCUAAAAUGCUCCAUUUCGCACUUAUUUGCAUCCUUUGUCUCUAAACCUGAAAUUGCAUGAAACUGACUUUAAACAUUGAAAUAACUCAAGAAAAACAAUAUAAAUGCAUGAGAACAAGCCCACUAAGUCGCAUAAAUAUGCUCCUAUCAAAGAUGCUUACACUUGUCAUGAACUAUGACUCAUUACAAUCUAAUCUAGAUGCCAUAUGGAAUAUGAUCCAAAGGCUCACAUUCAAUCUUACAACUUGCAUUUAAUAAACCAACACAGCAAAUACACUUAUACACCAAUAUUGUGUUGGUAAUGUCCAUGAGAUUGAGUCAAAAGCUCCACCAUUUCAAAUUAUUUCCCAUGUAAAUAUUGAGAAGAAAAGAAAACAAGUUUGAAAUUUUGUUGUAAUAAUUGGUGAGAAAAUGAUAUUAGAAAGUGUGUAAUUUGGGAGAGAGGUCGCAGUUGGUAGGAAUAAAAGGAGAUUAAAAGAUUAAACUUGUUGAUAUUGACAGUGGAAAAAAGAAUUGCUUUUGCUUACAAAUUAGGAACUUAGUCCACUGGUGUCAAAUGCAGUAAAAAAGUUUUUGAUGGGAAUCAAUUAGCAAAAUGGUUAGGCUAAAUCUUGAGAAAAUUUGAAUUCUUUUUGGUAUUUGGCAGACUUUUUAAGUGAUUUUUAAGGAUUUUUUAUUGUUGUUGCAUUUGCAGAUCAUUUGAUGAGUAUGAAGGGAUAUAAGUUGCUUAGAACCAGGUCAAGCUCUAAUCUUUUAGCAAUCGAACAUCCUCAGUUAUAGGUUUGGGCCUUACCUUCUGUAUUUUAAUGUUUGUUUUAUACCAUUUCCUACAUUGUUUUGUUGUUUUAGGCUGUAGAUGAAAUGUAAAGUGUUAUUUAUUCCAAGUAAAAUUAAAAAGUUAACUAGGUCUUCUUCAAAAUGCAUGGAAUAAGCCUAUGGGUUUUAACUUGGUUCUUAAAUUAUUUUCUCAGUGAUAAAAUCAAUUAUGAAUGUUUACAUAAUUUGUAAAGUGAUGAAUAAGUUGACAUAUUAUACUUAUUACUUAACUUUUGUUAUUAAAUUGUGAGUUUGACUGUACAAAUCAUUCAUUAAUCCUUCUUUUAUGUGGAGGCCAAAUUGCAGAAGUUUUACUCUUUUUAUGGAUAAUUUGAAGUCUUUUAUGCAAAUUGCAAGUUAUUUUUACUUUAUUUGAUAUUUAACAUUCUAAAUUACAUUUAAACACAGGUACAAUGUAACAUUCGUUCUUGAAGAUGAGACUGAUGAUGAGGCAACUACAAUGUUUCACAAAAAAAAAAAGAAAAUCAGAAGACCUCUUUUUAUCGGUGGCAAAAAAAGGUUACACCCUACUAAAUAAUAUCUUUUCCUAUAUUUAAUCUUUUGUAACACAAUUUUUUAUACCUUUCAAACAUAAUUUUUCAUAUGAUUCUUAAUCCCGUAGCAACGCGCGGGCAGUGUUUUCUAGUGUGUGUGUGUGUGUAUAUAUAUAUAUAUAUGUAUGUGUGUGUGUGUGUGUGUGUGUGUGUGUAAGCAAGUGCACAAUUGUCAAUGUCAGUUUAUAUAUUGUCAAUGUCAGUUUAUAUAUAUAUACACACACUAAACCAACAUAGGUGCAAGUAUGCAGCCUAUAGACAUGCAAUCCAGGCGUACAAAAUAGGAACUAGGUGUGCAGAGAUAAUUUUGUCAAUCCACUUUCGUAAACCAUGCAAAGGUGUCAGUCAACUUUUGUAAACCAUACGAAGGUGUCAGCCCACUUUCGUAAAUUAUGCUUCAGUCCACCACGUUCAUAAAUUGUGUGAAAGUGUUUCACGUUCGUAAGUUCCACAUUCAUAAACUAUGUGAAGGUGCUCCAAGUUGGUAAAUUAUGCUGUGAUGUUUGUAAAUUAUAAUUAUGCUUUAGUCCACCACGUUCGUAAAUUUUGUGAAAGUGAUCCACAUUCGUAAGUUCCACAUUCAUAAACUAUGUGAAGGUGCUCCAAGUUCAUAAAUUAUGUUGUGAUGUUUGUAAAUUAUGCGAACAAGUCAGUUGACUUUCGCAAGUUACGGAAGGAGUUAGUCCACUUUCGUAAGUCAUGCGAAGAUAGUCCACAUUCGUAAAGUUACGGAAGGAGUUAGUCCACUUUCGUAAGUCAUGCAAAGAUAGUCCACGUUCGGAAAGUUACAGAAAGAGAGUCCAUUUUCGUAAGUCAUGCAAAGAUAAUCCACGUUCGUCAACUAUGCAAAGGUGUUCCAAGUUCGUAAGUUAAGCUGUGAUGUUUGUAAAUUAUACAAAGGAGUCAGCUAACUUUCGCAAGUUACGCGAUAGUUAACUUUCAUGAAUUAUGGUUUAGGUGUCAGUUUACACUCGUAAAUAAGGCUAAGAUGAUAGUUCCUAAAUUUUGCGAAGAUGUUAGAGUUAGGCAAAGGCUGUUGUAAAUUAGGCCUUAGAAAAAGUGGCUUCCACAAAUUGGGCUUUAGAAAGAAAGGUUUGAAGUUUUAGCUUGGCUUAAAGAAUAUAGUUUCAAGGCCUCAUGCGAUCGAAAAACUCAGUUUUUUUCUAUUUUUCAUAUGUAAAAAAAGGGAGAAAGGGGGCAUUAUGGGAGGAUAGAAUCUAGUUUCGACUCAUGGGCCAAUACCAAUCAUCCAAAGAGAUGAUGUUGUGCAAGAUAAAUUGUGAGGAAAGCCCACAAGAAAUAUACAGAUGCAAGAGAAGGGAAACGUGUCUAAAUAACUAUCUCCACUACGGAGGACCACUAAGGAAGAGGGAGAGGAAGACAAGUUGUGGUACUUGUUUCCCAAGCAUGUAGUUCGUAUCUAGAUAACUACCUCCACUAUGGAGGACCACUAAGGAAGAGGGAGAAGAAGAUAGGUCAUGGUACUUGUUCCCCAAGCAUGUAGUCCUAUAAAUAUGGAGAUGAGCCAAAGAGCAAGGUACGCAAUCAAAACCAGAGAGAAACCAGAGAAUAAAAAAUCAAUCGACUGACUUAAGCGUCAGAGUAUCUCUUGCAAGUGCCCCGCCCAGACAAGCUACCAAGAAAGACUGCUCAGGAAUGCCUCUUACUAGGGAUUCGACGAACGUGAGGAUUGCGGUUAACAAAUCUGUAGAGGUAUUUCUUCCCGUAGGAAAUUUCGCUCCAACAACUUGAAAUCCUGAUAGAGAUAAACGAGACCCCGAGCAAUUCCACAUAUUUUUAAUUUCAAUCCAAAUCACUUAAUGACCUAUAUAUGAUUCCAUGAAAUUAUUUUAAGGCAACCAAGCAAUAACUAAAUCUGCAUAAACUUAUAGGGUGUCAAAGAUUCAAACCAAAAUGGAGCUGUUCGUUUGGAAGAAUUUCCGAUGGGGACGUUUCCUGACCAACGAGCACACAGCUCCCCAAGAGGUUGGCGCCAGUUGAUAUUGUAUGUCGGGCUUCUGCUUAUUGGCGGGUUGUAAAAGAAGGACAGAGUUACUUUUGAAAGGUGUCUUUGUGGGGCCUUAAGUGUAGGCCUUGAUGCUCACAAUCAAAAUUAACUGUAAGUGUUCAGGCAUGCCACUGCCAUCUUUAGCAUGACAAAUGUAAAACAUAUGUUAUAUAUGCCUGAGAGACCGAAUGAGCUCUGAAAGGUGCCUUUGUAGGGCCUUAGGUGUAGGCCUUGAGGCUUCCAAUCAAAACGAACUAAGUACUCGAAUAUAUAUUGGUUGUUUAAUUGUUGUAAAAGUAUCAUAACUGUUAUCCUUUAAUUACCCGUGCCCGAAGAGUAGAACGAACCCAGAUAGGUGCCUUUAUAGGGCCUUAGGUAUAGGCCUUAAGGCUUCCCAUCAGAGUUAAUUCUAUACUCAAGCAUUUUAUGGCAAUCAUAGUAUAACAACAGUAAAACUGAGAAAUAGGCUGAUUACUUGCACCGCACCCUAAGUAACUUUGGACUUCUUGUUAUCAAAGACUGUCGUGGAUGGGUUAAGUCCACAUAAAGUUCUUGUGUAUGCCUUGAGACCAAGGACUUUUAAUUGAUCAAUCUUGUAUGCCCGAGAGGUUAGAACUUAGAAGCCUUUUAAUCAUAAACUUGUUAGAAAUAACUUGGAUGCAGAUGGAAGUAUACAUCAUAUUACUAGAUUUAUGACUGAAAAAACAAAACAAAGAGGGUCGGGCAAGGUUUUCACUUUGUCGGGCAAGACUGAUCGUCUUACAACUUCCUCUCUUUGUAAUUUACAAAGUAUUUGAGUGCUAGAAGGGGAGAUUGGGGGAUGAGUUUACAGGAGGGAAUCAAUACUACAACAAGAUUUAGACAGGGUAGCAGAGCUUUUACAAAGGUUUUUUGGUGAAGGUUAAUCCUGAAAAGGAUGAAGGCUUGAUGCUGACUACAGCUUCGUAUGCAAAUCUGGCUUACGCAUAGUUUGUGUAUUUGUUUGUUUGUUUGAGUGUCCCUAUCUUUGAUUUCUCUUUCCCCUUUUAUAGAUGAUUUGACUUGACUGCCUGCAGUAUUAAUCUUGCCCGCAUGCUGCUGAAGGGUAGUGACUCAUCAGCUUUUUACUUGUACUGCCAUUGUAAAGUACUUUUGGGCUGAUUAGCUGGCCAGUCUAAACCACUUGAUCUCUAGGUAGGUGAGCAAGUGGCUUAAGUGAUCUUCAUUUAGUCGGGAAAAGGGCUUCUCCCUUCUUCUGGGCUUCGGCUUCCUUCCUUCUGGAUCUUCUUAUGGGCUAUCCCCAUUUUGAGCCCAAAGUUCAAGUUUUAACCCAGACAGUGCCCCCCUUUAAUUAAUAUUCAGGCUGGAAUUCCAGGCGCCAAUAUUGAUUGAAUAGCCACCAUUCAUACCCACGUCUUUACUUGGGACUUGUACCCUUUUCAAAAACAACCGUCACUUACCUACGAUCUCUCUACUGACCCACGAAUCAUCAGAUAUCCCUAAUACGAAAUCCCCCUUUUUUUGACUUCCUUUUGCUCUUCGCCCCAUAUCUUCUGCUCCUAUCACCUUCUUGUCACACCUCUUCCAAACUUAUCAAAUGGCUUCAAGAUCUGGCCAAGUUCAGCUAUCAUACGAAUCUGGUGAAGGCAUCGCUACUUUACGCCGCUUACUCAACAGAUUGCAUCGCCCUCGAGCAGGUUUGUGCUCUGAACUUUUCUUUGAAGCACACGGGGUACAAUCGUUGGGUCCUGCAUGGAUUUCUCACGUCCCUGCUGUGAUAGAGAGUAAUAUGUCCAGGGGUAACUGGUUCACCCCAAAUCCUUUCUUGGCCAAGUCGGGCAUCUCUUCAUCUAAAUGGUCAUCAUAUUGUCGUGGCUUUCCUCUAAUGAACGACCUAGCUUGGACUCAGUGGAUUGAUGAACUAGAACCAACCUUCAAGAAGAAGUGGAUGAACAAUGGUAUUUAUGAACUAAUAAUGCUUUCAAAAACUACCAUUAUUCCCAAGCCCGAACUGCUUGUUACUUCUCUUCUUUUCCGGAACUCGGGCACAAAUACUUUUGAUUUUCGCAUGGGUCCCAUGUCUCCAACUAUUCUAGAUAUGGCCCAAGUCUUCGGGCUAAGACCAUCGGGUAAGAUUGUAGAUGUUACUCAAGAUUGGGUUCCCUUUUCUUCUUCAAUUGCUGAAAGCUCCGGUUCCUCCUCCUCUUUUCUCCGAUUAGAAUAUAACUCUGCUACUUUUAAGAGUUACGAGACCUCUUUCAAGGGAUUCAUCCCCUUUGUAAAGGAGAAUUUUGGUGCAGAUUCCUCUCAUGCCAAUAAAGAUCAGGAACAUAUGUACUUCCUCUUAUAUUGGCUCAACAAGCAUGUUUUCCCAAAUAAAUCUAAAGGGGUGAAGGUUGAAUAGAUCCCCUUAGUAGAAGCCCUCCACAACUUUGAUGAUGUAGCCAUAGGUCUGUUUCUUCUUUCUCAUCUUUAUCACCUCAUCUUUGAAAUGACUCAAGGUGAGCCAUUUGAAACCAAUCUGAAUGGACCCAUAUGGAUGAUCCAAAUAUGGCUCCAAUGGUAUUUCCUAGAAUUUCGGGCUGUUAACUUAGAAUUCCCAGAAAGUGUGGCCCCUACCCGAAUAUUAGCUGAAGCCGCUCCCACAGAUCACUCUACUUUCGCCUGUUUUUAUUUCUUCAAAGUUUGUAGAACCCGAUCAUACUUGGAGUAGGGCGCUUUAGUUUUGAGAAUAUAUCAUUGGUUCUCGGACCAAGCCUUUCAAGACGUUCCCGGGGAAGAUGCCACCUCAUUUUGCAGGGAUAAAUUUAUCAGUUGUAUUCAACCAAGAGACAUAGCCUGGGGAGUUCGUGGUAACCGCUAUGAUCGUGGGUUGGAAGUAUAUCACCCUAAUUUUUGUAGCAAGCAAUUAGGCUUUAGGCAAGCCAUUCCCAUCCCAUUCUUUGAUUCUGUUCACUGUGGCACCUCCUUUAGGUUACUAUCCCCUUCAGAUGUGACCUUUCGAGAGACCCGACGAAGUCUUGAAGUUAUGAAUCAGGCUGCCUGAAAGUCUAUAGUUCUUAACUUCGAAUGCACUUCACUCUUCUCCACCUGGUGGGAAGCCAAAUGGACUAAGAAAUAUGGAAGAGAUUUGCGAGAAACUCACGACCCUCUUUUUAACCAGCUCUCCCUCAAAUCAUACCCAAGUUUGGGCGAACUUGAAAACUGGACGGAAAUGAUUCAGCAGAAGAAUCGGUUACUUUUGAUAGGUAUUUCUCUCCCUUAUUCGAAUCUGCCUUCCUUCGAAGUUUUUUCUAUCUCUAAACCCUAAACCUUAUUUAAGUCUCAUUUUUCUUGAUCCUAUAGCUCAAGCAGAUGUUGAAUUAGCAUCCAUUGAAUCAGAUGAUGAUUCAGUUGAUGCAGCAAUUCUUCAUGGAGCCGCAGUAGAGGCUCAAAGACAAGAAAUUGGAGAAGAUGGAGAUGUUUCAGAAUCUUUUGGAGAUUCAGAAGCUGAAGACGUACCUGAGGCAAACAUCAAAAAGCCUAAGCGGAGGAAAGUAGUUGUGGUCGAGACCUCAGAAUCUGAACCUACAUCACCACCCAAACCUAAACGGUCAAUCCCUACCAGAAAAAGUAAGAGGUCAAGAACUAUUCAGGCGUCUAAGUCUUCAGCCUUGUCGGUUCUAGUUUCUAAGGCAGGCAUAAAGAAACAAAAGUCUUCAAGUAAGUGUUUUUUUUUCUUUAUCGAACUUCCAUCCUUCUUCUUUAUCUAAUUGUCCCUAUUUUCUUUGAAAUUAGAGCCUCAGGCCUCCAAGAAACCAACUACUGCAUUCAGGAAGGAUCCACUAGGAGCUUAAAUGCAUCAAAAAGAUGAAGAUCUGCAGAAUAUCACCUUUAGGAAGCUUGAGGUAUUUGCUUGUACUUUGAACAUGAUUGCUUGAUUCAGGCCAUAAGGGAAAAGAUUCUUCCACUCGAGGCCUCUUUAUCAUUUGCCUGAAAAACAAGUGUCUCUUUUCCUCGGGCUAAUCCUUUAGAAGUGCAUUUCCCUCAUUCUGGAAUCUUGAAUAACUUUAUAGUCUCUCGAACAGAUGACCGAACUUUCUCUUCCUCUCUUUUAUCCAGGUUGGGGUAUCUGCCCCUUUGCUUAGCCAAGGUUCACUUCCAAAAUCUUCUAUUUCUCCUUCUGCCCUGGAGGCAACUCCAGCUUCUCAAUUUAAUCCAGCAACAGGGGUCAUGUUGCAUUUUGUGGAUGAGGACAGCAGUUUGGUGAGCAGUUAUCUUGACAUUGAACUUCUAUACAUUGUGCCCAUAUUCACUUUCUAUUUAUCCUUUCUCUAGCCAUCUCAAAUGCAUGAAUCACAACAACCAUCAGUGGUGACUUUUAAAGCACUCGUAGCCCCUGAGAUUCCUGUGACCCCAAGAGUAGCUAUCUUGCAGGUGCUUCCGUGCCCGAUAGCUACUACCGACGAACCUCCUUCUUCUCUUCAUACCCAGGUAUGGAGGCAUCUUCUCUUUCUGUUUUCUUCUCAUAACAUGUUUACUAACAACUGCUACAAUUUUUGGAUGUUCUUAGGGCAUUGGUGAAGGUUCGGGCAUAGCUUUUUCUUCCUCUGCCGGUGGUAGUAAUUCUCCUCAUUUUAAAACCCCAGGUCCCAUUCAAGUAUAUUUCUUCUUUCCAAAGCUUCUCUCUACCUUAAAUUGUCCUUUUUGUUGUAACCUGCUCUUCUUUGGUUCUUGCAGCAAGCCCUAGGAUAGGCUUCGGGCAAAUCUCCCCCACAUUUGGUGCAUAAGACGAAGUUCCCCCGGCCUCUUUCAACUUCUAGAGACACAGGGAUUUCCCUUUCUGGAAUUGAGAGGACCGAGACCGAAACUAGAGAUUUGGCCUCAUCAGUGGUCACUCCCCCAUUAGAAGAAACUGGAGUACAAACCCCUCAUCUUUCUUUUUCAUUUUCAACAACUACUAACUUGCCCAAACUUUUUGAAGAAUUCGGGCAACUUGAGACAAGGCUGAAAUCUUCAAAGCGUUCUUCUGAAUCUUCCGGCUUUCAAGAGCAACGCCGAGCAUUUCAAGAAUGGGUGAGGAAGGACUUUUCAACGUCAUUCAGCCUCAAGGCACUUCAUGACAUAGAAAAGGUUACAAUAGAGCUUUUUAAAGUCAGCCAGCUAUCCAAAACACAACAUGAUUCCUUUCUCUCUUUCUUUGAGAACUUGAGGGCUCUCAGGGAUCAACAUCAGAGAGCUGAGAGACAAGCCAAUCGUGUAAGAUGUUUUAAGAAGAAAGAAUCAAGUACUUAUGCUCAGGUUGACCAGUUGAUGGAUGAGGGCUUGCUGACAAAAGAAAUGAUUGGAGUGGUAACUUCUAAAAUCCAAAAGCUGGAAGAACAACUUGUUGCACUGAAAGCUGAGCAAACAACUCUUCUUAGCACCUUUAAACAUCAAAUUGAAGAAGUGAAGAAGUCAAACUCAGAGCUAGAGCACACUAGGUCUCAACUUAUCAAUAGUAACACUGUUCUGGCUGAACCUAGUAGAAUUUUCACAAUCAUGUAGACUUAUCAUUCCCGAAUAAUUACUUUAAGUGAAGAUGUAAAUCUGUUAGACUAGGAUCACUUGUAACCUUUUUUUUUAUCAGAAUGAACAUGUGUUUUACCUCUGCUUGCCUUGCUCAUGGAAUUGUCUGAACAAAAACCCCAUGUUUAUAUAUUCGGGCAACUCCCUGCCCCCCUCUUUAUUUUCUUUUCUGCUUCCCUUACUUAUACCAAUUUCAGAACCUGAUCAUGAUCACUUGGUCCAUCUUCUAGUGCUAUUAUUAUUAUCGUGGGGGCGUUGGAGCAACAAAUGAUGACCCCCAAAUCAGGUUGAUCGCGUUGAUAGGGGCUGCCGGGAAAGGGUUUGUAUUAACCAUCAUACUGGCUUGGGGUUUGUCCAGCAACAGCUUUCCCUUCAUUAUAAGGUCUUGUAUCCAAUCUCUGAACUGGACAUAAUUGGCUAUGGAAUGGUUGAAGGUAUAGUGCAACUUGCAAUAUUUCUUCCCCCUUAGCUCUUUUGGUAUAGGCAUCAUUUUAGUACUGUCGGGCAAAAUUACUCUUGCCCGCACCAGUUCUUCAUAGAUCUCAGGUGUUUUGGCCAAAUCAAAUGAAUAACUCUGGUACUUGGGAGGUUUCAUAGGUAUGAACCUUCCAUCGUUCAUUACGAUUUUCUGGUCUUUAAUGGGUUGAACCAACCCUUUCACUAUCAAUGGUUUGAAAGACGUGGUCAUUUCAGCAGCAUAAACAUCAAUUUCCCCUCUACCAUGGUCAUCUUCAUGCUCUGGCCUUGCUUCUUCCACCUCCACACGAUGAAUUGUGACUUUGUUUUUGUAAAAGGGAGGCACCUUGGAAGUAUGUUUCACUUGCUGUUCUUCUAGCAGCAACCUUUUAUACUUGGUGGCGGCGAUUACCAACUCCUGUAACUCGUUGAAUUGCGUGUCAUAGAACCUUUUCCUCAUAGGUAAUCUCAAAGCCCUUUGAGCAAUCGAUAUAAGCUGAGCUUGGUUAACAGGGAAUUGGCAUCUCAUUCUUAUCUUUCUGAACCUCAUCAUGAAAUCUUCUAUGGAUUCAUAGUCGUAUUGUUUGACUUCAAUCAGGUCAUUAAUAGUCAUUUCUAGCUCUAUUCUGUAAAACUGUUCAUGGAAGGCCAUCUCCAUUUGCCCCCAGUUGGCAAUAGAGUUAGGAGGCAAUAGAGAGUACCACUGAGAUGUUAGCCCCACCAAUGAAUUUCCAAACAACCUCAACUUGUAGUUCGGGUUGUCUUCAUAUGCAACACAAUGAUUGGAGAAUUUGAAAAUGUGAUCUUUGGAUGAUACACUGCCAUCUUCUCCUGUGAAUGUUGGGAAUGCAGGCAUUUUAAAGUUGAGAGGAAAAGGGUUUUGCUCAUCAAUAUAUUCAGGAUAAGGUUUUUGAUAGGUAACCUCGAAUACUGGACAAGCUCGUGGUUGAGCAUUAUGAGCCACAAUCCUCUUUAAUUCAGCCAACUCCUCCCUUAGUUGCUGAGUAACCGUAUUAUCAUGGAAGAUAAAAGCAGACUCAUUCCUUGGGCUUCGGUCAGUGCCCGCACCUACUUCCUUCUUUGAUUCGGGCUUUCUCCAGUUGACUCCUCCUCCUCCCUUAUUAGCCAGCGGGGGUGGCCUAUAAGAAGGAGGCUUAUCUGAAGUUGUGAAGCUUUCUUUUCCGUUGGAUUCUCCGAUCAUUAUGGGCAUCCCAUACUUUGGUCUUUGUUCAUUCUGCUUCCUAUUAUUAAAUGAUAAUAAUGGGAAGCUAGAGAAUUCUUUCUCUAGAACUGGUUCAAUCAUGGGUUGACCUCCUUCAAGAACUUCCUUUUUCUUUCCCCUUUCCUUUUCUUCUUCAAAUAACGGAAAUAGAGGAAGAACUGGUUCACUUCUAGAGGUAGCCUGACUCAUCACACCUCCUUGAACACUUCUUAGGGUAGAGAACUCCAGAUCUAGUCUCCUCUGUAGAUUCCCUGUUAAGGUACAAAGUCUGCUUACUUCUCCCUUGGUUUCCAAAGAAAUCAUUUCCAUGCUCUUCAACACUUGUAUCAUAGUAGCCUGCAGUUCUUCAUUAGUUCCUUUUCCUUCAGACCUUCCAGAUGAAGUCGGGCUUUCCAAGACCACCUGUCUUGAUGGAGAAGAAGGAUUUCCUGGUUGAUCUGUCAUCUUUAACGAAAGUUGAGAUGAUUCGUACUUUGUACUCUUUCGGAAAGGUUUAUGGCUUUUCUUCUUUAACAUAUUAGAUUAAAUUCGUGUCCCACUGGGCGUGCCAAAACUAUGUUCGUCUGGAGGAAUUUCCGAUGGGGACGUUUCCUGGCCAACGAGCACAUAACUCCCCAAGAGGUUGGCGCCGGUUGAUAUUGUCUGUCGGGCUUCUGCUUAUUGGCGGGCUGUAAGAGAAUGACAUAGUUACUUCUGAAAGGUGCCUUUGUGGGGCCUUAGGUGUAGGCCUUGAGGCUCACAAUCAAAAUUAACUUUAAAUGUUCAGGCAUGCCACUGCCAUCUUUAGCAUGACAGAUGUAAAACAUAUGUUAUAUAUGCCCGAGAGACCGAAUUAGCUCUGAAAGGUGCCUUUGUAGGGCCUUAGGUGUAGGCCUUGAGGCUUCCAAUCAAAACUAACUAAGUACUCGAAUAUAUAUUGGUUGUUUCAUUGUUGCAGAAGUAUCACAACUGUUAUCCUUUAAUUGCCCGUGCCCGAAGAGCAGAACGAGCCCAGAUAGGUGCCUUUAUAGGGCCUUAGGUAUAGGCCUUGAGGCUUCCCAUCAUAGUUAAUUCUAUACUCAAGCGUUCUAUGGCAAUCAUAGUAUAACAGCAGUAAAACUGAGAAAUAGGCUGAUUACUUGCACCCUAAGUAACUUUGGACUUCUUGUUAUCAAGGACUGUCAUGGAUAGGUUAGGUCCACAUAAAGUUCUUGUUUAUGCCUUGAGACCAAGAACUUUUAAUUGAUCAAUCUUGUAUGCCUGAGAGGUAAGAACUUAGAAGCCUUUUAAUCAUAAACUUGUUAGAAAUAACUUGGAUGCAGAUGGAAGUAUACAUCAUAUUACUAGAUUUAUGACUGAAAAGACAAAACAAAGAGGGUCGGGCAAGGCUGAUCGUCUUACAACUUCUUCUCUUUGUGAUUUACAAAGGAUUUGAGUGCUAGAAGGGGAGAUUGGGGGGAUGAGUUUAUAGGAGGGAAUAGAUACUACAACAAGAUUUAGACAUGGUAGCAGAGCUUUUACAAAGGUUUUUUGGUGAAGGUUGAUCCCGAAAAUGAUGAAGGCUUGAUGCUGACUACAGCUUCGUAUGCAAAUCUGGCUUGAGCAGAGUUUGUGUAUUUGUUUGUUUGUUUGAGUGUCCCUAUCUUUGAUUUCUCUUUCCCCUUUUAUAGAUGAUUUGGCUUGACUGCCUGCAUCAUUAAUCUUGCCCGCAUGCUGCUGAAGGGUAGUGACUCAUCAGAUUUUUACUUGUACUGCCAUUGUAAAGUACUUUUUGGCUAAUUAGCUGGCUAGUCUACACCACUUGAUCUCUAGGUAGGUGAGCAAGUGGCUUAAGUGAUCUGCACUUAGUCGGGAAAAGGGCUUCUCCCUUCUUCUGGGCUUCGGCUUCCUUCUUUCUGGAUAUUCUUUUGGGCUAUCCUCUUUUUGAGCCCAAAGUUCAAGUUUUAACCCAAACAGAAGUCGAGGCUUCUAUCGGGCAUGUAUUCAUAAAGCAUCAUUUUCUCCUCUCCUUGAACGCAAACAAUCAAUAUAACUUCAUUUAUGAACUCUCUCAAUCCUUGGCCAGAACUUCUUGAAAGCCUCUUCACAGCAAUUUUUUGUCCAUCGACAAGCGUCCCCUAGAAAUUUACACAAUUUCCAAUGUUGUGAAAUUCAUCAUGGAUUUGAUUCUUUGUUAGUCCGGUCAUUAUUAUGAAGCAACUUAGAAAUCUACCUUAUAAACAUGUCCACAUCCACCUACUACAAGCUUUUAUCUCUUGAAAAAGUUAUACGUGGCGCUAGCUACUGUCAUCGGGUCAAAGAGUGGGAGCUCCAUGUCCCCUCUUAGUGUCCCUUCAUUGUCCUGAUUUCUUUCCCUUAUUUUCGUGAUGGGGUUCCUGUUAGCUAGAGAUGUAGUAACCAAACUAAAACUUAUAUGUGCAGAUAGAUUACAUGUACAGUUCAAAGGCCUGGCAUUUUCAACCCGACCCGACCCGUUAAAAUUAGUAUUCGGGUGAGUGAUAAAUAGGUCAGGUGGUUAACGGGUCAUUUUGAAUGAACCCGCGAAACUCGUUAACCACCUAUUAUUGAGGACUUUUAUGUAAUUUUAAUAGUCCUAAUAGAAAACCCUCAGGUCCUUCAUGACUCUCUCUCGCGCAUGCCGUUACUCUCUGAGAGAUUUAUGUGCUCCUUCCCUUCUGGCUCCGGUUAUCUCCCUCAUCUUCUUCACAUAAAGUUACAAACUUUCAAAGACCAGUAAGCUGUUUGCAAUCUCAUAAAUUUCACAGUGCAAAGUAACUUUAAAUUUCCAUUUUCUGUUAAUUUCCUAGAGAGAGGGGGGAGUACCUGGCAUGGUUUGUAUCGGCGGCGGGAUUGGGUUCAGAAUCGAAAGAUGGAGCAAAAGAGGAGGAGUCGAGCUCCGAAGCCAUCGCCACAAAUCGCCAUCUGGAGCUGCUUGUUGAUAUAGGGCUUAUUGGGUAGCUGAAUUUGGAGCAGUUGAUGCUAUGUAGUUUGUACGGACUGCAUCGAUUUACCGGGGAAGAAACGGCCAAAAGUCUGCCGGAGCAGAGCAUCUCUCUCUGUGUGUCAAACCAGAAGGCAGAGCUUUCUGUUAAUCCGUUAGCUUAACGGGUUAGGUUCGGAUGACCCGUUAGCUUAACAGGUUAGGUUCAGAUGACCCGUUAACUUAACGGGUCGAAUUGAACCCGACCCAUUUUCAGGUCUGGUUCCACCCAAUUAAACUCAAUAAAACUUAUAAUCCCGUUCUCUCACAAAUGCAUAUCCAAACACAAAAAACAUUGACAAAUACUGGAAGGAUGGUCAGGGUAAGGAAUGAUACCUUCAUUUUUUCUCUUUCUUUGGCGAAUGAAAUAGCCAACUAAUAGCACUCCCGAAAAUACAACUAUUGCUAUGCCAAGAGCAACUAUAAUUGCUAUCUUCACUUUUCUGUUGUUUUCCUUUAUUGUUGACAGAUCAAAUAAAGCAGAUAAAUUUAAGAUGAAGCAAGCAAAAAAAAAAAACAAAAAAAAAAAACAGCUGGGGCAGUUCAACUUUGCGAGAAACAAAACGAACUUCUUACUGAAACUUGUUGAAAAACAAUAGUUGAACUUGACAUAAAAGUAUAAACAAGAAGCUCGUUUUGUAUAGGUCAAUACCUAGUUCAGCAGCUGACAUUCGGAUAUAUGUUUCCUUCCCAGCAACAGGAACCUAUCUGAUAUCUAUUAGAUCACCACACCAGAUGGCACAGCCACUACCUCCUCCUCUGAUAUCUGAGCAUGUAUAAGCAGUACAGGAACAGUUUUUCAAGCAUUUGGCUAUGCAUUCCUUGAGAUUCGUACCUUUUUCCACCCAAAAAUUUAUAGUAUCUGGCAAUUUCAAGCCAAAAAUUUGAGAAACUCAUCAUUAUCUCUUUCGUGGCAGCUUAGUGGUUUAUUGCUCACGCAACCUAGAGACCAGUCCGUUAAAUUCCAAUUUUCUUGAGACUUGGGGCUGAAUCCUUGUAUACAUUGGCAGACUGGAUCUUCACAGGUACAAUUUCCAUUGGCUCUACAGAAACCAUAAUGAUCACACAAUUCUGUAGGUCUUGAUGACUUGAUCUCCCACCCUCCACUGAAACCGAACACAUGCUGAUGGUUUGGUUCACUCUUAAGAUUGUAGAGUCAAUCUUAGGUUUGUAUGCGAUGUAAACUUUGUCUUCAUUGUAGACAAAUUUGAAACUAUAACGAGGUUUAGGACCUUUGGAUGGACGAAAGAUUGUCUGUCCAUUGCAUGUGCUGGUGCAAAAGAAUUUUGUACUUCCAUUCAGAUAUAUGCCUCAGGAUAUGCUUGAAGUUUCGUUUCAAUUCCAUAAGUAAAAUCUCCUGGGGAUGGGUCCUCUGAAUCUUUCCAUGAUGACAAAAGUUGUUUUAGGCCUGUCCUCAAGUCCCACCCCAACUUCAUUCCCGGUAACCAUGUAUCAGAAGGAUAGUCGAAGCUUUGCCACAAAUAGGUUCCUGAAUUUUCGCAUCUUUAAGUACCAAAUUCCCGGAGUCUAAGAGCUCCACCGUUGCACUUUGGGCCUGAUUAAUUAAGCUCGUUGACCAAAAACACUCUUAUUCUGACUCAAGGGCACAAGAUUGCCUGUGCUGUUUAAGAAUCAUUGUUGGGUUUGCAUCUGUUUGCAACCCAAACAAUAUUUCUAACCGGGACAUUUUUGAACCAAAUUCCCAAGUAAUGGUUCUUAGAACUAACCGGACUAAAGAAACCGAGUUCAAAUCUUCCAUCAUGAAACCAACGUCAUUCCACCAAGAACAGACUGCGAAGGUGUACUGCUGUCAACUGCAAGGGAAAUUGUUAAUAACAGAUGGAACAAAUAAGCACUGAUCAUAAACGAAAAACAAAGACCACCCAUAAAAAUUUUGUUCUUGAGCUCCCUGACUACUGAUUUGAUUCAAGCAAAAGAUUAGAAGCAGAAGGAAAAGAUCUCUGUGGUUCAUAACCAUAACGAUAAGACCAUAUACCAACAACCGAAAAGACCUCAUACAGAUAAGAUAAUUUGGGAAGACCCUGUGGUUUCAUUCAUCAGAAAUAGAAAGGGAGGGAACCAUAAUUUACUAGCUAGUAAUGAACUAUGAUCUUUACUAGCAGAUCUAAGUUUAACCAAGUUGGCUCGAGAACACAGUGCUCAGCCCUCUCCAUAUUUUAGAUGAAUUUAGUUUAAUUAUCUUAUCCCUUCUCCAAAAAAAAAAUGUGAAAGAAAAAGAAAUUUUCAUACCUCCUCCGGGUUUCUUUUGGAACAAAUUUUGCUGUGCGCAUCGUGCCACAUAUUUGUGCCACUAUGCCAGUCAUUGAUAUCUGUUCAGGUAGAUGAAAAUCAACUGAAGGAUCUACAGUUUUACUGCCUCAACUAAACUAAAGAGAUUUGAGCAUUUUGGCUCAAAUUUUUUUUCAGAUUUGAGCUCAACUGAUUCUGAAAUUUCAGAAGAGAGUAAAAAGUAGAAAAUUGGGGUUUGACUACUCACCAUUGGGAGUCACAGAUUCUGAAGACAGACAAAGGAAGCGGAUUUGUUAUUUCUUAUGCGACAUCCAAAUACAAGAUCAUCACUGUAAUCAACUGUUUGUUUUCACAAUGGUUGUGCUCUCUCUCUUCCUUGUUCGGUUAUUUGGUUGUGGAUAAUUACACUAUUGGGCAAAUCCAAUUUGCACCUGUUUUCACAAUGGUACGAGCCAUUUAAGAAACGGAGUGUUCCUCCAAGGGUUACAAGUCUGAGCCUCCAAAUUUUGUACUCAUGCAUUUACGUGUACUUGACAAGAUUUGAAUGAAUUUUGGAUGAAUUUCAUGUGACCCUAAACCCGACCUGUAAGAUUAGAUUAACACAUAACUUGUUCACUAAACCAAAUAAUAACCACUGACCUGAAAAACCCAUGCUUGCUAGGGUUGAAGUUAAGAGUCUUCUGCUACUUAGCAAUCUCUGAAUGCAACUACCCAGUUCUAUGGGGCGUGAGGCACUUAUAUUGCAUAUCAACUGAGAGUGCAGGGACCCUUUAUUUAUACUGCAUGCAGUGGUGAUCAGUAAGACGAUUUCCCAUAAUACCAAUCCUUAUCAAACUCAACCUUGUCACUACUUUACCCAAGUGUUUAUAUCAGUAAGUACAUAUAUCAAUAUAUAUGUUUAUCAGAAGUGUCAAAGCUACGAAACCUAAAUGUACACACACUCUAACAGCCUACAAACACUGUUAUACUCAAUCUCUAUGAUCACAACCUUCUAACACACUUGAAACAAGUGUGCAGCUUUCUUAAGUAUUACAUUCUCCCACUAGGGCUAACACUUGUUUAUCACGUUAUCUCCAUAUUCGUGAUCAUACUUAAAUGGCCACGAGUUUGAGCUCAACAUGAUCCUGAGUUCAAGUUUUUGUCAUUACUGAGUAUUCAGAGAAAACUAAAAGGAUUUGUAUUCAAUCUUUAUGAAUUCCAUCCCCAUAAUCACAUCCAUGAAACUCAGUCACACAUAAAACCCCAUUAUGAUAUGAACUAUAUGUAAAUGUGACUGAACAUGUAUUAUAACACAUUUAACAUGCGGUCCUCUUCAUGACUGCCCAUGCAGUCUUUCUUCAUGCUUCAUUUCGAAGCCCUUUCGUUGCUUUCUUAAAACAAGAAGUUAAAUUGUCAUCCUGAUAUAUACAAUGUAUAUCAUCAUAACUAUUAUUGUAAACCUUUAGGGAA